rnacentral:lncRNA from 1 species
UCUAUAGUCAUUUUCUUAGCUAACAUGUUUUUUCUUCACUCUUCAAAGCAUGUCUAAACUAAUUGAUCGCUCAGCGGAGACUUUGGGUGAGAAGACAAAAUUUCUUGGUAAAUCCUCUGAAAAGGUAUGCAUAAUUCCCGAGUAUUAAAUAAUCAUUGGUCAUAAUUUUUGUACACGACUCUUGUUUUGGAGAUCGUUAAAAGUGGUUGAUGAUCUAUUUUGUAAUAUCAUAGAGGGAUCAUGAAUUCCUUUUCUUUUCUGUGGCUAGGCAACACUUUCGAGCCAAGCUAAGGAAAUCUAUUUUAGGUAAUGUGAAAACUAGUUGUAGGAUGUAAUAGUUUAUUAUGCCCUGACAAUAACUUUUUGUAUAAUUGUCAGUUUAAUGAAUACAAGAGGAACUCUGUUGGCAAGUUCAUCCAUGAUAGAUGCUAAAAUUAUUUAUGCAUACCAGUUGCCUUAACUAAUUUUUCUCAACACUGGUAUUGAACAGGAAAAUGAAUAUGCAAUUUGUAUAUUGUGCCAUUGUGGAGAAUUUGGAUAUUCUUAUUUAAGUAACAAGGAGAGUAUUUGCCUCAUCUUUAAACAAUGAAUCUUUGAGAAAUGAGGAGUGGGUGAUUGACAGUGUCUUCAUGUAAAUGUUCAUUUAUUUGUAUUUUGAACUAUUAUGAGAAUCUUUGUAUGCCAAAUUAGUAAUACAAAUGUUCAGAUGAUUUUUCCUGUUGAUCAUGCGUGUGUAUCUGCACACAACCAUUGUGUACCACUUUAUUCUGAUGCACAAAUAUCUGUAGUUUAGAAGAAAAGAAAUAAUAAUCAUAUAUUAUUGCUUGGUUCAUGAUUAUUAAAUGAUUAUGGCUUUAGAAAAUCCACAAAUCCUUUGUGUUCAUAUAUGAAUGUGCGAAGUUCGCUAUAUCUUAGAUUACCUUCUUCCAAGAUAACAAGUUCAUAUAUUUUUUUUAAUCCUUUUUCAUCACAGUUGAAUUUCAAGUGUAAGUUUUGUUAUUAAUAGCUGGUUUCCUGUUAUUAUGAUUUCAUAAACAAUGAGAGGAUAUGUGCUCUACUUUUGGAUGGCCUCCACAUAAAAGAAAAUUGCAACAAUUGAAUUCUUCUGGAGGGUAUGGUAUUUAAUUUAUUUUCUCAGCUUGUUGUAAGACUAAUAUAUUUCCUUCAGUACGCACGGCAUGGUGGGAAGGGUUUUUAUUGAAAGAAUUAUGAUAUUUCUUAGACUUUGUUUUGGAAGGGGGUGGAGGGAUUUCUCAUCCAUGUAUGGUUACUUGAUUAGCUUUUGACUGUACUGUCUCCGUCGUGCAAAGGAAAAUCCAAAUACUAACGAAGGGGAAUUGCUUAGGCACCCAAAGGACAGAAAUGAAUUACGGAAGGAGGUUUUUGCUGCUUUAUUUAGUGCUGCUGAGAAAUCUGAUGAAUUUCCUGAAAUUACGGUGAAGACGGAGUGGAGGUCCAACGCAUUAGGAAAGGUGGUGAGUGAACCGCCAGAGGAAUUAGUACCAGAAUACAAGGCUAAUGUGGUGCACUGGCAGCAAGAUGACCAGACCUGUAUGUGCUCUUAUAUUAACUAUAUUGGCUGGAUUUGUGAGUGUGUUCAUUUUUGUGUGUAUACUCACUUUUGUAUUUAUGCAUAUUCACGUGUGUAGGAUUCUCGAUUUCUGCCACUUACUGGAGAACUAGUGGAAAGCUUUAUACUGAUAUAUGUGCUAUAUAACUAAUGGAAACUACAAUAUGAAUAUUUUCUCUCACCUGGAGAGCAGUGUAACUAAUAUAAUUUGUGGCUCUGGAAUACUGAAGAUUCUGCAAUAACUAAUGGAAAAUAUGAUAUGAAUAUUUUUUCUCACCUGGAGAACUUUGUAACAGAUACAUUUUGUGCUGGAAUGUCUAAAGAAUGCUUCAGUUUAUAUCAAAUAUCUUUUAGUUAGAAAAGAUAAAAUUCUCUGAAUCUGAAAGACUGAAACAUUUUGCAUAUUUCGUGAAAGGCAAGUAUCUGUAGAUACUAGCUCAUGCAUUGAGGUAAUAUCAAUGUUAAAGAAAAACAGCAAUAAUUUAUUAUACAGAAUUAGGUUCACUUGCUUUAAAUGCUGGUCUGAUCAACCAUAUCAACCUGUAAUGGUCCUGCAGAAAUAUAUAUACGGGGAGAAACUAGCUAAUUUUCCUUUCACUUAUGGGUUUGGUCUUUUUUUCCCCAAUUUUUCAGCUUUCCUUCUCCUGAAGUAUGUUAAUAAUUGCAGAUAAUGGCGAAGAGGACUGCUUCCAGGCUACCGGCAAAAACUUUGUGAAAGCUUUGGAGUUAAACAGGGAAUUCACUUACUGCUAAGGACAAUUGGUGGCGAGCUAUUUCAUUCAUUUUAUGUCCAUACAUCUAUUUAAUUAUUAAAGAUAAUGUACGCAUUUGUAAAUUUCAGAUUGUGUGUCUCUGAAAAUAACAAUAUUUAAAAUGUCUCUUAAAUUAUUAUAAAUUUUAAUUUACUCUCGAUUUAAAAUGGAACAUGUUGGUGAAAUAUUUUUUCUUCUUAAUAAAAUUGAAAUAAAUUAUGUUAGCAGUAGUUUGAAAUAUUUUAAAGAUGAUUAUUUUAUAAGGGAGUAAUAUGAAAUGAAAUUUACUUUUCAUGCGUGAAAUGUUGAAAAAGGACAAAGCAAGUGUCCCUGCUUUUAUUUUAUUUCAAAGUGGAGUCAUCUCACAUACUUUAGCUCUAUCAUUAGGAGCCGGCUAAGUUACGUUAAACGUAAUUUACGCCAGGCACAGCAAUAAUGACAAGUCCCAUGACUAGUAUUGUUGCUGUGUCUGACGUAAGUUACGUUUAACGUAACUUAGCCAAAGCCCUAUCAUUAAUAUAUAUUUAAAUUUAACACAUGCAUGUGGGUUACUUUUCCGUAAGUUCCUUAAUAUAUAUUUAACACAAAUCAUGGAAGAGAUGGGAGUAUAUCAAGAUGAUCAAAGCAUGAAACAAAAAUAUUUAAGAAGUAAAACACUGAAAAUGGAGAAGAGAUGCAAGCAAAAGAUAUUCUAAAGAAAAGCAAUCUAUCCCCUUUCGAGGGCAAACUUAUCAGGUUUAAGAAAAGUACAUGCUUUGGAUUGGUAGUUGCAGCCUUGCAGGAUAAUUGUUUUUGCCACUAUAUUAGUUGGAGGAGUUGAACCCAGUGAAGAAUGUUAUGGAAGAGCAAAUGAUAUUUCUGAUAGACUCUAUUUGAUUAUGUAGCCUGAAUAGAUGUCUUGUUGAAAGAUAUAUCAGUGCAUUAGUUCAUCCUUGUCUGUCAAUGUGUUUUUAAUGGUUUUUCCAAUUGUUUUUUUUUUUUUUGAAACUGAUUAAGCAUCAGGUUACUGCAUUACACAGAUAUAUAUACAACUGCUAUGACAGCAGGUCAUUACACUGAUAUUUACAAUCAGAUAUAUAUACAUGGGACUUAUAUUAUUACAUUUUUAUUCUAUGAAGUACAUGCCCAUCCCAAAUACCCCUCACGGAGGAGGGAUGUCUCUACUCCACUCGCAUUUCGCAAGGGAGAAAGACGUUUAUAGAAAUCUCCACACAAUUAUGUUUAAUUGGAGGAGGUUGAGUCCGUGGGGACUCGAACCAUUGCCCUCAAAGUCAUGCUUAACUUUGAGGGCAAUGGUCCACCACUGGGCUACAAGCCCAAGUGGCGGUUUUUCCAAUUGUUUAUUGCUAUAGAUUGAUUGUAAAUUGAUGUGAACUUAAUGUUGAAAUAUUUUCUCUUUAGUGGAAUGAAAGUUAAACAUUCAAGAUUAGAUUAUUCAAGGUCCACAUAGUAUGUGUUCCGUUGUGUUGUCUGUAAUUUUGCAUUUAAAUAAAUUUGAGUGCUGCCGUUUCGCUCCCACAAUCUCUCGCCUUUUUUUAAUUUUAAAAAUUAAAAUAUUAAUAAAAAACAAUAAAGAAAAUCGAAUCCUUUAUGUCAUUCCAUCUUUACAACUCUCUCUCACAAACUCCAUCUAACAGACUUCUCUCUUACUAUCUCGGUCGAACAAGACCAGUGACAAUGAUGACACGACCGCCGACGAUGAGAUGGUCAUCGCUAAAGAAUCGGGCCGUGUAUUUUACAAUUUCUUGGUUUGUGACAACAAUGGAAAACUCCUGAAAAUUUUGAAUUUGUAGUCGAGCAAAGGAAGAAGCAAGUUAUCUUCAAAGCAUUUUCCAGUAAUAGCUGAUGAAAUUUAAUACUUCAAGCUGGCCCUUUGCUGUCACAACUAGAUGCAUUUGCACUGUCAUUACAAUUUAUGGAAAUUAAAGUAAUUAAUGGUUCUAAUUAAUAGCUUCCCAAAAAACCAAUCUGCCCUUGUGAGAACCAAAGCAUUAAUUUCUUGUAAGAGCUGCAGAAGGCCAGAGAAUUUCAGAUCGUGAAAAGGAGUGUGUGAGUGAGAGAGAGAUCGUGAAAUAGUGAGAGACAAUGAGAGAGAGAGCCGCUCGACUGAGAUGGUGAGAGAGUUGCAAAAAUGGAGUAAGGAGCAGAUAAGAUUAUGUUUUCUUUAUUAUUUUUUAUUAAUAUUUUAAUUUUUUUAAUUAAAAAAGGGCGAGAGAUUUUGGGAGUGAAACGGCAGCAUGUUCCAAUAAAUUUUUACCAAAGUUUCUCUCGUGUUUCUCUCACCUUUCUAGAUACCAAGCAUUUUCCAAUAAAUUUUUACUAAAAACUUAGCAAGCCCUUGAAACUUUGGUCAAAAUUAUUGUUAUUAUUACUUUUAGAGGAAAAACUUUUAUUAAAACCUCAUUAACACAAUUCUUAAUUAAAAUUAUAAGUUUGUGUUGGUGUAAGGAUUUGCAGGAGCAAUUACUGCCUAGCCAAGUGUCAAAAGCACAAAAUAAAUCAAGAGAAAGUAGACAUGAAUUAGGAUCCAAUGAAAUUUAAAUCCCGGAGAAAAGAAAUAAUCAUGCAGAUUAUCAAGAUUUCAAUAAGGGAUAUUGAUAUCCUAUUUUGAUUAAUAAUAUCCUUUUACUGUGUUAACUCAAAAAAUAUGUAUAUUCUAAUAUUUUACAAUAAAUAGAAAUCUAAUAUUAAAAUAAAUGUGAUAUAUAUAUAUAUAUAUUAAAUAAUUUAAAUAUAAAAAAUAUUUUAAUGUUUUACAAUCUACUACACAUAUUUUAUUAAGUUAAUAUAAUUUUUCAAAUAAAUAGGGACAUAAUAUUAAAAUAAAUUUAUAAAAAUUUAAAUUAUUUUGAAUUUAAAAUAAUUUUAAUAUUAUUAAUAUGUUAGAUAUGUUUGAUUAAUUAUAAAAAUUAUUUACGCAAAUUUUUUUAAUAUUUUCAGUAGAUAUAAAUAUAUUACUUACAUUUUGAUUAUUUAACUAUUAUUAUUCUACAAUUAUUUAUAUAAUGUUUGCACUUAUUAGAAUAUAUUUAAAGUCAAAUCUUUUGCACUUCUACCUAGCUAGAAUUAUUGGACGCAGAGAAAUAAGCAUAUAUGCUUUAUAACUUUAGAAAUCGAAUUAUCUAUACAAAUUGAUUUUAGCUGGAAAAAAAGUGAGCUGAAUGAUAUAGGCGAUUAGUGUGGUAAUAUUUCAUAGAGUUAGACUAUUGAAUUUGGCACCCCUCCAAUCUUCUCAUGAUUACCUUUUUGAGUUAUUAAUACACUUCUAAUUUUUCGUUUAAUUUUUUUUAUUGUUAUACUCAAAGUAGUAUUGUGAUAUUUUAUAUUUCUUUUGCAAUCUUAUUAUUAUUUUACACAAAAUUAAAAAGUUUUCUAGGUGAUGAACUUUUGAGUUUUGAACAUUAAUCAUUGGCUUAAAUUUCAUAUAUUUUACAUUAUAAUUUGAAAUUAAGUACGAAAAUAUUUAAUAAAUUAUGAAAAGAUUAACAGAUUAUUCUAAAUUGAUACAACUUAUUUUAGUUAAAUAAAAAGUAACAGGUAAAAAAAAAAAGGAUUGGUUAUGAAAUUUGUUGGAAAAAAAUCUGUGUGUGUUUAAUUUUUAUUUGUCCUUAAUUGUAAUUUAUUUGAAGUGAGGUUUUAUAAGGAUAAUGAAGGGGUGCCAUAGUUUCACUCUAUUUCAUAUGGAGAGAGAAGUAAAAGGUACACCUGAGGUUAAUGGAAAGGACUUCGAAAGUUUCUUUUGAUUAUAAUACUGUUUGUUCUAAUUAACUUAAAAAAUUUUACUUUAAUAUUUUAUAAUAAAUUAAAUUUUAAUCUUAAAAUAAGUAUAAUCAUAUAUUUUAAAAUAAUCUUAAAAUAAAUACAAUCAUAUAUUUUAAAAUAAUCUUAAAAUAAAUACAAUCAUAUAUUUUAAAAUAAUCUUAAAAUAAAUACAAUCAUAUAUUUUAAAAUAAUCUUUAUAUUUAAAAUUUAUUUAUUUGUACAUAUUUUAUAAUAAAUAUAACACAUACUAUUAAAAUAAUAUAUAAAAAAUUAAAGUAUUUUGAAUAUUAUAUAAAAUAACUUUAAGAUUCUUAAUAUGUAAGAUAUAUUUUAUUAAUUUAAAAUUCUAUUUAAAAUUUUAUUAAUUUAAAAUUCUAUUUAACCCAAAGAUUUAUUUAAGAUAAAUUAAUAAUCAUAUUUUUUAAAUCAUUUCAAAUAUUAAAAAAUAUUUUGAUAUUACUAGUCUAUUAAAUAGAUUAAAUAUUUUUAUUAUUUUGUACUAAUCAAAAGUUACAGCUCGAAUGAUAUUAUGAGAACAGAAUUUUUAUGUCUUUAUUAAAAAUUUGGGUUUGUAUAAUUAUUUUUUCAAAUGUUAGGGGCAUAGCUGUCUUUUUACUUUUAUAUAUGUGAACCGCGGUGGUGAAAAAGUGUGAUUUAAUAUUAGUUAUUUAAAUAAUAUCUGAAUUAAAGAUGUACAGAGAAGAAAUUUCGGUGGGCAUUUUAGUCUUUUAACGAUUAUCAUGAUUAGGGAUUAGGUCCUGCUCUUGAAACGUUGGUCAGAAAAGUUCUAAAAUGCGUACAUUAUCUUUACUUUAAAAAAGUUAUUUUAUUUUAUUACAAAUUAAUGCCGACAAGAAAAAGCAAGAUCUUAAANNNNNNNNNNNNNNNNNNNNNNNNNNNNNNNNNNNNNNNNNNNNNNNNNNNNNNNNNNNNNNNNNNNNNNNNNNNNNNNNNNNNNNNNNNNNNNNNNNNNAUAAAGAUGAAGAAAAGGGCAAAAAAAUAUUAAUGAUUAACGAAAUCUCUAUCCAAAUUGAUUUUAGCAGGAAAAAAGUGAGCUAAAUGAUGUAGACGAUUAGUGGUAAUAUUUCAUAGAGUUAGACUAUUGGCACCCUUCCAAUCUUCUCACGAAUCCUCUUUUUGAGUUAUAUUUAUUUUAUUUUUAAAAUAUCUUUUUUCUCUUUUACUACACUUCUAAUUUUUCAUUUAAUUUUUUUAUUGUUAAACUCAAAGUAGUAUUGUGAUAUUUUUAAUUUCUUUUGCAAUCUUAUUAUUACUCUGCAUAUAAAUUAAAAAGUUUUUUAGGUGAUGAAUUUUUGAAUGUUAAUCAUUAGCUUAAAUUUCACAUAUUUUACAUUACAAUUUGAAAUUUAAUAUGAAAAUAUUUAAUCAAUAAGAAUUAUGAAAAGAUUAAUAAAUUAUUCUAAAUUUAUACAACUUAUUUUAGUUAGAUCAGAAGUAGCAGGUUAACAAAAGAAAGGAUUGGUUAUGAAAUUUGUUGGAAAAAAAUCUAUGUGUGUUUAAUUUUUAUUCGUUGUUAACUCUAAUUAAGUAGGUUAAAUAUUUUUGUUAUUUUUUACUUAUCAAAAAAUUUAAGAUCAAUAUUUUUAGUUACCAUUCGAAGGAUAUUAUGACAAAAACAGAAUUUUCACUUCUUUGUUAAAAAUUUGGGGGUUUGUGUAACUAUUUUUUCAAAUGUUAGGGGCAUAUCUGUCUUUUUACUCUAUAUAUAUGAACCAUGGUGGUGAAAAAGCGUGAUUUAAUGUUAUUUAUUUAAAUAAUAUCUCAAUUAAAAAUGUAAGGAGAAGAAAUUUCGGUGGGCAUUUUAGUCUUUUAACGAUUAUCAUGGUUAGGCCCUGGUCUUGAAACGUUGGUCAGAAAAGUUCUAAAAUGCGUUCAUUUGUCUUUACGCCAACAAUAAAAAGCAAGAUCUUAGUGUCCCACAAAAGCAAAUCGUAAUAUUCCGCAAUGGAGUUAGAUCCGCAAAAGCAAACAAAUUCUUUUAUUAAACUACAAAUUAAAGUGGAAUCAUUUACUAAACAACAAAUUAAAUUUGAAAUAUUUAAAUAGUCGUGCGUUAGACGAUUAGAGACUCUUAUUAAAGGCAAGUACAAAGUAGUGAAGAAUCGAAUAUUUCUAUUGUCUAGUCUUUUUUUAAAAAAAAUUUUCUUUUAUUAUUUUUCAGAAUAUGUUUUGGUGAUUACUAUUGGGUUAUUAUUCAGAGUUAUUGUUAUCUUCCGGGGCAGUUUCUGUUCAUCGAAUUCGUUAAUAAAAUUUUAAAACUCUUAUUGAAAGAAUGUUUUUCCGUUAUCUUUUUUAUAAUCUAAUUUUAAGUGUAAGAAGUAGUCAUUUUAGAAUUUGGGUCUUGAAUCGAAUUUCAAUGCAUGAAUUAAUAUUUAAAAAAAAUUUACUACAUGCAGUUUAGGUUACAAACUAUUUUUUGCAAAGUUGACUAUGAAAUUGGAGAAAUUAAGUAAUUUAUAAUGUUUGCAAAGAAAGAGACCAACAUACUUCCAAUUACACUAUAUCUCAAUUAUCAUAAUGUUAAGAUUAAACUAACUUAAAAUAAAAUUUAUUUAAAAAGUUUAUCAAACGCAGUCUAAUUUUAUUAACUUGAAGAGAUAAUAGUUAUAGAAAUUAUUAUUCUAACUUAAUUAGUAAAAGUGGUAUAAAGGUUAAGUGUGCACUAAAUCUAUUUAAAUUUUUUUCCAGUAUAACUAACAGAGGUCAUUACUAGAAUUAUAUUACUAGUCUAUUAGAUAGAAAAAAUUAUUUAUAUUGUUUUAUAUUUAUUAAAAAAAUUUAAAGUCAAUCUUUUUAAUUACUAUUUAAAGGAUAUUAUAAUUAAAAAAAUUUUAAUGUCUUCAUUAAAAAUUUAAAAUUUUAUAUGACCGUUAUCUAAAUAUUUAAAGUGUAACUGUCAUUUUCUCAUAUAUAUAUAUAAUUUCAUCAACCCCUUAUACUUUAUGUUAUUUAUAUUUUAUUCAUGAAUAUUAUAAAUUUUUUGAAAUAUAAAAUUUCGUUUAACCCUUUAUACUCAAUUUUAUUUUAUUAAAACCCUAGAGUAUGAAUUCGUCCCUAUAAUAUUAAAUUCUCAAAAUAACUUCCAUUUAAUUAAAAAAUAUAAUUAUUAUUAAAUGAAUUAUAAUUAUUAUUAUUAUGUUAUUAUAAUCAUAAAAAGCGAGAUCAUAUUCCACAAAAGCAUAAGUGACAAAACAACCAACUGGAUUCUUUUAUUAAUCAACAAAUUGUAUAGUCUUUUUCAAAUUGUUAUAAAUUGGUGGCCCCUACAAUCCUCAAUAAUUGUACCGAAAUUCACAAGUUGGUGGGCCCUACAAUUCUGUUCCGAUAAUUUAACUGUGCAAGUGCUCAUUCACAAUCUUCCAGGUCAUGCUCUUAACAAUUGUUUUUUCUUUUCUGCACGCCCUUUCAUGCUCUUAAUAAUUGAAGAGCAUACUUUUCAAAUGUGAAGCCGCAUCUAAUGUCGCUAAUUUAAUUUGGGAUUAAAUUACGGGACUAUUAUAUUGCAGUGUGCACUAAUUUUUAUGUUUAUCUAAACUCUUCAAAUUUAAAACAUAUUAUGGCAUAAAUAAGAAUGUAACAAUAACAAAAGAGUAAGAAAGUGUAGAGAAAAUCUUGCAGAAAUAUAAAUAAUAUUUAUUUUUAAAAUAAUAUUAAUAUUUAAAAUAAUUUUUAAUAUUUUAUGGUCCAUUAGAUAUAUUUUAUUAUAUUAAAAUAAAUUUUAUAAUAAAUAAAAACAUACUAUUAAAAUGAAUAUAUAUAGAAAAUUUAGAGUAUUUUAAGUAUUAUAUAAAAUAAUUUUAAUAAAAUAUGUGAGAUAUUCAUAUUUUAUUAAUUUAAGAUACCAUUUAACCUAAAGAUUUAUUUAUGAUAAAUUAAUAAUUAUAUUUUUGAAAUUACUUCAAAUAUUAAAAAAAUUAAUAUUACUAAUAUAUUAGAUAGAUUAAAUUAUAUAUAUUAUUUUUACUUAUUAAAAAAAUUUUAAAAUUAUUUUUAAUUACUAUUCAAAAAACGUAUUCAAAAAACAUAAUGAUAAAAAAAUCUUAACAUCUUUAUUAAAAAAUUAAAAACUUAUAUGAUAAAUUCUCUAAAUAUUUACGGUAUAUGUGAACCACGGUGGAUAAGCUUUAUUUAAUAUUAUUGAUUUAAAUAAUAUGUCAAUUAAAAAUGUACAGAGAAGAAAUUUCGGUGGGUAUUUUAGUCUUUUAAGCAAUUAUCAUGAUCAGAUCAGCCUUUAGCCUUCAAACGUCGGUCAGAAAAGUUUUAAAAUUAAUGCUAAAUUGUUUUUCACUUUUAACGUUGGUGGCCUUGAAAUUGCUUGUAUUUUAUUAAAAAUUAAUGCUAACAAGAAAAAGCUAGGUCAUAUUCCACAAAAUCAAAAGUGACAAAACAACCAGCUGGUUUCUUUUACUAAACUACAAAUUAAAAUAAAUUUUUUCGAUAAAUUACAAAUUAAAGUGGAUUCUUUUGAAUACAAAUGGGACAGACGAUUAGGCUCUUUUUAUUAGAGGCAAGUAAAAACUAGUCAAGAAUCGAACAGUCUUUUUCCAAUUCUUGUUUUAUUAUUUUUCAAAACUAGUUUUUGGUAAUUACAACCGGGUCAUUAAUCAUUAUUCAGAGUUAUCUUCCGGGGCAGUUUCUGUUCAUCGAAUUCGUUAAUAAAAUGUUAAAACUCUUAUUGAAAGAAUGUUUUUCCGUUAUCUUUUUUAUAAUCUAAUUUUAAGUGUAAGAAGUAGUCAUUUUAGAAUUUGGGUCUUGAAUCGAAUUUCAAUGCAUGAAUUAAUAUUUAAAAAAAAUUUACUACAUGCAGUUUAGGUUACAAACUAUUUUUUGCAAAGUUGACUAUGAAAUUGGAGAAAUUAAGUAAUUUAUAAUGUUUGCAAAGAAAGAGACCAACAUACUUCCAAUUACACUAUAUCUCAAUUAUCAUAAUGUUAAGAUUAAACUAACUUAAAAUAAAAUUUAUUUAAAAAGUUUAUCAAACGCAGUCUAAUUUUAUUAACUUGAAGAGAUAAUAGUUAUAGAAAUUAUUAUUCUAACUUAAUUAGUAAAAGUGGUAUAAAGGUUAAGUGUGCACUAAAUCUAUUUAAAUUUUUUUCCAGUAUAACUAACAGAGGUCAUUACUAGAAUUAUAUUACUAGUCUAUUAGAUAGAAAAAAUUAUUUAUAUUGUUUUAUAUUUAUUAAAAAAAUUUAAAGUCAAUCUUUUUAAUUACUAUUAAAGGAUAUUAUAAUUAAAAAAANNNNNNNNNNNNNNNNNNNNNNNNNNNNNNNNNNNNNNNNNNNNNNNNNNNNNNNNNNNNNNNNNNNNNNNNNNNNNNNNNNNNNNNNNNNNNNNNNNNNNNNNNNNNNNNNNNNNNNNNNNNNNNNNNNNNNNNNNNNNNNNNNNNNNNNNNNNNNNNNNNNNNNNNNNNNNNNNNNNNNNNNNNNNNNNNNNNNNNNNNNNNNNNNNNNNNNNNNNNNNNNNNNNNNNNNNNNNNNNNNNNNNNNNNNNNNNNNNNNNNNNNNNNNNNNNNNNNNNNNNNNNNNNNNNNNNNNNNNNNNNNNNNNNNNNNNNNNNNNNNNNNNNNNNNNNNNNNNNNNNNNNNNNNNNNNNNNNNNNNNNNNNNNNNNNNNNNNNNNNNNNNNNNNNNNNNNNNNNNNNNNNNNNNNNNNNNNNNNNNNNNNNNNNNNNNNNNNNNNNNNNNNNNNAUUGUGGGCACUCUUGUUCGUGCAUGUUUGCUAGAAGAGAUGGAAGAUGAUAAAGUAAAAAUGCAUGACGUUGUUCGUGAUAUGGCUUUAUGGAUAGCUUGUGAAAUUGAGAAGGAGAAGAGAAACUUUUUGGUUUGUGCAGGUGCUCGAUUAGAAGAGGCACCGGGUGUUAAAGAAUGGGAAAAUGUGAGAAGAUUGUCAUUGAUGCAAAACCAAAUUGAAACUGUGUCAGAGAUUCCCGCAUGCCCUCAUCUCCAUACUCUAUUUCUUGCCUCUAAUAGGAAUUUCAGGAUGAUCACGGAUGGCUUCUUUCAAUUUAUGCCUUCUCUCAAAGUUUUGAAGAUGUCACGCUGUGGGCAAUUCGAAGGUUUUCAAUUACCUGUUGGGAUGUCAGAGUUGGGUUCAUCACUAGAACUUCUUGAUAUUUCACAUACCACCAUAAGAGAGUUACCCGAAGAGUUAAAGUUGCUGGUAAAUCUGAAAUGUUUGAAUUUGAGGUGGACAGGUGCGUUAAUUAGAAUUCCACGGGGACUAAUAUCAAAAUUUUCAAGGUUACGUGUGUUGAGAAUGUUGGGUACUGGCGGGUUCAUUUUUUAUGAAGCACCAGAAGACAGCGUUUUAUUUGGUGGGGGUGAAGUUUUGAUACAGGAAUUGCUCGGUUUGAAAUAUUUAGAGGUAUUGGAGUUGACCUUGGGAAGUUAUCAUGCUCUCCAAAUUCUUUUGAGCUCAAAUAAGUUAAAAAGUUGUAUUCGAUCUCUUUACCUCUAUUUGACCGGAGAUAAAAAGUCGAUUAUUGAUGCUACGGCUUUCACAGACCUAAACCACCUCAAUGAAUUAUGGAUUGAUAAUGGAAUUGAGUUGGAAGAAUUGAAGAUUGAUUAUACGGAGAUAGUACGAAAAAGGCGGGAACCUUUUGUUUUCCACAGCCUUCACCUUGUUACGAUAUAUAGUUGCCAUAAAUUGAAAGAUUCGACAUUCCUCGCUUUUGCUCCAAACCUCAAGUCUCUUUCGCUAUUCAAAUGCCGUGCUAUGGAAGAAAUAAUCAGCGUCGGAAAAAUUGCUGAGAAUCCUGAGAUGAUGGGACAUAUAAGCCCUUUUGAAAAUCUCAAAAGUCUUGAUCUAUCAUAUUUGCCGGAGUUGAAGAGCAUUUUCUGGAAGCCAUUGCCUUUCACUCAUCUCAAAGAAAUGGGGGUAAGAGCAUGUGAUCAGCUUAGAAAGCUUCCACUCGAUUCCAACAGUGCAAAAGAGCGUAAAUUUGUAAUUCGUGGAGAAGAAGACUGGUGGAACCGACUUCAAUGGGAGGAUGAAGCCACUCAAAUUGCUUUUCGUUCCUGUUUCCAACCUGAUUCCUGAGCGGUGGUCGCAAAAUUUGAUUUCUGGUGAGUGCGUUUGUCUUUUAAAAGAAGAAUUUAAAAGAAAUUUAUUCUUGACGUUUUCUUCACUGUUUUUAUUUCAGUCUCUCUCUCUCUCUUUUUGUCUUCUGCUAAUCACAAUUAAAUGUUGAAUUAAUGGAAUUAAUGCUUCAUAAAUUUGCCGGCACUGCCAUUACUUUUUUUUUUUUUAAUACAAAUUGAUACUUUAUUUAUAUCUUCUUAGCGAUUUAAUUUCCUGUCAAUUGACGAACGAGAAGAACAUAUGACUUGAACCAAUGCUCGCAUAAACUUGCUGUAAAAAGAUAUAAUCUCACUGAAAUGCACACGCCUAGAAUGAAUAGAAUUAAAACAGGGAAAAUAUUAAGUAUAUUAGCCCUCUUUACCGAAAAUCAAAUGACAAUAAAUUUUUUGAAGUUUUGAUUUUCUAUGGUCAAUUCCACCUUUUGCAAUUUCUUCUGUUCUAACAAAAACCAAUUUCUUUGUUCAAGUAUUUUCGUUUGGGUAUUAAUAAUUCUCCACCGAAAGAGUGAACUCUUGCUCAAGGGAUCUCUAAUCAAUAGCCGGAAGGGCGCCGAGACCUGAUCGGACCUAGGCCCAAGUUUGGUCUUAAAGCCUGGGCUUGAGCCUGGCAAUUAAAUUAAAACAGUAAUUGAUUUCUUGAAUGAAUUGUCGUGUAAUUGAUUUAUGGGGGAUGACACAUCAACAUACUUGAAAAUACACUAAUCUCAGCAUCAUCCGUUAAUAACUUUUAGAUUUAUGGGCAAUCAAUAGUUAAAUUAGUUGUCAUUAAUACUAAAUAAUUUUUACUUUUUUUGUCUCUUCUAGAGGAUCUUCUAGAAAAAUGCAUCCACAAUUAAAUUUAAUACUUUACAUAAUAAAGAAAGCAUAAAUGUUAAAUUUAAGAAACUGCAUUGUAUUUCAGCUGAAGUUGACUUUAAUAUUUAGGGUAGAAAAAAAUUAAAUCCUUAAUGUGUUUAAUUUCUAUCACUUGUGUCAUUAAAAUUUUCUAGUCACCCUAACCAAUUACAUCUCAACCCACUUUUUUUUGGAUGAUUUUAUUUUUACACUAUUAUUUUCAACAUUUUUUUUUCCUUUUAACACCAACAUUAGUGUAUGUUACGUAACAUAAUCCAUAUUUGGAUAAUUUGAAAUUUGUUUGUGUUUUAUCUCAAAAUAGAGCUUCAAUCAAUUUGUACCUCAUAAAUUCACAAUAUCUGGCAUAUUGUCAAAUGUGCUUAUCCUUUUGCUUGACAUGUCAUUUUAAAAUUGUCAUUCAAUGUCAAAAAAUCACAUCAACUAAUGGCCGACUACUUUAAUUUGAAAGCAUGCGUGCGAUCGCCAAUAAUUAUAACUUAAUUGUUAUAUUGAAAUUUUUUUCUUUAUAAUUUAAGUUUAAUACUGCUACAUGUGUGGCACAUAAGUUGGAAAAUAUAACAUAAAAUUUGAAAAAUGUGUAGUUUUCGUUCCUUUUUUUUCUAAAAAAAUGGGAAAAAAGAAUGUAAUUUUGUUUAAAUUACUGUUGUCAUAACAAUUAUUAUUUUAUUGAUUAAUUGGCAGAGAAUCGUAAUGGUUUCGCAUGGUUGUUAAAACAUUGGAAAGUCCACUACAUCAUCGGUUAAUAACUUUCAGAUUUAUGGUUAAUUAAUAGCUGAGAUUUAUUAUCAUUAAUGCUAAAUAUUUUUUCUCUCUCCUGGAGGAUCAUCCACAGGCAGGUGCUUCCUGACGAUGACAAAAUUUUGGGCAGGCAGGUGCUUCCUGACUUUCACACGGUAAUUCUCAAAUUCUGAUUUCACCAUAUUUUAAUUACUGAUUAGCAUAUAUUCAAGUGCUCUCCAUUAUAAUGGAAGCCGCCGCCUCACUCGUAAUUCCAAACUUUAUCUUUUUUUCCUUUUUUAAAUUAAUGCAAGUAGCCGCUGUCCUUUCUAUUAAUUAAUUAAUUCGGCCGCCCACAUUUCUUUUCCUAAUGUCUUCUACUGUCGAGUUUAUUUUAUUUUCUCUUUAUUAUUAAAAUAUACUUAUAAUAAUAAAAAAAUAAAAAUUAACAUAUCAAAAUAUAAUUUAACAGAAAAUUAAGAUAAAAAAUUAAAAAUAAAUAAAUUAUGAGCAUAUCAAUCAAUAAAUGAAAAAUAAUAAUUUUUAUUUUUAUUAAAUAUAAAUUUUUCAGUAUUAAUCAAUUAUCUGAAUAAAUAAAAUCAUUUAAAAAUAAAUAAAUAAAUUAUUCUUAAAAAAAAAAAAAAAACUUUUUAUAACACUCACUAUGCUGGUUGUAGGGUUGACGCUUUGGGUACUGAAGCUAGUAACUUCUACAAGUAGUCUUAAGUUGACUGGCAACAACUAUAUUGGCAUUUAGAAAUAAUGUACUGCAACCAUAUUGGCAUGUUCAAAUGUUCUUAUUAUUGUAUUGGUGUGUCAAUAUUAUCUCUAACGGUUUUAUAAAUAAAAAAAUAAUCUAAAUUUAUAAUUUAACAUAAAAUAAAAUAAUUGGUAGAAAAACAAUUAUGGUUCAUUUACUUAUCAGUAAUCAGAAUAGACUGAAAUCGAAAUGAGUUGUAUUACUGUUGAUGUGUUUAUGUUGUACUCGAAUCGAAAUGAAUUAUUUUAAAUUACUAAAAUAUCCUUGGUCUGUUAUUCUAAUUAUUAUUAUUAUUUAAUAUUUAUUAUAAUAUUUUUCAUAUCAUUAAAAAAAAAUAAUAAUGAUGAUAAUAUUCUCAUUAUUGUUUGUUACAUUAUUAUUAUUCAAAAAAAUUAUUGUUAAUAACAAUAAUUACUUUAUUUCAAUAAUAAUAAUGAUAAAAUUAAUAAUAAUAAACAUGACAACAACAAUAAUUAUUUAUUAUGCCAAAAAAUAACAAUAAUAAUAAGAAUAAUAAUCAUCAUCAUUUUUUUGCCAAAGAAGCAUUAUCAUCAUCAUUUCAAAAAAAAAAUCAUCAUCAUCAUCAUCAUUUUUGUAGUGGCUACCUAUCGGCUGCUGCUUUCAUGUGAGAUUGACUUGCGACGCUUCAACGGCUAUUAUUUCUGACAAUGUCAGGUGUUGCUAUUUCAAUUUAGGAAGAAGUUGUUUCGGUGUGCUAGCGAUGGGAGAUGUUGUGGCUGCGAUUCGGGGAGCUACUAGUUUAUUGCACUAAUAACGGCAGGUGCUGUUGCUUGAUGCGAGGUCCAUGGCCAGUUGUCAGCAGUUCGACUUUGGUAUGGGUGCUGCUGGUUCGAUUUUAGGUGUUGUCCAAUUUCAUUUUCAGGAUUUUAAUUUUAUUUUUCUUUUAUAUUUUCAUUAAUUAAUCAGGGUAAAAUUGGAUUUUAGAAUUUAGAAUGAAGGUAAUUUUGUUAAUAAUGGAAAUGAGAUUCUGAUUGUCGAGAAUGAGCUUACACAAACAACUAUAAAUUAAGUGAAAACAAAACACUUUUUCUCUUUGUGUGAUUAAAACAUGAUAUGUACCAUAAAUAAAUAAGUAAAAAAUAAAUCAACACAAUCUAAAACAGUAAACAAAUUACAAGAGGCACAGAUUUUUAUGUGAAACACCGAAAAUGGAAAAAACCACAGCAUCUUAGUUUGAUAUAAUCUUCUACUAUAUUAAUGGGAUUAUAGCACAAAUUCUUUCCUAUAUAACACUAGAGAUUAACAACAUCAAGAAUCUCAAUAAUCUUGACUUACAAUACAGCCUAAUAUUUGUCUCUCUAAUAAGUAGAUAUCUAAAAUAACAGUCUCUAAUAAGUAUGUAUCUAAAAUAAUAGUCAACAAGAGGAUAAAACAAAAAUUAAGAUUAGUAGGAUGUGUAUAAGGUGAUGCUAUCAAUUUAUCUUCUAAAUUUGAGAAAAAUAGUUAAAUUCACUUUUUCGAUUGUCCGACCAAAAAUGGAAACCCUUGCCCCAAAACCAAAGGAAUCACCAUUAUGUUUUUCUCUCUCUCUCUCUCUAUCUCGUUCUUUUCUUCUUCUUUUCUUAAUGUUAGCCAUCACUUGCUUUUAUUCUUUAUAGCAUUCAAAAAGCUACUUUUAAUGGUAAAUUUCAUUUAAGUCUGCAACUUAGUGAUAAUUGCACACCAAACAAUCCUUACAUAGUGUUUUGGGCCCUCAAAUGAGAUGAAUACAACAAAUCUCCCCCUUUAAAUCAUGUGGGGGGCACCGCAAGCCCGCUAUUUGCAUAUAGCUUUUCAGCUUCUCCUUGAAUAAUGACUUUGUCAUCAUACAUAAUCCAUUCUUCGUUGUGUAAAUCUUCUCAAGCUGUAACUGUUCCUUCUCAAGCUGUAAUUAUUCCUUCUCAAGCACGUCUCGUAUCUAAUGAUACCUUACAUCAAUAUGCUUAGAUUUCGAAUAGUAUAACAGCACUCUGACUAUCGUAGUACAUAACAUAGCUGUCUUGUUUUACACCCAGCUCUUGUAGGAAAUUCUUCGUCCACAAUAUUUUUUUGCAACCUUCAAUAAUUGUAAUAUCAUUUGCUUUAGUGGUAGAAAAGGCAACUUAUUACUAAAGUUUAGAUUGCGAUGAGACUGUUCCCCCUGCAAAAGUGAGCAAACAUCCUAGUAGGAAUUUUUCGGAAUCAACAGCUCCUGCCAUAUCUACACACUUGUAACACAGGUUUGUCACCACCAAAAUAUAAACAUGCUCUGGAAAUGCAUCUAAGAUAUCUGAGAAUUUUUCACUGUUGUCCAGUGCUCUUUACCGAGGUUGAAGAGAAACCACUGACUACACUAACUGUAUAGGCAAUAUUUGGUCUUGUACAAAUUAUGGCGUACAAUAAACUGCCAACUGCUGAAGCAUAAGGAACUCCUCUCAUGGAGAAAUGGGUUUUACUCUUGAGAUUUUUGGGACCAUGAAGAAUAAAGAUGUAAUUUCUUAUACUGCCAUUGUUUCGGGAUAUAUAAAUAGAGAACAAGUCGAUAUAGCUCGACAGUGUUUUGAUCAGAUGCCAGAACGAGAUUAUGUCUUAUGGACUACCAUGAUUGAUGGGUACCUUCGAGUGAAUAGGUUCAGAGAGGCUUUGACACUUUUUCAGGAGAUACAAACUUCAAAUAUAAUGGGAGACGAGUUUACCAUUGUUAGCAUUCUUACAGCUCGUGCGAAUCUGGGGGCACUAGAACUGGGAGAAUGGAUAAAGACUUAUAUUGACAAAAACAAAGUCAAGAAUGAUAUAUUUGCGGGGAAUGCUUUGAUAGACAUGUACUGUAAAUGUACUGUAAAUGCGGAGAUGUUGAGAAAGCUCAAAAGGUAUUCAGGAAGAUGCUUUGAAAGGUCAAAUUCACAUGGACGACCAUGAUUGUUGGCCUUGCCAUCAGUGGAAAUGGUGAUAAAGCUCUUGAUAUGUUUUCCCAAAUGCUCAGGGCUUCGAUCAAACCAGAUGAGGUAGCUUAUGUUGGUGUUCUGUCUGCCCGUACUCACAAUGGUAACGAAACUUUUGUGAUAAAUAGUUGCAACUUAAGGUGAGAACUGGAGGAAGGGAAAUAGAUUGAAGUUGUUCAAUCAUCAGUAGUUGCUACUUGGUUUUAAGUUGUUCAAUCAUCGGUCGUCUCUAUUUGGUUUUCUCCAAUAUCUCAUCUUCAAUUUUGACUCAGAUUGUAUCUUACCACUAGUAAUUACAUAGACUUGCUGCCAAAGGUAAGAAUGGGAAUAAAUUAAAUAGAUUAUGUCGAAAACGAAAUAAAUUUACUAUUGUUCUGUUCAUUCUAUUUGUUUCCUACAAAAUAUUUCUCCUGCCUAAAAUUUUUUGAAUCAGUAAGUUUUUACCUUAUGGAUGAAUUGUGUUGAGAGUAAUUCCAUUUCUCAGUCUCUUUAUGUUUCAAUGAAGACGUAAAACUUGUGUUCUAGUGCACCAACGUUUAUGCUUCUUACAAUUUGACUUUAAUUUACUUUGUAAAAUUUUUGUCAAAAAGUACUAAAAAGUAGUGCACCAAACACCAACUUUAUUACAGAGAGGACUUUAGUUAAAUUUUAAGAAAACACUCAAAAGAAAGAGUUGUAAAUUAUUAUAAAAAUAUUUCACAUAAAUAAAAGCCAUCCCAUGCUGCAAAGAUCUUGCUAUAAUCACCAAAAACUAUCGGGAGCUUUUAGGGUUUCCAUAAAAAUGCCAUUUCGUUCCAUGUAUAUGAUUCUAUAGUCUCACUGGCAAGUAAACCACAGCCCAACAGCACUGACUGUCCAUGAUGAUUCACCCCAAUGAACGAAACCAGCGUUGCAUCAUAUCUUUCUGUCAAGCAUGUAAUAUCAAUUGAUUUGAGCUAUUAACAUCAUUUCCAAAUACUCCAUUGGCAUCUACAUUACCAUUUCCCUCGGCAUCAAUGAUAAGAGUUCGAAACAGUCUAAUCUUUUGAACUUCUUCAGCACCAUCUAAGAGCAAUGUUCUUUUGGUUCCAAUACCCAUGUGCUUAUGAUAUUUGUAAAAUAAUUAUUUGUAAAAUAAUUAGUUCAAUUUUGACAUAAUACGGAAUAAACACAACCUGCCAAUCUAAGUUACUAUCUUUUCCCGUCAUCAGGUACCUGUUUGAAAAAUAAUUAUAUACAAUUUUAUUUGCGUCGUCCCUCUAAAAAUUUGGGACUCAAAUGUUAUUUCUAAUUGCUAAAAGUACGAAAUUGCCCCCUUUCUCUUCAGCUAAAGGAGUGCAAAGUCAUCUGUAUAAUUGAAUCUGCAUCAUCAGUUUCUAUUGCUGGCUGGUGUUACUGCAUGCUUACAGUUGCUUGACAAAGUGAGCCAGUUUUUUGUUUAUUAAUUUUUUUUCUUGUCGAGACAGUCACAAAGUAUUACUUGUUCUAUUUGAGAAUGAUGUGAAUCAAUUUUUCAAUUAUGCAUUCUGUGGUAAUUAUUGUGAAUUUAGUUUCAUUUGUCUUGUCUCCUGCAAAUUUUGAAGAAAAUGCAGACAUACAAAUUUACAAUAUGUAUUUGCGUUAGUAUAAAAACAAUUGUUAGAUGAUUAAAGCGAUUUAUUUUUUUUUUUACAGCAUUUGAUUGUAUUAGUUAAAAUCAUUUUUUAAGGAUAAAAAUAAAUAGAAAAUUAUUCUCAUGUAGUGUGGAAAUCUUUUCUAAUUUCUUGUUGACUUGUACAUUUAUUUCAGAAUUUCCAUUCAUUAAUUCUACUGUUUUAAUCUUUGACUUAGCUACCGUAGUUGACUUUUUAUAUCAAAGGCUUAAACAGCAUGCAUUUUUGAAUUGACUGAGAAUAAUUUGGUGGACAAAUUACUAGUAAAGGACUUCAAAUGGUUGAAUUGACUGUGGGUUUUUCAUGCCCAAGUCACUCGUCACGUCGUUUCAUCGAAACAAAGUGCCCGGUGCAAAUGGUGUGAUGUAAAACACCUUUUUAAAUUGUCAUUUUUUUUCCUUUGCUUUUGCUUUAAUUUUCUAAAUGCUCAACGCCAUAAAUCCAUGUAUUCUUAAUUUUCGUUUGCUGUAUUGAUUCCCAACCCUCUAUGUCACAAGGUUUUGAAUGCCAGUAAUUAAGUUAAAUUAAACAUAUUUUAAGUCCUACUUUAAAUUAUUGAAAAAUGUAUUAUGGUUGAACUGAAUUUUAACUAAAAAAUAUAUACAAAAUAAAAGAUUAAUCAUAUCUUUUUAUGAGGAAGGUCAGUCAUCAUUCUGACCACAGACACUUAAAAUUAAUUGAGUGGAAUAUUGCAAAAUAUAUAUAAACCAUGCCAAAACUAGAUGUUUGAGUAAUGAAAACGAGAAUUCAUAUGACUCAGAAAUAUGGUCGCUUUCCUUUUUCUGAAAGGCAAAAAAAAAGGGGGAACCAAAAAGGACCAAAAUGAACAAAAAUGGAAGGCGAAGGUAAGCAGACAUGUUAUAUGUUUUACCUAAGAUGCCAAAUGCAACUCCCCAUUGAUGGUGAUCGAACAUUAUGGCCAUUUUCUUAGUAAACAAAAAAUGAAUUUUGAACACUCAACAACGAAACUUGAGCAGAAGAUCAAGCAAGGGCCUCGAUCUCAAAGAAGAUACUAUGAAACCCUACUUAAUGGUUAAAUAACUUUCAUUCAGCUUUGGACCCUAUUUCGUGAUACGGAAAGACAAACCUUUCUUGGCCGGCAGUGUCCCAGAUCUGGGCUUUGAUGAUCUAGAGGUUGAUGGUGACAGUUCUGGUUUGGAACUCGACGCCAAUGGUUUAUUUCGAUUCAAAGCAAAACUCAUUCUUGGUGAAUCUCGAAAGAAUCUGAGACUUGCCCACGGCCGAGUCACCGAUCACCACUACCUUGAAUACAUAGUCUAUUUUGUCAGGAAUCAUAUUCUCUCGUUGUUGAUGACGAUGAUCGGUGCCAUCACCACUCAUUUCUUCGUUCAUUCAUUCUAUGUCCAUUGAUCUUUUUGAAUUAUUGAAGACAAGUGGCUCACCGCUUUUAGUAUUGGUAAAAUUCAGAUAAUCUCUAUUCCGAAAUAAUAAUAUUAAAAAUAUCUCUUAAAUCAUUAUAAACUUCAAAUCUAUUUUAAUUUUAUUUAAAAGAUAAAAGAAAAAUAAGUUAUGUUGGUGAUUUUUUAUUAUCUUUUUAAUAAAAAUAGAAUAAAUUGAUGUUUAUAAUUAUUUAAAGUAUUUUAAAGAUUGCUAUUUUAUGAGAGAAUAAUAUUUCAUUUUUUUUUUCGUGUGAAAGACCGAAAAAGGACAAAGCAAGUUUCCCUAAUUUUUAUUUUAUGUGAAAUUGGUCAUCUCAUAUACUUUACCCUUCAACACUCUAAUUUUUUUGGUUAUAAUUUUAUUAUUUUUUCUCUUUUACACAUGCAUGUGAAUUACUUUUCUUUAAGCUCCUGAAUAUUUAAGACAAAUCAUGGAAGAGAUGAGAGUAUAACAAGAUGAUCAAAAUAUGUAACAAAAAAAUUUUAGAAGUGAAAAAUAUGUUAGAGUCGAAGUAAAACUCUGAGGUGAUGUUUGAUUUGAAGAAAAUGGAGGAGAGAAAAAGAGUGGAAUGGAGAGGAAAAGAGAGAAAAGGAGAGGAGAGGAGAGGAGAGUGAACUUUUUUUCUAAUGUUUGGUUUGUCACAUAAAUAUACAAAGAAAGGAAAUCUCCAAUUUUUUAUUUAGACAAUUUUAACCUUAAUAAGUAUUAAGCUUUCAAUAUUUAUCAUGUGUAUAAUUUAAAAAAAGUAAAUGGUAGAAAGCGGUUUCUGAUUCCGGCCACAUCGCCGGCAAUGGAAGGUACUUAUCAGAACAUCAAGAACCGGCCAUCAUUCCCUAGCCAUCACUGCUGUAGGAACACUGCUAAAAAGCUGCCGAUUGAACCGCGAAAAGUCGUGGAAAUCGUUGCCUCAAAUCGGUGAGUUUCGCCUUUUUCUGGUCAUGCCGUCGCCUUGGCUUUGUCCAUCAACGCUGCCACUUCCAUUUCAACCAUCCAUAGCCACUAUUAACCGCCAAAUCGCCGCCGAUCAGCGGGAUCUGUGGAAGUUAAAAAGUUUCUAAAAUUUUUUAAUUGGAUUUGAACAACAUACAACCAUUUUUUGAUCUCAAUAACGACAUAGUAAUGUUGAUCGUUGGUCGGCAAGUCGAAUGGUAGUGGCGGUGAGUAACACGCGCCAAUGACAUCGGCGGCGGCGGCGGCACUAUCCGGCUACUGUUAAAAUUAAUAUUUUAUAUUUGUAGAUUAAAUAAAUUUAUUUUAUUAAACUUUUUAAAUCAUUAUUUAAAUUUAAUUAAUUUAAAAUUAUCUAUGAUGUUGAAUUGAUAAAAUAAAUUUAUAAAUAAUAAUUAUGUGAUUACAUUAAAUAAGUUAAAAAGUUGAAGGGUUAUUUUUGGAAGAUUUAGUUUCCAACACAAAGGGAAUUUGAAUUCUUCACUUCUUAGUGUGGAAUUCAAAUUCUAUAUUGUAAUGGAUAUUAAAUUCCAAUAGAAAUUAAAUUCUUAUAAGUUAUGUCAAACCAAACAACGGAAAUAAAAAAAAAGAAUUUAAAUUACUUUCCUUUCCUCCACCCUCUCCUUCCAACCAAAUACAUCCUGAAAAUAGAGAUAUUGAUUAAUUUAGAAGAGAUGCAAGCAAAAGAUAUUCCACAAAAAAAAAAAAGCAAUAUGUCCCUUUGGAGGGCAAACUUGUCAGUUUUAAAAAAGUACAUGCUUUGGAUUGAUAGUUGUAGGAUAUUUGUUUUGUCACUAUGUGUUAGUUGGAGAAGUCAAGCCUUGUGAAGAAUGUUAUGAAAGAGCAAAGGAUAUUCCUGAUAGCUGAUAGAGCUCUAUUUGAUUAUGUAUCCAAUGAAUGGAUGUGUUGUUGGAAGAUAUUUGAGUGCAUUAGUUCAUAUGUGUCUAUCAAUGUGAUUUUAAUGAUUUUUCCACUUGUUUGUUGUAAAAGAUUAUUGUAAAUUGAAAUGAACUUGAUGUUGUAAUAUUUUCUCCUUAGUAGAAUUUCACCUAGUAUGUAUUUAGUUGUGUUGUCUAUAAUUUUGCAUUCGAAUAAGUUUCACCUAAAAUAUUAGCAUGAGUAGUGGCCCUUGAAACUUUGGUCAAAAUUAUUGUUAUUAUUUCCGACUAGAUGUAAAUUUUUUAUUAAAUCUCGCUAACACAAUUCUUAAUUAAAAGUAUAGGUUAGUGUUGGUGCAAGACUUGCCACACCAAAUUCUGCCUAACUGUCAAAAGUGCAAAAUAAAUGAAGAGAAAGCACAAAUACACGACUUGAAUAAGGAUACAACGAAACUUAAAUUCAAGAGAAAAUGAUAGCUAUAUCUCAAGAUUUGAAAAAACGGUCAUGUAGAUUUUUAAGAUUUCAAUAAGCGACUGAGAUUCAAAUAAUAUCCUUUAAUUCUAUUAACAAAAAACAAAGACUCAAAUAUUUUAUGAUAAAUAAAAAUAUAAUAUUAAAAUAUAUGUGAUAAUAUACACAUUUUAAAUACUUUCAAUCCAAAAAAAUAGUUAUGUUUUACAAUCUAUUAGACAUAUUUUAUUAAAUUAAUAUAAAUUUUCUAUAAAAUAAGAAUAUAAUAUUAAAAUAAAUUCACAAAAAUUUAAAGAAUUUUGAAUGUAAAAUAAUUUUAAUAUAUCAAUACGUGAGUUUUUUUAUUAAUAUAAAAUUUAUUUAACUUUAAGAUUUUUUAAAAUCUUUACAAUAAGUAUAACUAUAUUAUUUACAUUUAAAAAUAUUUAAAUAUUAUUAACCUACAAUUAUAUUUGCAUUUGUUAGAAAUUUUUUAAGUCAAAUAUUUUGCACUUCUAUAUUAUUAGAAUUAUUGCACAAAAAGAAAGAAACAUACACCUUUAGAAAUUGUUUUCUUUUAAAAUAGAGAUGAUGAUUAGUAUAAGGAUGAAAAAAAGGAUAAAGAAUAUUAAUGAUUAACGAAAUCUCUAUACAAAUUGAUUUUAGUAGGAAAAGAGUGAGAUGAAUGAUUUCUUUUACAGUUAGAAACAUAGAUGAUGAUUAUUAUAACGAAGAAAAAAAGAUAAAGAAUAUUAAUUAUUAAUGGAAUCUCUAUACAAAUUGAUUUUAGUAGGAAAAAAAUGAUUAAAUGAUUUAGAGUGCGUUUGGAAUUGAGAUUGGGCAGCCAUAGAUUUUAAGUUACAACACUGAAGUGUUUAGUAAAUACUAGUUGCUGCAGAUUGAAAGUUAUGUUGAUAUGAUUUUUCACAUGUAUCAUAGAAAAUAUAUUACAUCUUUAAUAUUUUUUAAAAAUUUAUAUUUGCUAUAUAUUAUUAAUUUUUUUUUAUAGUUAUAACUUUUUUUCCACAACAGUUGUAGCUUAAAAGUCACAGCACCUCAAUCUCAAACAAAUCCUUAGACAUUCAUAGUGUGUUUAUUUUUUGGAUUGGUGAAUCAAAAUUAUUGACAACGCUAACUUCAUCUUCACUGUUCGCAAUCCAACAGCAGCAAUUGUCGCCAAUAAUGAUAUCUCCAAUGAUGAUGACAAUUAUUAUUAUUAUUUUUAUUAUUAUUAUUAUUAUUAUUAUUAUUAUUAUUAAUUAAUUAAUUAAUUAAUUAAUUAAUUAAUUAAUAUAUUAAUGUUGAUAUUAUUAUUAUUAAGAUUAACAAUAAUUAUUAGUAAUACAAUUUUUUGAAUAAAAAUAAUCACAAUAAUUAAAAUACAAAUUAAUAAUUAUGACAAUAAUUAAUUAAUGUCUUUUUAGUAAUUUGUAAUAAUCUAACUCAUUUUGGUUCUGAUUAUUACAGCUUAAGUAAACAAAUUAUUAUGAUUCCUAUUCUCCUUUCCCAUUUUAACUCACUUUGAUUCCAGUCUAUUCCGAUUUCUAUUUAAUAAAUGCACCAUUAGUGCUAAAGUAAUAUUUCAUACAUAGAAAAAUAAAAACUACGCCUAAGGUUAAGGGAAAAGACUUCAAAAUUCUCUUUUGAUCAUAAUACAUUUUGUCCUAAUUAACUUAAAGAUUUUGAAUCUAAUAUUUUAUAAUAAAUAAAAAUAUAUUCCUAAAAUAAAUAUAAUAUCAAUAUUUAAAAUAUGUUUUAAUAUUUUACAAUCUAUCAUACACAUUUUAUUAUAUUAAAGUAGAUUUAUAAUAAAUAUAUAAAAAUUUAGAAUAUUUAGAAUAUUAUAUAAAAUAAUUUUAAUAUAAUGCGUGAUAUAUAUUUUAUUAAUUUAAAAUGUCAUUUUACCUAAAAAAUAUGAUAAAUUAAUAAUUACAUAUUUGAAGUUAUUUCAAAUAUUAAAAAAAUUUAAUAUUAUUAAUCUUUUAGAUAGAUUAAAUUAUUUUUUAUAAGAGAGAUUAAAUUAUUUUAAAAUGCCUUAAUUGUUUUUACUUUUAACGUUACGGGCCUUUCUUUUAUUUUAUUGCAAAUUAAUGCUAACUAGAAAAACAAAAACAAAAGUGACAAACACAACCAGCUGGAAUCUUUUAUAAAACUACAAAUUAAAAUGGAUUUUUUUUUUUUGUUGAUAAAUUACACAUGAAAGUGGAUUCUUUUGAAUAUAAGUGGGGUAGGCUCUUUUAUUUUUUUUUUAAUACCGUAUAACAGGACUGUAGACUCUUUUAUUAAGCACAAAUAUAGAGUUGUCGAGACAAUUAGGGUCUUUUAUUAAACUACAAAUUGUAUAGUCUUUUUUAAAUUGUUCAGAUAUUUAUAAAUUGGUGGCCCCUACAAUCCUCAAUAAUUGUACCGAUAUUCACAAGCUGGUGGCCCCUACAAUCCUUAAUAAUUGUUUUUUUUUUUUUCUGCAUUCCCUUUCAUGCUCUUAAUAAUUAAAGAGCAUACUUUUCAAAUGUGGAGCCGCGGCUAAUGUCGCUAAUUUAAUUUGGGAUUAAAUUAGGGGACUAUUAUAUUGCAGUGUGCACUAAUUUUUAUGUUUAUCUAAACUCCUUAAAUUUAAGAUAUAUUAUGGCAUAAAUAAGAAUAUAACAAUAGCAAAAGAGUUAGAAAGUGUAGAGAAGAUCUUGCAGAAAUAUAAAUAAUAUUUAUUUUAAAAUAAUAUCAAUAUUUAAAAUAAUUUUUAUUAUUUUAUGAUCCAUUAGAUAUAUUUUAUUAUAUUAAAGUAAAUUUUAUAAUAAAUAAAAACAUACUAUUAAAAUGAAUAUAUAGAAAAUUUAGAGUAUUUUAAGUAUUAUAUAAAAUAAUUUUAAUAAAAUAUGUGAGAUAUUCAUAUUUUAUUAAUUUAAAAUACCAUUUAACCUAAAGAUUUAUUUAUGAUAAAUUAAUAAUUAUAUUUUUGAAAUUACUUCAAAUAUUAAAAAAAUUAAUAUUACUAAUCUAUUAGAUAGAUUAAAUUAUAUAUAUUAUUUUCUAUUUAUUAAAAAAUUUCAAAUUAUUUUUAAUUACUAUUCAAAAAAUAUGAUGAUAAAAAAAUCUUAACAUCUUUAUUAAAAAAUUAAAAACUUACAUGAUCAAUUCUCUAAAUAUUUAGGGUAUAUGUGAACCACGGUGGACAGAGGUCAUUACUAAAAUUUCUCUUCCACAGGCAAUUACAGCAGCUCCAGUUUAUCAAACUCAACCAAUUUUCUUUCUUAACAAAAUUCCAAAGAUGUGUAGCUUUUUUCAGAUCACAUGCGAUGGUGCUUUUUUCAAUCGUUGCUUGGAUUGCUUUCUUGGAAAAGCAGCAUACAUACGUAACCUCCAAGAUAAUCUUGAUGCCUUGGACACUGAACUGGGAAGACUAAUCGCAGCAAAGAACGAUGUGAUGAUUAGGGUUGUCAAUGCUGAACGGCAAUAAAUGAGAAGGCUGGACGGAGUGCAAGUGUGGGUUUCGAGUGUGGAUGCUGUUAAAACUGGAGCCGAUGAACUUAUCACAGACGGCUCUGAAGAAAUUGGCAAAUUAUGUGUUGGAGGCUACUGUUCCAAGAACUGCAGGUCAAGCUACAAAUUCGGAAAACAAGUGGCUAGAAAGCUACGAGAUGUGGAGACUUUAAUCGCCGAAGGAGUUUUUGAGGCGGUGGCUACUGAGGUGGUGCCUGAGAGAGCUCCAGAGCCUGUAGCAGAUGAAAGACCUACCGAGCGAAAAGUAGUAGGCUUGCAAUCACAACUUGAACAAGUCUGGACGUGUCUUGUGGAAGAAUCAGCGGGAAUCAUUGGCCUAUACGGUAUGGGCGGUGUUGGUAAAACCACACUAUUGACCCAUAUCAACAAUAAAUUUCUCGAGAGUCCAACCAACUUUGAUUGUGUGAUUUGGGUAGUAGUUUCAAAAGACCUGCGACUUGAAAAACUUCAAGAAGAUAUUGGGAAAAAGAUAGGUUUGGUUGGUGAUUCAUGGAAGAGUAGAAGUGCAGAGGAGAAAGCUCUCGACAUCUUCCGGAGUCUAAGAGGGAAGAGAAUUGUAUUGUUGUUAGAUGAUAUAUGGGAGCGGGUUGAUUUAACAAAAGUGGGCGUUCCACUUCCUGGACCACAAAAUACUACCUCAAAAGUCGUAUUCACAACNNNNNNNNNNNNNNNNNNNNNNNNNNNNNNNNNNNNNNNNNNNNNNNNNNNNNNNNNNNNNNNNNNNNNNNNNNNNNNNNNNNNNNNNNNNNNNNNNNNNNNNNNNNNNNNNNNNNNNNNNNNNNNNNNNNNNNNNNNNNNNNNNNNNNNNNNNNNNNNNNNNNNNNNNNNNNNNNNNNNNNNNNNNNNNNNNNNNNNNNNNNNNNNNNNNNNNNNNNNNNNNNNNNNNNNNNNNNNNNNNNNNNNNNNNNNNNNNNNNNNNNNNNNNNNNNNNNNNNNNNNNNNNNNNNNNNNNNNNNNNNNNNNNNNNNNNNNNNNNNNNNNNNNNNNNNNNNNNNNNNNNNNNNNNNNNNNNNNNNNNNNNNNNNNNNNNNNNNNNNNNNNNNNNNNNNNNNNNNNNNNNNNNNNNNNNNNNNNNNNNNNNNNNNNNNNNNNNNNNNNNNNNNNNNNNNNNNNNNNNNNNNCAGGAAGUCCUAGUGCGUGCUAUCAGAAAAGAUGCUGGGAACUGUUUCGCGAAAAUGUUGGGGAAGAAACUCUUGAGAGUGAUCAUGAGAUCGUUGAGCUAGCCCAAACUGUGGCCAAAGAGUGUGGUGGUUUGCCACUCGCACUUAUUACUAUUGGUCGAGCUAUGGCCUACAGAAAGAAAGCGGAGCAGUGGAGACGUGCAAUUGAAGAGUUAAGAAGAUCAGCUUCAGAGUUUGCAGGUUUGGGAAAAGAGGUGUAUCCUCUUUUAAAGUUUAGCUAUGAUAGUUUGCAGAAUGAUACAAUUAGAUCUUGUUUCUUGUAUUGUUGUUUAUAUUCUGAAGAUUAUGGCAUUCUUAAAUGGGACUUGAUUGAUUGUUGGAUUGGUGAGGGAUUUUUGGGGGAAUCUGACAGGUUUGGUGCAGAAAACCAAGGAUAUGACAUUUUGGACACUCUUGUUCGUGCAUGUUUAUUAGAAGAGGUGGAAGAAGAUGAAGUAAAAAUGCAUGACGUUAUUCGUGAUAUGGCUAUAUGGAUAACCAGUGAAAUUGAGAAGGAGAAGAGAAACUUUUUGGUUUGUGCAGGUGCUGGAUUAGAAGAGGCACCGGAUGUUAAAGAAUGGGAAAAUGUGAGAAGAUUGUCAUUGAUGCAAAACCAAAUUGAAACUCUGUUUGGGGUUCCCACAUGCCCUCAUCUCAUCACUUUAUUUAUUGACUUUAAUAGGGAGUUGAAGACUAUCGCGGAUGGCUUCUUCCGAUGUGUGCCUUCUCUCAAAGUUUUGAAGAUGUCAAACUGUGGAAAGCCUUAGAAAGGUUUGGAAUUACCUUUGGGGAUGUCAAAGUUGGGUUCACUACAACUUCUUGAUAUUUCACACACCUGCAUACAAGAAUUACCACAAGAAUUAAAGUUGUUGGUAAAUCUGAAAUGUUUGAAUUUGAGGCGGACAAUUUGGUUAAAUAAAAUUUCAUGGCAACUAAUAUCAAAAUUUUCAAGGUUACGUGUGUUGAGAAUGUUCGCUACUGGCUGGUUCAGUUUUCAUGAAGCACCAGAAGACAGCGUUUUAUUUGGUGGGGGUGAAGUUUUGAUACAGGAAUUGCUCGGUUUGAAAUAUUUAGAGGUAUUGGAGUUGACCUUGGGAAGUUAUCAUGCUCUCCAAAUUCUUUUGAGCUCAAAUAAGUUAAAAAGUUGUAUUCGAUCUCUUUUCCUACAGUUGUUCAGAGAUACAACGUCGAUUAUUGAUGCUACGGCUUUCGCAGAUCUAAACCACCUCAAUCAAUUAUGUAUUAGUAACGGUUCUGAGUUGGAAGAAUUGAAGAUUGAUUAUACGGAGAUAGUACGAAAAAGGCGGGAACCUUUUGUUUUCCGCAGCCUUCAACGUGUUACCAUAGAGGAGUGCCAUAAAUUGAAAGAUUUGACAUUCCUCGUUUUUGCUCCAAACCUCAAGUCUCUUUCGCUAUACGAUUGCGGUGCUAUGGAAGAAAUAAUCAGCGUCGGAAAAUUUGCUGAGACUCCUGAGAUGAUGGGACAUAUAAGCCCUUUUGAAAAUCUCCAAAUGCUUUAUUUAAUGGCAUUGCCGGAGUUGAAGAGCGUCUACUGGAAGCCAUUGCCUUUCACUCAUCUGAAAGAAAUGGAGGUACUUGGGUGUGAUCAGCUUAAAAAGCUUCCACUCGAUUCCAACAGUGCAAAAGAGCGUAAAUUUGUAAUUCUUGGAGACACACAGUGGUGGAACCGUCUUCAAUGGGAGGAUGAAGCCACUCAAAUUGCUUUUCGUUCCUAUUUCCAAACCUGAUUCCUGAGCGGUGGUCGCAAAAUUUGAUUUCUGGUGAGUGCGUUUGUCUUUUAAAAGAAGAAUUUAAAAGAAAUUUAUUCUUGUCGUUUUCUUCUCUGUUUUUAUUUCAGUUUGUUUCUCUCUCUCUCUUUUUGUCUUCUGCAAAUCACAAUUAAAUGUUGAAUUAAUGGAAUUAAUGCUUCAUAAAUUUGCCGGCACUGCCAGUACUUUUUUUUUUUUUUAAUACGAAUUGAUGCUUUAUUUAUUUCUUCUUAGCGAUUUAAUUUCCUGUCAAAAGACGAGCGAGAAGAACAUAUGACUUAAACCAAUUGAUACUUUAUUUAUGUGCAUUGUAUGUAAUAAAAUUUUCUCUGUUUUUUUCAAAUUGAGGCUUUAUUUAUAUUUUCUUCGUGAAGAGUGAUUUAAUUUCCUGCCAAAAGACAAACGAGAAGAACAUUAGAGUCAAACUAAUGCUCACAUAAAUUUCCCGUAAGAAUAUAUAUAUAAUUAGACUGGAAUGCACACCUCUAGAUUGAACAGAAUUAAAGCUGAGAAAAUAUUGAGUAUAGUAGCCCUCUUUACAGAAAAUGACGCGAAAGUUAAUUUAGAAAGAUAUAUUCUUGAUUAAUCCAUUUUCUGAAGUUUUUUAUUUUGUAUGGUCAAUUAUACCUUCAUACUAAAAAAAAAAAAAAAAAAGAGAAAAUAUGUAAUCCAUGAAUGGUUAAUUUUGUUUGUUUGUUUUUUUUUCUUAAAUAUCAUUCUUUUUCGGCCACCCAAGGACAUUUUCACAAAUACCUUUUGUGUGCAGAAGUCUUCCAAACCAUCAAUGGAAAAAUAAAAAAUAAAAAAAACACGGUCCAGUAUACCUCAAAAUAUCAUUGAUGACUUUUCUGGUCUAAUGCUAUGUAAAUAGUAUGUUAAGUAAAACAUAAUCAGUUCAGUACCUCACAAAUAAUUCGCAAUAUCUACAAAAUACUAUAAUGGCUACAAAACAAAUCCUGCUUGCAAAUUGUCAAGGAUACCUAUCCGUUCGCUUGACAAGUCAUUUGAAUAAAUAUUGUUCACAUUCCUUACUCUGUCAAUUAUCCAAAGCACCAUCAACUUUAGUUUGAAUAGUAUACAUGCCAUCACCGUUACCAAGAAUCAAGCAUGGAAGGGUCAUUCUAUAGAGUGCAGAACAUGACUCUAUGCGGUAGUCAAUUUGACACACGACGAACACCAUAUGCUGCAUAACAUACAAAUUAAUUUCCCAUAUGUGAUGCAAUUUUCUCCUCAACAUAUGCGCAAUUCUUUCCAUUCCGGCAUUUACACUCAAAUUUUCCUUCCUUUCUCUUUGUGGUUGAAUCUUACACCACAACUCAUGUGAUGCAAUCUCCUCUCGCUGCCUAAAUUGCACUCUCAGCAAAGCAGCAUAUGUAAGCAAGCUUGAAGAUAAUCUUGCUGCUCUGCAGAAGAACGGCAAAAGUUAAUCGAAGCAAGGAAUGAUGUAUCAGAAAAUAUUUGGUGGAGAAUUCAGCACAAACAUAUUUCGGAUGAUCAGAAUCAAUAAAACCUGGUGGUUGUGCCAUAUAAACAUCUUUGGAAAGCUGACCUUGAAGAAAGGCGUUAUUGAUAUCCAAUUGAUGAAGAGGCCAGCCAUGACUAACAUCAAUACUAAGAACAAGCCGUACUGUGGUGGACUUAACAACUGGACUGAAAGUGUCAUAAUAGUCCACACCAGGCCAUUGAUUGAACCCUUUGGCAACAAGAUGAGCUUUAAACCUGUCAACAGAACCGUUGGAAUGUCUUUUAAUACAAAAAUCCAUUUGCAGCCAACAAUAUUGGAAGGGAUGGGAGGUGGAACAAGCUUCCAUGUCCCGUUACGAACAAGAGCAUCAUACUCUUCUGACAUAGCUGGACGCCAGUGAAGAUUUUUGAUAGCUUGCGUCACAGUUGUAGGUUCACAAUCAGAAGAAGGGCUAAAAUGAGCACGGAGGUUAAGUUUUUGUAACGGCUUGUGAAUCUUAUUUUUAGCUCGGGUAGUCAUAUCAUGAUGACUUGUGGGGCAAUGAUCUAGUGGAGUUUAGGAAGAUGAUUGAACAGGAAGUGAAGAAGUGCUUUGUGUAGAGGUAGAAGUAGGUUGGGAGGAUUGCUGCGGAGAUGUUACCGGUAGAGAAGAAGGAGCAGUACACGGUGGCAACUCCAGAGGGCCCACAAUAGAUGGAGUAGGUGCCGACAAUGGAGUACUAGGAAAUGAAACAGGAAGAAUUGGUGGAACACUUGCAUAAUUAGGAGUGGUAGAUGAGCUUGUAAUGAUUUGCAUGGAAAAACAAACUCUACAAAUUUAACGUGACGUGAAAUAAAAAUUUGAAAGGUGGAUGGGUCAAAACAUAAAUAAGCACUUUGAGAUAAAGGAAUAUCCUAGAAAAACACAAGGCUUAGAGGGUGGUUCGAGUUUAUGUGAUGAAACACAAACAUUCAAAAAAUUUUAAGUUUAUAUUAAUUAGGAGUGGUACCAAAAAUUAAUUAGCUAUGGGGUUGUUGGAUGUGUUUUGGAUAUUUACAGUUAAGUUUGAGUAUCUCAACUUAAAAUUUGUAGUUUUCACUUGAAAAAAUUCAGUUAAAUUUUGCAAUGCAGACUGAUUGAUUUAUCAGUUUAACGUGUGCCAGGAAUGAAGAACUGGAAUAUCACCGUCAAGCAAGCACCCUGUGGAGCAAUACCAAAGAAUGCACAAUCUGGCUUUGCUAGGUAACACUGGAGGCUUUUUGAAAAGUGCUUCACGCUCACUUGCACAGAUUGAGCAUCCCCUCUGGAUAUUGCCCUCUCUGAUCGAGUCUGAGCACUCAAAUUUUGGUCCUCAGAGGGAGCUACAGUUUUCUCUCCACUAACCAACAAUAUUCUAAACUCAGCACCUAGUGUGAUCAGAGUUGUUGAUAUUUGCAAAUGGAGAUCCCCAUAUUUGCAAAUGGAGACAUUUAACAAAUCACCAACAUGCUUCAUCCGGUCCACGAAAUUCUGCAACUGAUGCAAAUCUGGAACCUGAACCAGAGUCGGAGGUAUAUCUUGAGCCAUAUCUAAAGCAGUUUGAAGUUCAAGACCUUGAGCCCUUGACAAUGGUUUUGAAAUUGGAACAUCUUGGAUUACUGCAGACUUGUACCCCUUGGUUUCAAAGGUAAGGAAAGGCAUUGCUUGAGUACAAUUUGGAGGCAGCUUCUUCACCAAUUUUAUUUGGAGGCGAUUGGCAGCGGAUCCAGCUGCACCAAUUUCAGAGCAACUACUGACACUACUUCGAACAGCACACUGAAGAAGUGAUAUGUCUACGGCGAAGGCAAUGCAGUCCUCAUUUUGGCUUGAGACACAGUAAUCAUCGAAGAGAGUUUCCUUGUGAAACUGGGCAACACAUUGAAUCCCUUCGGCACUGAGAAGGUUGUGGAGGAAGUAAGCUUUCUCUCUAGUAAGGAAGAGGUGGCAUACAUUCCCCAUUUUGUCUAGGGCAGGUAGGAAUCUUUUUUCUAAGAGAUUUACUUCAUUCUCUGUGAGAAAUGCUUUGAACUUCAUCCCUCUGUCUCUAUCCUCACUUAUCAGUAAAAUAGUUGAAAGCGCUACAAGGAGAGAAAAGAAGAGUAUUAAGAUAUAUAUAUUAUAUAGACAAGAAAAACAUUAGAUGUCGAUCUUACAAGCUAAUACUUCAAACAAUAUCCUAGAAAGCUAAAAACUGCAAGAUGGCUUGAAAUUUGAAAAGAGCACGUGCUUUUCCUCCUUAACUUGAGAAAAUGUUUAAUAUAGUGCACCUUACAGAAGCAUUUAAGCAAUUAGAACUUUGCACAAAAACAUCAAGAAGACUAAACAAGUCAGAUGCAGUGUAUUUGUCCAAGCACAAAUUGCAUUUUGUCCUCAACUUUAAUAUUUAUUGAUGAGAAUCAAUACAGGUCCCUCAUUUGUUAUAGAAAGCUUUCUUGUAGUCUCACCAGUUAAUAUGGAUAUUAGAUAAGGAAACUUUAUUAGGUUGCGAGGGUAAAAAAGGAAAGAGAUAUCAUUAUUUUAUUAUCGAUAAUUAUUAAAUUUUUUUCCAAAAAAAAGAACAAGCAAGGAUAUUUUAUUGUCAAUUGCAACCUUUAAUUUUUUUAAAUGCUAUUAGAAACACAAGAUAACAAAAAUGUAGUGAGAUGGGAUCUCCUGCAUGCCACUCUGGUUUAGAACACAAAGAAUGUGUCUGCAUAAAUAUCCUCUGAAAUUGAACAACCCACAAACACAAAGCACCUCCAAGUCGGAGGCAUUGUACAAAACAUCAAAAGCCCUUGAAUCCUUCUCGUUGCCACCAACCUCGAAUUCUUCCUUCACUAUGUAUGUUAUAGGUCCAUCAGAACUAAUAUGUUUUGUGCUAUAGUAAGAGUACAUAGCCUCCACCUCCAUCUGAAACUUCCUUAACAUUUCAUUUGUGUACAGUUUUGAGAGUUGAAAUUCAUAGUAACAUCUUGGUUUCCGGAUACAACUUGAAUUUCUUGAAUCCAUAUCUGCCAAGGCUACCAGUUGAUAAUUCGCCUGCAGUGCUUGAUCAUACUUGUCUAAGAAUUCUUUCAAAGGAGUAUUCUUAUCAAGAUAUCCUUCAAAGUAUGAAGUAGAAACCUCAUUCUGCAGGAACGAAAACACUCCUGAUAAAAAAGCUUCCUUCAAAUAAAUAGGAGCCCACCUUUUAUGAUCUUCAUAUAAAGUUUGAAUCCAUCCGUGAUCCUUUAUUCCAUGACAUUGAAUCAUGUCUUCCCAAGCUGCUUCAAAUUUCUCAGGCCUGAGAGAGUGAUAAAUUGCUCUAUGUAAUGCAGCUUUAAUAGCUUCAUAUUCAAACAAUCCUUGGAGUUUCUCUGGAAUUUUUUUGCAUGAUGCAUGACAAUGAAAAGAAAUGAUAAGCUCUUGGGAAAACAUCACCAACAGCAAUUUGCAAGAUUCUACAUUGGUCAGUGAUGAUUGUUUGUGGAGAGCGCCCUAACAUACAUGUAAGCCACGCCGUAAACAACCAUGUAUAUGAUUCUAUGGUCUCACUGGCAAGUAAACCACAACCCAACAACACUGAUUGUCCAUGAUGAUUCACCCCAAUGAAUGAAACCAGUGGUACAUCAUAUCUUUCAGUCAGGCACGUAGUAUCAAUUAAGACCACAUCACCAAAGUACCUAUAUGCAACUCUUGACCUGGUAUCAGUCCAGAAUAGGUUUUUCAAGCAUCCCUUUUCAUUUAGAUCCACUACAUUAAAAAAGUUUGGAUCUGUCAACUGCAAAUGACAAAAGAAACUCUGGACAGCUUGUGCAUCUCCUGGUUUAAGCUUCAAUUGAUUUGAGCUAUUAACAUUAUUUCCAAAUACUCCAUUAACAUCUACCAUUUCCCUUGGUAUCAAUGAUAAGAGUUCGAAACAGUUUAAUUUUUUGAACUUCUUCAGCACUAUCUAAAUGCAAUGUUCUUUUGGUUCCAAUACCUAUGUGCUUAUGUGACUUGUAAAACUUUCCGCUUCUUGGGCUUAACAAGUGGUUAUGCUCAAGCUCGACUUCAAUGAUUCUCCACCUUUUGGUUUCCAUCAACCUAAACUUUAUCAUUGCUGGACAGCCAGUUCUUGUUUCUGGUCUUGGGCGGUUUGCCUCGCUUUUCUUCUUGAAGCCUGCACUACUACAGCUCAGCUUUCCUCUAUACUUUUCUCUACUCUUUCGGUACCAUGGAUUGCUAACUCUAACACCAAAACCCUGUUCCUUGGCAUAGCAAUUGUAAAAGUAAUAUACAUCAUCAUACAUCUCAAACUCCAUUCCAACAGUAGGAGGCAAGGGAUUUUGGAUUAUCCCAGUUUGUCCAACAUAUUCAGUCAUCGCACAAUCUCCUACAACCUCAAAAUCAUCAGUGUCAUCAUCACCUACUGGUUCGGUGUUGAGAGAAACUUCAUCCAUCUACAAUGGAUGUUCAAUGAAGUGAGCUUUAAGGAGAAAAAGCAAAAUCUGUUCAAGGAAUGAUAAUAUAAUCAUACAGUUACUUUCACAAAGCUUCAUAUUUCAUCACUGCUUUACCAACAUGCAACUGCCAGAGAACAAACAGACAUGUCAUAGACGCUUGAAUUAAGUAUUGGUACAAAUGAGCACACAUCAUGUGGGACAAAAUUUCAGUCACUAAACCCAAUACCACUUUUUACAUCAUACCAAGGAACAGAUUAAACCCGACACCUUCUUUUAAACCAUACCAAGGAACAGAUUAAAUCAUCAAUGAAAAAUUAAUCACAUAAUAACUUAACCAGACAAAUGAAGAGCCUGAAACAGCACAAAACUUGAAUCUGAUUAUGAUAAUUGUUGAGUCCUUGUAUCUACAGCUUUCCUUCAAUGAUAAGACAAUGAACAUAAACGAGACACAAAAAAAUUAUUUUAAACUGACAGCCCAUGAUAUAAAUCAAACAAAAUCAACUCCUUUUUUUACACAUUACAUCUCAUAUUCAUUUACAUUGAAACACAAAAAGGAAGCAGGAGUGGGAAAAAAACAACAGCAGAGGAACUUAUUUCCAUAAGGUUUACGAAAUAAGGAAUCUAUUAAAACCCAAAACUUGAGGUCACCACUAAGAAUUUGGUUCUCAUUAUUUUUUUCUUCAUUUUUCACCAAUUGAUGAACUUAAAAUACAAUCAUAAAUGAUAAAACCCCAUCUCCAUCUUUUUGAACUAGAGCUAAAGCAAAGCAUUUUAAGAUGUUUCAUCAUUUUUUUUUUUAAAAAAAACUCAAUAGUACAAUGUUUUUCAAUGCUAAAUGCACAAUUCAAUCUUCUCCUAAUUUACUCUAAUAAUCUCUUAAUUAAGGAAGAUUAAGCUUCAGUUGUAAGCUAAAACAAAUUUCUUAAAUCAAGCCCCAAUGCUUUAUGCUAUUCAACAAGGGCUCAUAAAUGAUAAAACUACUUCUAUAAAGAUACCCAUUUUCUAAAUUAAUUUCACAAACUGAAAUCAAACUCCUGAAACGUAACGAGCAUUAAUAUAAUCAAGCCCGAACAAGAAUUGAAAAAUGAUACAUAAACUCGUUUACACAUUUCGACAGACACUUUGCAAUCAAUGAGCAAAAAAUUAAUGGAGAAGAUAAAAUUCAAACGAAACAUGCCUUACAUUGAUAAAUUAGAAGGGCAAAAGAAAUUUUAGUACGAUAUGCGAUCAGGGUCUUGCCACGGUGAUGUUAUUUGUGAAGUUCGAGCGACUCAGCAGCCUUCGAGGUUGAAAAUUUGAUUGACCAAAAGCUUCCCGUUCGUUGAUUCUCUAAUAGUAGAAACGAGACUGGCAGUAUACACAAGAAGUUCGCCGAUUUUAAAUUCCGUUGUUUGAGAUGGAAAAUUUUUUGAAAAAAUUAAUGUGUUCGAUGAAAAUCAAAAUCUCAAAAACCUCUUGUUUUUCAUUUUUUUGGAAAAAACCAUUGAGAUCCUUACUAUUUUUUCUUAUAUCAUCUUCCUUAAUAAUUUGCAAAGUCUAUCGCAUAGCACCCAUGUAUGAUGUAUGCUGCGUUGUAAUUUACAAAAUUGCACAUGAAUAAAUCCAGCUAAAAUUUGUUAAAAGAAAAUAAUAAUAACAUGUUAAAACUUUAAAAUUUGAUUAUUCGAAGAAAUUUUAAUUUAGUUAAGUAGGUGACAUGAUAAUAAAUAGAUACGUAUAAUGUCCGAGAUUUUUUAUAAGAUUAAUAAAUAUGAUAAAUUUGGAUUAGUUCAAUUUUGACAUAAUUCAUAAUAAACACAGCUUGCUAAUCUAAAUUGCCACCGUUACUCAUCAUCAGGUACCUGUUUGAAAAAUAAUUACAAACAAUUUUAUUUGUGUUGUUUCUCUAAAAGUUUGAGACACAAAUGUUAUUUCAAAUUGAUAAAAGUACGAAAAUUCCCCCUUGCUCUUCAACUAAAAAUGAAACAUGCAAAUAUACACACUAAUUUAGAUGUGUGAAUAACAAAUAUGGAACGACACAUGCAAAGUCAUCUGUAUAAUUGAAACGCCAUGCACUAGUAGUAGGUAAGAGAAACCAAGGUUGAAGUUGCUCCAAUGGUUACUGUUAAUUUAUUUUUAUUUAUGAUUUUUUUUGUAAAAUGUAAGAAAUAUGUAGAAAUGUUGCCAGCAAUGAUUUUGGAACUUUGCAUAAAAUUUUUAUCAUUAUUGUUUUUGGUAUUAAGAAAUCCGAGGCGGUGAUUAGACGUAUGUUGCAACAAUUAAGAAAUUUCUUAUUGGAGAUAAUUUGGUAGGUUUGCAGCAAUUAGAGAAUAAUUUUCCUGCCAGUUAAUCAAUCAAUAAUAAAUUUCAAAUUGCAGAAAAUAAAAUAAUACAGCCUCACUUAGAAUCAUCUUUUCUAUCUCUUUCAAUUGUGGCAAUCAUUUGCAACAAAUAAAUCAAUUUGAUGCACAUCAUUUCCCCAAUUCAAAGUUCAAGUCACUGCUCAAUUACAGAGUAGUUAGUGGACAUGCAUGCAUGUUUAAUUAAGUACUGCAUUGUAGUAUCGAAAAUCAUAACAUCUCACCAAUAUCAGAUUAUUAACCAUGGAAAUCAUAUCACAAUAUCAUAUAGAAUUCACAAAUCUGAAAAUCAUCACCAAACAAGUACCCAGAGAAAUAAUCUCGUCAUAUCCAGACCUCAACGGACGGGCAAUGACGUACUAUUUGGGUAACGUCACACCCUGGAGCUACACGGAUAAAUAGGAAAAUACCAUCUCAUAUCUCAUCAUAUUUGUGCAUGCAUAAUCUAGUCCCCAAGGGACAAAAGCGCCCAAGCACACGGCCCAAAGCCUCUAUGUGUACUCAGACGGGCCCCAAAGGCCUGUAUCUCAUAUGUAUCAUAUGUAUCAUUUGUAUCUCAAUAUCUGUUUGUAUCUCAUUUCCGUAUAUCUAUAAUCAUCAUACCGCAUGCAUAUGCCCCCAAAAGACAAAAGCGCCCAAACACAUGGCCCAAAGCCUUUAUAUGUGUUUAGACGGGUCCCAAAAGCCUCUUAUCUCAUCUUAUCUGUAUCACUGUAUCUGGAGAGAAGGGUACUGUCUAAUGAUUUAAAAAACAAUCAUUAUACUCAUAUUUACAUACCUCUUAAUCAUAUUUGAAAUCAUAUCACAUUUGAAUCCACUUUUCUAAUCUUUAAAAUAUUAUCAUGCUUUAUUCAAAGUCGAUACGCAAAAUCAAUAACCAAACAUUUUAAAUCAAAUUAUUAACCAUGGAAAUCAUAUCACAAUAUCAUAUAGAAUUCACAAAUCUGAAAAUCAUCACCAAAUAAGUACCCAAAGAAAUAAUCUCGUCAUAUCCGGACCUCAACGGACGGGCAAUGACGUACUAUCUGGGUAACGUCACACCUUGGAGCUACACGGAUAAAUAGAGAAAUACCAUCUCAUAUCUCAUCAUAUCUGUGCAUGCAUAAUCUAGUCCCCAAGGGACAAAAGCGCCCAAGCACACAGCCCAAAGCCUCUAUGUGUACUCAGACGGGCUCCAAAGGCCUGUAUCUCAUAUGUAUCAUAUGUAUCAUUUGUAUCUCAAUAUCUGUCUGUAUCUCAUAUCCGUAUAUCUAUAAUCAUCAUACCGCAUGCAUAUGCCCCCAAAAGACAAAAGCGCCCAAACACAUGGCCCAAAGCCUUUAUAUGUGUUCAGACGGACCCCAAAAGCCUCUCAUCUCAUCUUAUCUGUAUCACUGUAUCUGGAGGGAAGGGUACUGUCUAAUGAUUUAAAAAAUAAUCAUUAUACUCAUAUUUACAUACCUCUUAUCAUAUUUGAAAUCAUAUCACAUUUGAAUCCACUUUUCUAAUCUUUAAAAUAUUAUCAUGCUUUAUUCAAAGUCGAUACGCAAAAUCAAUAACCAAACAUUUUAAUAAAAUACCAAUGCAUAAAUAAAAUUCAUUUCGAGAAAUCAUUAAAUCAGAACAUUUAAAAUACUUAUUUCGCAAACAUGCUUUACUAUCAUCGCUAACUAUGAAAAUAAGUUUUGUAUAUUCCACUUUCAGUGAUGGUGUUCACGGUCGGUUAUCGUCCAUAUCUGCAGACCGAUUCUCGCUCGCGAAUCCUCCUAAAUCAAGGAAACGACAUAAUUAUUUUUUGUAAAUCGGAAUUAUGACUAAAUUUUAUGCAAUAAACUCAAAACGAACAUCUAUUCAUAAUUGACAACUCCUAUAUCCAUAAAAUUACUAAAAUAUCCUUGAGUCCGUAGAUCAUUAACAUGCUCCGAAAUCGUAAAUCACUGAAUUACCCUCGGAAUCGUAAUUACACCCGAUCCUCAAUUAUAGGAAUUACUAACAGAUCCACAGGCUUAGAAAUUACAAAAUUGCCCUCGUAGUGUGAAAUUACCAAAAGCCGGAAGUUGGUCAACAAUGGCUAGGAAGCUCAAAUCGUAAAGUUCCAAUCACGCUGAGUUCAAUGGUACCGGCGGUGAGCUCCAACGCGCGACAACGAUGCCAGAAUCUAGCUCGGCAGCCGUGAAUUCCACCAAUCGACCGGCGGCACAACAGUGACUCUCGGUGCCUAUGGAUGGUCGAAAAUGGAAGAGGGAGCCGUGGGGAACAAAAUCCAACCGGUGGUGUCACCAAAACCGGUGAAAAUCCCGGCGGAGCAAAGUGAAACAGUCGCGGGUUUCAUGCUUCGAUCGCCGGUGUUCCGAUUGGUUUUUGGCGAGGAGGAUGGCAAGGGAACGACAGCCGGCUUCUAAGCUUCAGAUUGGUACCAAGCUCGGCCGAAACGAUGGCCGGAAAUGGGAGAUAUGACCGGGUCAAGGUCGCGGGUUCCGGGUCGGGUUUUUUGGUCUGUAGUUGGGUCGGUUUGGUAGCUUCUCUCUCACUCUCUGUUACACGUGCAUAUGUUUCCUCUGUUUCCAGCUUAUUCUUUUGCUUUUACUAACUUCUUAACCGCCUCAUACUUAUUCAUUUUUAAUUCACAUAUGUUACAAUAAUUCCCGAGUAUUAAAUAACCAGUGGUCAUAAUUUUUGUACAAGAUUCUUUUUUUUUUUUGGAGAUCGUUAAAAGUGGUUGACGAUCCAUUUCGUAAUAUCAUAGAGGGAUCAUCAAUUCCUUUUCUUUUCUGUGGCUAGGCAACACUUUUUGGCCAAAGUAAGGAAAUCUAUUUUAGGUAAUGUAAAAACCAGUUGUAGGAUGUAAUAGUUUAUUAUGCACUGACAAUAACUUUUUGUAUAAUUGUCAGUUUAAUGAAUGCAAGAGGAACUCUGUUGGCAAAUUCAUCCAAGAUAGAUGCUAAAAUUAUUUAUGCAUGCCAGUUGCCUUAACUAAGUUUUCUCAGCACUGGUUUUGAACAGGAAAAUGAAUAUGCAAUUUGUAUAUUGUGCCAUAGUGGAGAAUUUGGAUAUUCUUAUUUAAGUAACAAGGAGAUUAUUUGCCUCAUCUUUAAACAAUGAAUCUUUGAGAGAUGAGGAGUGGGUGAUUGGAUGUGUCUUCAUGUAAUUGUUCAUUUAUUUGUAUUUUGAACUGUUAUGAAAAUCUUUAUAUGCCAAAUUAGUAAUACAAGUAUUCAGAUGAUUUUUCCUAUUGAUCAUGCAUUUGUAUCUGCCCACAACCAUUGUAUAUCACUUUAUUCUGAUGCGCAAGCAUCUGUAAUUUAGAAGAAAAGAAAUAAUAAUCAUAUUUUAUUGCUUGGUUCAUGAUUAUUAACGAUUAUGGCUUUAAAAAUCUACAAAUUUCUUGUGUUCAUGUAUGAAUGUGCCAAGUUUGCUGUAUCUUAGAUUACCUUCUUCCAAGGUAACAAGUUCAUAUAUAUAUAUUUUUUAAAUCAUUUUCCAUUACAGUUGAAUUUCAAGUGUUAGUUUUGUUAUUAGUACCUGGUUUCCUGUUAUAAGGAUCUAAUAAACAGUGUACGGAUAUGUGCUCUACUUUUGGAGGGCUUCCACGUGAAAGAAAAUUACAACAAUUGAAUUCUUCCGGAGGAUAUGGUAAUUAAUUUAUUUUCUCAACUUCUUGUAAGACUAAUAUAUUUCCUUCAGUAGGCACAGCAUGGUGGGAAGGGUUUUUAUUGAAAGAAUUCUGAUAUUUCUUAGACUUUGUUUUGGAAGGGGGUGGAGGAAUUUCUCAUCCAUAUAUGGUUACUUGAUUAGCUUUUGACUGUAUUGUCUCUGUCGUGCAAAGGAAAAUCUAAAUACUAACGAUGGGGAAUUGCUUAGGCACCCAAAAGGCAGAAAUGAAUUACAGAAGGAAGUUUUUGCUGCUUUAUUUAGUGCUGCUGAGAAAUCUGAUGAAUUUCCUGAAAUUACGGUGAAGACCGAGUGGAGGUCCAAAGCAUUAGGAAAGGUGGUGAGUGAACUGCCGGAGGAAUUUGUACCAAAAUACAAGGCUAAUGUGGUGCACUUGCAGCAAGAUAACCAGACCGGUAUGUGCUCUUAUAUUAACUAUAUUGACUGGAUUUGUGAGUGUGUGCAUUUUUUUGUGUAUACUCACUUUUGUAUUUAUGCAUAUUAACAUGUGUAGGAUUCUUGAUUUCUGCCACUUACUGGAGAACUAGUGGAAAGCUUUAUAUUGAUAUAUCUGCAAUAACUAAUGGAAACUAUGAUAUGAAUAUUUUCUCUCACCUGGGGAGCUGUGUAACAGAUAUACUUUGUGGCUCUGGAAUGCUGAAGAUUCUGCAAUAACUAAUGGAAAAUAUGAUAUGAAUAUUUUGUCUCACCUGGAGAACUUUGUUACAGAUACCCUUUGUGGCUCUGGAAUGUCUAAAGAAUGCUUUAGUUAGAUCAAAUAUCUUUUAGUUAGAAAAGAUAAAAUUCUCUGAGUCUGAAAGACUGAAACAUUUUGCAUAUUUUGUGAAAGGGAAAUAUCUGUUGAUACUAGCUCAUGCAUUGAGGUAAUAUCGAUGUUAAAGAAAAACAGCAAUGAUUUAUGAUAUAGAAUUGGGUUCACUUGCUUCAAAUGCUGGUCUGAUCAACCAUAUCAACCUGUAAUGAUUCUGCAGAAAUAUAUAUACAUGGAGAAAGUAGCUAAAUUUUUCUUUCAUUUAUGGGUUCGGUCUUUUUUCCCCUUAUUUUUCAGCUUUCCUUCUCCUGAAGUAUGUUAACAAUUGCAGAUAAUGAUGAAGACGACAGCUUCCGGGCUCUCCUUAGAGCCGUGAUGGAAUAUAGGGGCACAAUGAAGGAAUAUUGUAAAGCUGUAGGUACUUUUUCUCCUUUCAUUUAUGUUUUCUCACACAUUUUGUAUAUGCCCUGAACAUGCACCUUUGUAUGUAUCAAUUGACUUUUAAAUUUUAAAAGCCAUAAAGUAAGAAUACGGUUCCUUGUCAGGCUACUGAUGACAUUCGCUCAGGGGGAUCAUGUUCGAGCAGGAAAAUUUCUAGAACAGGUAAGGUUUCCAUCUACAGCCAUCCAUUGACAGCAGAUACAUUUUCAUUCAGCAGACUCUGUUAGCAUUCAAGAUGCUGGCAGAUUCACUUGAUUCUUAUUAGCUUGUUUAGUGGCAAAGCCUAUAACCUGUAUUUCAAAGCCAAGUUGUGCUAUUGAUUAUGUUAACUUUUUUGUUAACAUAAAAUGAUAUGGAGGAAAUAAUCAGUGUUGGAAAAUUAGGUGAAAAGAUGAUGUCAAAUCUUGAACCUCUUACGAAACUCUAAGUUCUUUACUUGAAGAGGCUACGAAAUUUGAACAGCGUCUACUCGAAGGCCUUGCCAUUCCCUGAUGCAUGCAGAAUUUUUGUAUUUAAAUGCCCAGAGCUUAAGAAGCUGCCACUGGAUCUUGAAGGGGCAGACCAAGGUAAAAAUCUUAUCAAGGGAAAGGAAGAUUGGUGGAAACAACUUAAUGGGAGGAUCAAGUAACUCAGAAUGCAUUGCUUCCAUUUUUUAAAUUGACUGACAAGUGAUUGAACGGGGCAUCAUCAACAUCAUCAACAGGGAUGGAGAGAUACCGGAGCAGAUCAGCAGGGUUUGAAUAUGACCUUUGGCGGUUGCUUUUUUUUUGUGAUUUUUUUUUCAUUUUUUCCUUCCUGUCAUUUUAUCAUUUCUUUCUCUGUUUCUAUUGCGGGUGUUACUGCAUGCUUACUGUUGCUUGACAAAGUUUGCUAGCUUUUUGUUUGCAGUGUUGCUAUACACUCCGAGUCAAGCCUCGAAAAUUUAUUAAACGAAGCCGUUUCGACAGUAACAAUUCUUUUCUUUUCCCUUUGCAUGUCUCUUUCAUCUGCUGUUUCUCUAUCACUUUUCAUUUUUGAUUUCCUUGCUUCUCAGCUGCCCCUAAAUUGUUAUUCUAGCAAUAUACUUUCUCAUCUUUGAAUUUUCAUCCUUGAGUACUCCCACAGCCGUAAUUUCAUCAUCAUAGACUUCACUUGGAAUGCUGUAUUUUUUCGAUUCUUGAGCUACUUCAAUUACAUCUUAGUAUAGGAUCCUCAUCUUCCUUUAUUUCUUCAUCUUAUGAGGUAAUAAAUGGAUUUCACAACUCAUCUACUUUUAAGCAAUUACAUAUUAUACCUUGAAUGAUUCAACUGUUCUGACAGUUAAAGAUUUUAUGCUCAACCUGCAGUGCUACGAACAUUGUCCAUGAAAGAUGAGUUUCAGCAUAUAAAAUGAAAUAUAGAUGUUUAAUCUAAAAUAACCCUUCACUGCCAGAAACCUAGGUCACAAAAUUCACAGAUAAUGAUAAAGAGCUAAAAAAUUUGAAAAACUCUACAGAUCACACAUCAAGCAAGAUAUCAUGUUUUUUUCCCUCAUUCAGUGGUGAUUGAUUCGCUUUUUGAUGAUGGAUAUGGUAUAAAAGUGUUGACCCAAUUUCAAGCAAACACAAAUAGAAACACAAACACAAUCGGGACUAGAGUUGUGGGCGAUUAUCUUAGGUGUACAAGUGAAACGGUGGUGGCUGUCGAUGGUGGUAGUGGGGUGGUUGGGUAUGCGUGAUGGCUAGAUUUUAGGACAAUAAUGAUUGGAGUUGACCUCAAUCAACGAAGGAAAGUGACAACAAUUUUGACAUCAAACGGUGCAUUUUUUAGCUUAGUAAAAUGGAGCCGUUUCGAUUUUGGGGUUUAAUCCGGGGUUUGACUCGGUGCAAGUAUCAUUUUCCUUUUGUUUAUUAAAUUUUUUUAUGGUCACAAAGUAUCACUCGUUCUAUUUGAGAGUCAUGUGAAUCAAUUUUUCAAAUUUUCAAUUUUAAAUUUUGUGGUCAAUGUGAAUUCAAUUUCAUUUGUCUCCUGCAAUUAUGAAAAAAUUAAAUAGUCAUAAUAUGGAAAAAUACACCGGUAAAAACUUUGUAAAAGCUUCGGAGUGAUACGGGGAAUUCACUUACUACUAAGGACAAUUGGUGGCAAGCUAUUCCAUUCAUUUUAUGUCCAUCCAUCUAUUUAGUUAUUGAAGAUAAGUGGUCCAUUUGUAAAUUUCAGAUUGUCUCUCUCUCCCUCUUGAAAUAACAAUAUUUAAUAUAUCUCAUAAAUUAUUAUAAAUUUUAAUUUACUCUCGAUUUAAAAUGGAGCAUGUCGAUAAAUUUUUUUUCUUCUUAAUAAAAUUGACGUAAGUUGUGUUUACAGUAGUUUGAAGUUUGAAAUAUUUUAAAGAUUAUUAUUCUAUAAGGGAGUAAUAUGAAAUGAUAUUUACUUUUCAUGUGUGAAAUGAAAAAGGACGAAGCAAGUGUCCCUGCUUUUAUUUUAUUUCAAGGAGGAGUCAUCUCACAUACUUUAGCUCUUAACAUUACAUUUUUUCUGGUUACAUUUUUUAUUUAUUUAUUUUUUUUUUUUUACACAUGCGUGUGGGUUGCUUUUCUGUAAGCUCCUUAAUAUAUAUUUAAGACAAAUCAUGGAAGAGAUGGGAUUAUAUCAAGAUGAUCAAAGAAUGUUAAAAAAGAAAAAAGAAAAAAAAAAGAAGUAAGACACUGAAAAUGGAGAAGAGAUGGAAGCAAAAGAUAUUCCAAAACAAAGCAAUCUAUCCCCUUUCGAGGGCAGACUUAUCAGGUUUAAAAAAGUACACGCUUUGGAUUGGUAGUUGCAAUCAAGGGAAAAUAAAUAGGAUCCAAUGAAAUUUAAAUCUCGGAGAAAAUAAAUAAUCAUGCAGAUUUUCAAGAUUUUAAUAAGGGAUACUAAUAUCUUAUUUUGAUUAAUAAUAUCCUUUCAUUGUGUUAACUCAAAAAAUAUAUAUUUUAAUGUUUUGCAAUAAACAGAAACGUACUAUUAAAAUGAAUAUAUAAAGAAUUUAGAAAAUUUUGAAUGUUAUAUAAAAUAAUUUUAAGAUAAUGCGUGAGAUAUAUUUUAUUAAUUUAAAAUGUUAUUUUACCUAAAAAAUAUGAUAAAUUAAUAAUUACAUAUUUGAAGUUAUUUUAAAUAUUAAAAAAAUUUAAUAUUAUUAAUCUUUUAGAUAGAUUAAAUUAUUUUUUAUAAGAGAUAGAUUAAAUUAUUUUAAAAUACGUUAAUUGUUUUUACUUUUAACGUUACCGGCCUUUCUUUUAUUUUAUUGCAAAUUAAUGCUAACAAGAAAAAGCUAGAUCAUAUUCCACAAAAGCAAAAGUGACAAACACAACCAGCUGGAAUCUUUUAAUUACUAUUCAAUAAUUCGAGACGAUUAGGGUCUUUUAUUAAACUACAAAUUGUAUAGUCUUUUUAAAAUUGUUAUAAAUUGGUGGCACCUACAAUCCUCAAUAAUUGUACCGAUAUUCACAAGUUGGUGGCCCCUACAAUUCUGUUCGGAUAAUUUAACUGUGCAAGUGCUCAUUCACAAUAAUUGUUUUGUUUUUUUUUUCUGCAUUCCCUUUCAUGCUCUUAAUAAUUGAAGAGCAUACUUUUCAUUUUCAAAUGUGGAGCCGCAGCUAAUGUCGCUAAUUUAAUUUGGGAUUAAAUUAGGGGACCAUUAUAUUGCAGUGUGCACUAAUUUUUGUGUUUAUCUAAACUCCUUAAAUUUAAGACAUAUUAUGGCAUAAAUAAGAAUAUAACAAUAGCAAAAGAGUUAAAAAGUGUAGAGAAGAUCUUGCAGAAAUAUAAAUAAUAUCUAUUUUAAAAUAAUAUCAAUAUUUAAAAUAAUUUUUAAUAUUUUAUGAUUCAUUAGAUAUAUUUUAUUAUAUUAAAGUAAAUUUUAUAAUAAAUAAAAACAUACUAUUAAAAUGAAUAUAUAGAAAAUUUAGAGUAUUUUAAGUAUUAUAUAAAAUAAUUUUAAUAAAAUAUGUGAGAUAUUCAUAUUUUAUUAAUUUAAAAUACCAUUUAACCUAAAGAUUUAUUUAUGAUAAAUUAAUAAUUAUAUUUUUGAAGUUACUUCAAAUAUUAAAAAUAUUAAUAUUACUAAUCUAUUAGAUAGAUUAAAUUAUAUAUAUUAUUUUCUAUUUAUUAAAAAAUUUAAAAUUAUUUUUAAUUACUAUUCAAAAAAUAUAAUGAUAAAAAAGAAUCUUAACAUCUUUAUUAAAAAUUUAAAAAUUUACAUGAUCAAUUCUCUAAAUAUUUAGGGUUAUAUGUGAACAACGGUGGAGAAGCUUUAUUUAAUAUUAUUGAUUUAAAUAAUAUGUCAAUUAAAAAUGUACAGAGAAGGAAAUUUCGGUGGGUAUUUUAGUCUUUUCAGCAAUUAUCAUGAUCAGAUCAGCCUUUAGCCUUGAAUCGUCGGUCAGAAAAGUUUUAAAAUUAACGCUAACAAGAAAAAGCUAGGUCAUAUUCCACAAAAGCAAAACUGACAAAACAACCAGCUGGUUUCUUUUACUAAACUACAAAUUAAAAGUGGAUUCUUUUGAAUGCAAGUGGGACAGACGAUUAGGCUCUUUUUAUUAAAGGCAAGUAAAAACUAGUCGAAUAGUCUUUUUCAAAUUGUUGUUUUAUUAUUUUUCCUUCAAAAGUUAGUGUGGCUCAUGUUUGCAGGUGCGAAUGUGGGUCCCGAAUCAUUACUAAAAUUUCUAUUCCACAGCCCACCGCAGCUUCAGUUAAUCAAACUCAAAUCAAUUUUCUUUCUUAACAAAAUAUUCCAAAGAUGUGUAGCAUUUUUCAGAUCACAUGCGAUGGUGCUCUUUUCAAUCGUUGCUUGGAUUGCUUUCUUGGAAAAGCAGCAUACAUACGUAACCUCCAAGAUAAUGUUGAUACCUUGGGCACUGAAUUGGGAAAUCUGAUCGCUAGAAAGAACGAUCUGAUGAGGAGGGUUGUCGAUGCUGAACGGCAACAAAUGAGAAGGCUGGACGGAGUGCAAGUGUGGGUUUCGAGGGUGGAUUCUGUUAAAACUGAAGCUGAUCAAUUUAUAAGAGACGGCUCUCGAGAAAUUGAAAAAUUAUGUGUUGGAGGCUACUGUUCCAAGAAUUGCAUGUCAAGCUACAAGUUCGGGAAAAAAGUGGCUAAAAAGCUACGGGAUGUGCGGACUUUAAUCAGUGAAGGAGUUUUUGAGGUGGUGGCUGACAGAGCUCCAGAGUCUGUAGCAGAUGAAAGACCUACUGAGCGAACAGUAGUAGGCUUGCAAUCACAACUUGAACAAGUCUGGAGAUGUCUUGUAGAAGAAUCAGCGGGAAUCAUUGGCCUAUAUGGUAUGGGCGGUGUUGGUAAAACUACACUACUGACCCAUAUCAACAAUAAAUUUCUCGAGAGUCCAACCAACUUUGAUUGUGCGAUUUGGGUUGUAGUUUCAAAAGACCUGCGACUCGAAAAAAUUCAAGAAGAUAUUGGGAAAAAGAUAGGUUUGGUUGGUGAUUCAUGGAAGAGUAAAAGUGUAGAGGAGAAAGCUGUCGACAUCUUCCGGAGUUUAAGAGAGAAGAGAUUUGUAUUGUUGUUAGAUGAUAUAUGGGAGCGGGUUGAUUUAACAAAGGUGGGCAUUCCACUUCCCGGACCAAAAAAUACUACCUCAAAAGUCGUAUUCACAACCCGUUUCAUCGAUGUUUGUGGUAGCAUGGAAGUUGACAGGAAGUUUCAAGUAGCAUGCUUAUCAGAAAAGGAUGCUUGGGAACUGUUUCGAGAAAAAGUUGGGGAGGAAACUCUUCAGAGUCAUCAUGAUAUCGAUGAGCUAGCCCAAAUUGUGGUCAAAGAGUGUGGUGGUUUGCCACUCGCACUUAUUACUAUUGGUCGAGCUAUGGCCUACAGAAAGAAAGCGGAGCAGUGGAGACGUGCAAUUGAAGAGUUAAGGAGAUCAGCUUCAGAGUUUGCAGGUUUGGGAAAAGAGGUUUAUCCUCUUUUAAAAUUCAGCUAUGAUAGUUUGCAGAAUGAUACGGUUAGAUCUUGUUUCUUGUACUGUUGUUUAUAUCCUGAAGAUUAUGGCAUUCUUAAAUGGGACUUGAUUGAUUGUUGGUUUGGCGAGGGAUUUUUUGGGGAAUCUGACAGGUCUGGUGCAGAAAACCAAGGAUAUGACAUUUUGGACACUCUUGUUCGUGCGUGUUUAUUAGAAGAGGUGGAAGAUGAUGAAGUAAAAAUGCAUGACGUUAUUCGUGAUAUGGCUAUAUGGAUAACUUGUGAAAUUGAGAAGGAGAAGAGAAACUUUUUGGUUCGUGCAGGUGCUGGAUUAAAAGAUGCACCGGGUGUUAAAGGAUGGGAAAAUGUGAGAAGAUUGUCAUUGAUGCAAAACCAAAUUGAAACUCUGGCAGAGGUUCCCACAUGCCCUCAUCUCCAUACUCUAUUUCUUGACUUUAAUAGGGGGUUGGAUAUGAUCGCGGAUGGCUUCUUUCAAUUUAUGCCUUCUCUCAAAGUUUUGAAGAUGUCAAACUGUUCGAAUUUGAAAUUACCUGUUGGGAUGUCAGAGUUGGGUUCAUCACUAGAACUUCUUGAUAUUUCAGAAAACAGCACAAGAGAGUUACCGGAAGAGUUAAAGAAGUUGGUAAAUCUGAAAUGUUUGAAUUUGAGGUGGACAGAGCAUUUAAAUAAAAUUCCACGGCAACUAAUAUCAAAUUCUUCAAGGUUACGUGUGUUGAGAAUGUUCGCUACUGGCCGGUUCAAUUUUCAUGAAGCACCAGAAGACAGCGUUUUAUUUGGUGGGGGUGAAGUUUUGAUACAGGAAUUGCUCGGUUUGAAAUAUUUAGAGGUAUUGGAGUUGACCUUGGGAAGUUAUCAUGCUCUCCAAAUUCUUUUGAGCUCAAAUAAGUUAAAAAGUUGUAUUCGAUCUCUUUACCUCGAGUUGACCGGAGAUACAACGUCAAUUAUUGAUGCUACGGCUUUCGCAGAUCUAAACCACCUCAAUGAAUUACGGAUUGAUAAUGGUAUUGAGUUGGAAGAGUUGAAGAUUGAUUAUACGGAGAUAGUACGAAAAAGGCGGGAACCUUUUGUUUUCCGCAGCCUUCAACGUGUUACCAUAGCGGAGUGCCAUAAAUUGAAAGAUGUGACAUUCCUCGUUUUUGCUCCAAACCUCAAGUCUCUUCGGCUAUUCUAUUGCGGUGCUAUGGAAGAAAUAAUCAGCGUCGGAAAAUUUGCUGAGACUCCUGAGAUGAUGGGACAUAUAAGCCCUUUUGAAAAUCUCCAAAUGCUUGAUUUACAAGGUUUGCCACAUUUGAAGAGCAUCUUCUGGAAGCCAUUGCCUUUCACUCAUCUGAAAGAAAUGGAGGUACUUAGGUGCGAUCGGCUUGAAAAGCUUCCACUCGAUUCCAACAGUGCAAAGGAGCGCAAAUUUGUUAUUCGUGGAGAAGAAGACUGGUGGAACCGACUUCAAUGGGAGGAUGAAGCCACUCAAAUUGCUUUUCGUUCCUGUUUUAAAAGUGAUGCUUUAUUUAUAUCUUAUUCGUGAAAAGUGAUUUAAUUUCCUGCCAAAAGACGAACGAGAAGAACAAUAGAGUCAAACUAAUGCUCACAUAAAUUUCCCGUAAGAAUAUAUAAUUAGAUUGGAAUGCACACCUCUAGAUUGAACAGAAUUAAAGCUGAGAAAAUAUUGAGUAUAGUAGCCCUCUUUACAGAAAAUGACGUGAAAGUUAAUUUAGAAAGAUAUAUUCUUGAUUAAUCCAUUUUCUGAAGUUUUUAUUUUGUAUGGUCAAUUAUACCUUCAUACUAAAAAUUUCUGAAGUUAUAAAUUAGUGCAACUUGACAAUUUUUACUGAUGAUAUCUUCUAUUUUUCCCUUUUUUUUUUUUUCACUUUCAUAGACUGGCAGCGGAUCCUGCGGCACCAAUUUGAGAGAAUAUACUGACACUACUUCGAACAGCAAGCAGAAGAAGUAAUAUGUCUACGGCAAAGGCAAUGGAGUCCUCAUUUUGGCUCGAGAUGCAGUAAUCAUCGAAGAGAGUUUCCUUGUGAAACUGGGCAACACAUUGAAUCCCUUCACCACUGAGAAGGUUGUGGAGGAAGUAAGCUUUCUCUCCAGUGAGGAAGAGGUGGCAUAUACCUUCCCCAUUUUGUUGAGGGCAGGUAGGAAUCUUUUUUCUAAGAGAUUUACUUCGUUCUCUGUAAGAAAUGCUUUGAACUUCAUCCCUCUGUCUCUAUCCUCACUUAUCAGGAAAUAAGUUGAAAGCACUAUGAAGAGAGAGAGAGAGAGAGAGAGAGAGAGAGAGAGAGAGAAUUAAGAUAUAUAGACAAGAAAAAUAUUUGACGUUGAUCUUACAAACUAAUACUUCAAGCAGUAUCCUAGAAAGCUAAAAACUGCAAGAUGGCUUGAAAUUUGAAAAGAGCACAUGCUUUUCCUCCUUAACUUGAGAAAAUGUUUAAUAUAGUGCACCUUACAGAAGCAUUUAAGCAAUUAGAACUUUGCACAAAAACAUCAAGAAGACUAAACAAGUCAGAUGCAGUGUAUUUGUCCAAGCACAAAUUGCAUUUUUUCCUCAACUUUAAUAUUUAUUGAUGAGAAUCAAUACAGGUCCCUCAUUUGUUAUAGAAAGCUUUCUUUCUUGUAGUCUCACCAGUUAAUUCAGAGGUCUAUAAUCAUCUUGCAAAGUUAAGGGCAUUUCUUUUGAUCUAAAGUCUUUGCAUCACCACCUCAUCACACGCCAAGCCAAUAUUCCAUUUACCUCUACAACAAAAAGUUUUAAUUAAACAAUCCUAAUGCACGCAGCCAAAUAAAAUGCAGUAAGAAUAUUCAACUUAAAAAUCUGAAAGCCAACUUGGUGAAUUGCCUCCUUAGGUGAAGUUCCAUGCUUUACUAUAGUUGACAGAACUCAGCAAAAGCUUCCAUACAACAGAUUUUGAAAAUGAUGAUGCCAACAGAUACUCAUUCAAUGCAUUGAAACUCCAAAGGUUCAUUGUUCAUAGAAGUUUACAGAGUUUUGGUCAUCAAAUAGCUCAGACCUAAUCCCAAACAAAAAAUGAGUGAAAAUUAGAUCACGAGCAGCUAAUUGUAAAUUCUAACUUAACUCUUCAUCUCCUUUGUAAACAAGAAACAAAAUGGAGACACGCAAAAUGAAUAUGGAGAAAAUUUGAACUCAAAUGAAAUGAGGGCAUGAAAGCAAACAAAUGGCAUGCACCAAAAAACCAAGCCUCAAUCAAAAACUAAUUAACCAUUAAGAAAAAAAUUGGUCAGAGAAUGAACUCCAAAUUCAGGAGUCAAGCAAGAAGCUUUCAUUAUUAUCAAAGUCAAUUAUCUUUGUUAGUAUGCGAGUGUGACGACUAUAGGUUGUUCUUUUUCUAAUGUCAUAUGAUUCCAAUUUUAGGUACAGGGCAUCUCUCUCUCUCUCUCUCAUCGCUAAGUGGAUAUUUUUCUCUUUUGUCAUAUACUUUAGUUAUUCUUCAAUUUACUAACUAAAAUGAAGGCCGCUUUAUUAAGAAGUUAUAUCCAGUUAUAUAAUUUGUUGUAUUUAAUAUAUGUUUGGGCUCAUAAUUUUUUUUAAAAAUAUAUAUUUCAUUCUCCAUAAUUUUUUCCCAUCAUAGCUACGAAACGUCUUAGUUUCGACUAAAAUCCUAAAAUUGGUCCUUAAUUGAAUAUGCAUUGCAAUUUGCAAAUGUAAUAUUGUGAAUGGGACACUGGAGAUACCAAAAUGGUCAAAUGCGAAAUAAGUUAGGAUUGUACGAUGUAGUUUGUAUUCAUAUUCAAUGCCUUUUUUUUCAAAAAACAAAUUGAAAUGCCAUUACUAAACGAUUCUUGAUGAUGGGAGCCACCGUGCCAGCUUUGUCGCUGAUUUGGUAUUAUUCUUAACUUGCAGAUAGUUGUGGAUAUGAUAUGCAAAAAGGUAAGGACUAUAUCUUCUUGAUGGAGGCCUCUGAUUUUUUCCCUUCUAUGUAAUUUAGUAAAUCGCAUUUUCCCUUGUGAUUGAUAUAUCAUACCAAAGUCAAGUCUUAAAUACUGCUGUCAUAUGUUAAGGUUCAACUUCCAUUUUGAUUAACGUCCAUUUGCUGCUGCUUCCAAAAGUGAGAAUGAGAUACUUUGGUUAAUUUCAGUAGUUGAACCCAAUAGAGUACUUUAUUUAGAUCUUCAUGGUUCAAAGGCCUGAAAAAACUUGCCGGUAUUUGCAAAAUGACAUUCUGUGCUUUUAUUUAGGCUUAUUAUUUAAGUGAUAAAAACUCCCGUAACCUGCUGUCAAGAAAAUUUCAGAUUGUUAAAAGACAACAUUUUGUUUCAGCCAAAAAUGUUUGUUUCGAUUAAAGACUUGAACCAUUUUCAUUUAACCUUGAUUGUGAUGCUUUACAUUAUGCAUGUUCCUCUCAAUCAAUAAAAGUUGAGGUCAUGAUUUUAUAUUUCUAUUUUGUAACUUGAAAUAAUUGGUCUGCCUGUUUCUGUAGCUUGAUAACAUGAAUUUUUCCUUCUGAAGUUAAUUUGAUCAAUAAAGUAAUUCUUCGGAGAUGAUAUGCCCAUUCUAUAGUCAUUUUCUUAGGUAACAUGUUUUUUCUUCACUCUUCAGAGCAUGUCUAAACUAAUUGAUCGCUCAGCGGAGACUUUGGGUGAGAAGACAAAAUUUCUUGGUAAAUCCUCUAAAAAGGUAUGCAUAAUUCCCGAGUAUUAAAUAAUCAUUGGUCAUAAUUUUUGUACACAACUCUUUUUUUGGAGAUCGUUAAAAGUGGUUGAUGAUCUAUUUUGUAAUAUCAUAGAGGGAUCAUGAAUUCCUGUUCUUUUCUGUGGCUAGGCAACACUUUCGGGCCAAGCUAAGGAAAUCUAUUUUAGGUAAUGUGAAAACCAGUUGUAGGAUGUAAUAGUUUAUUAUGCCCUGACAAUAACUUUUUGUAUAAUUGUCAGUUUAAUGAAUACAAGAGGAACUCUGUUGGCAAAUUCAUCCAUGAUAGAUGCUAAAAGUAUUUAUGCAUACCAGUUGCCUUAACUAAUUUUUCUCAACACUGGUAUUGAACAGGAAAAUGAAUAUGCAAUUUGUAUAUUGUGCCAUUGUGGAGAAUUUGGAUAUUCUUAUUUAAGUAACAAGGAGAGUAUUUGCCUCAUCUUUAAACAAUGAAUCUUUGAGAAAUGAGGAGUGGGUGAUUGGCAGUGUCUUCAUGUAAAUGUUCAUUUAUUUGUAUUUUGAACUAUUAUGAGAAUCUUUGUAUGCCAAAUUAGUAAUACAAAUGUUCAGAUGAUUUUUCCUGUUGAUCAUGCGUGUGUAUCUGCACACAACCAUUGUGUCCCACUUUAUUCUGAUGCACAAAUAUCUGUAGUUUAGAAGAAAAGAAAUAAUAAUCAUAUAUUAUUGCUUGGUUCAUGAUUAUUAAACGAUUAUGGCUUUAGAAAAUCCACAAAUCCUUUGUGUUCAUAUAUGAAUGUGCGAAGUUUGCUAUCUCUUAGAUUACCUUCUUCCAAGAUAACAAGUUCAUAUAUUUUUUUUAAUCCUUUUUCAUCACAGUUGAAUUUCAAGUGUAAGUUUUGUUAUUAAUAGCUGGUUUCCUGUUAUUAUGAUUUCAUAAACAGUGAGAGGAUAUGUGCUCUACUUUUGGAGGGCCUCCACAUGAAAGAAAAUUGCAACAAUUGAAUUCUUCCGGAGGGUAUGGUAUUUAAUUUAUUUUCUCAGCUUGUUGUAAGACUAAUAUAUUUCCUUCAGUACCCAAAAGGACAGAAAUGAAUUACGGAAGGAAGUUUUUGCUGCUUUAUUUAGUGCUGCUGAGAAAUCUGAUGGAUUUCCUGAAAUUACGGUGAAGACGGAGUGGAGGUCCAACGCAUUAGGAAAGGUGGUGAGUGAACCGCCGGAGGAAUUAGUACCAGAAUACAAGGCUAAUGUGGUGCACUUGCAGCAAGAUGACCAGACCUGUAUGUGCUCUUAUAUUAACUAUAUUGGUUGGAUUUGUGAGUGUGUACAUUUUUGUGUGUAUACUCACAUUUGUAUUUAUGCAUAUUAACGUGUGUAGGAUUCUUGAUUUCUGCCACUUACUGGAGAACUAGUGGAAAGCUUUAUACUGAUAUAUGUGCUAUAACUAAUGGAAACUACAAUAUGAAUAUUUUCUCUCACCUGGAGAACUGUGUAACAGAUAUAAUUUGUGGCUCUGGAAUACUGAAGAUUCUGCAAUAACUAAUGGAAAAUAUGAUAUGAAUAUUUUUUCUCACCUGGAGAACUUUGUAACAGAUACAUUUUGUGGCUCUGGAAUGUCUAAAGAAUGCUUCAGUUUAGAUCAAAUAUCUUUUAGUUAGAAAAGAUAAAAUUCUCUGAAUCUGAAAGACUGAAACAUUUUGCAUAUUUUGUGAAAGGGAAGUAUCUGUAGAUACUAGCUCAUGCAUUGAGGUAAUAUCAAUGUUAAAGAAAAACAGCAAUAAUUUAUUAUACAGAAUUAGGUUCACUUGCUUUAAAUGCUGGUCUGAUCAACCAUAACAACCUGUAAUGGUCCUGCAGAAAUAUAUAUACGGGGAGAAACUAGCUAAAUUUUCCUUUCACUUAUGGGUUUGGUCUUUUUUUCCCCUAUUUUUCAGCUUUCCUUCUCCUGAAGUAUGUUAACAAUUGCAGAUAAUGACGAAGAGGACCGCUUCCAGGCUCUUUGUAGAGCUGUGAUGGAAUAUAGGGGCACAAUGAAAGAAUAUUGUAAGGUUGUAUGUACUUUCUCUCUUGUCAUUUAUGUUUUCUCACACAUUUUGUUUAUGCCCUGAACAUGCAGCUUUGUAUGUGUCAAUUGCCUUUUACGUUUUAAAAGCCAUAAAGUAAGAAUACAGUUCCUUGUCAGGCUAUUGAUGCGUUCGCUCAGAAGGGUCAUGUUCAAGCAGGAAAACUUCUAGAACAGGUAAGGUUUCCAUCUACAGCCAUCCAUUGACAGCAGAUAUAUUUUCAUUAAGCAGACACUGUUAGCAUUCAAGAUGCUGGCAGAUUCACUUGAUUCUUAUUAGUUUGUUUAGUGGCAAGGCAUAUAACCUGUAUUUCAAAGCCAAGUUGUGCUAUUGAUUAUGUUAACUUUAUUGUUAACAUAAAGUGAUAUGGAGGACAUAAUCAAUGUAGGAAAAUUAGGUGAAGAGAUGAUGUCAAAUCUUGAACCUCUUACAAAGCUCCAAGUUCUUUACUUGAAGAAGCUGCCAAAUUUGAAGAGCGUCUACUGGAAGGCAUUUCCAUUCCCAGAUGUAUGCAGAAUUUUUGUAUUAAUGCCCAGUUCUUAAGAACCUGCCACUGGAUUUUCAAGGGGUGGGCCAAGGUAAAAUUCUUAUCAAGGGAAAGGAAGAUUGGUGGAAAGAACUUCAAUGGGAGGAUCAAGCAACUCAGAAUGCAUUGCUUCCAUUUUUCAAAUCAACUGACAAGUGAUUGAAGGGGGCAUCAUCAACAUCAUCAACAGAGAUGGAGAGAUUCUGGAGCAGAUCAGCAGGGUUUGUAUAUGAUCUUUGGUGGUUGCUUUCUUUUGUGAUUUUUUUUUUCUUCCUGUCAUUUUAUCAUUUCUUUGUCUCUUUUUUUAUUGCUGAUGUUAGUGUAUGCUUACUGUUGCUUGACAAAGUUCGCUUGCUUCUUGUUUAUUAAAUUUUUUAUCGUCACAAAAUAUUACUUGUUCUAUUUGAGAGUGAUGUGAAUCAAUUUUCAAUUAUAUAUUUUGUGGUCAAUGUGAAUUCAAUUUCAUUUGUCUCCUGCAAUUAUGAGAAAACUGCAGAGUCAUAAUAUGGAAAAGUACACCAGCAAAAACUUUGUAAAAGCUUCGGAGUGAAACAGGGAAUUCACUUACUACUAAGAACAAUUGAUGGCGAGUUAUUCCAUUCAUUUUAUGUCCAUCUAUCUAUUUAAUUAUUAAAGAUAAAUGGUCCAUUUAUAAAUUUCAGAUUGUCUCUCUCUGAAAAUAACAAUAUUUAAAAUAUCUCUUAAAUUAUUAUAAAUUUUAAUACACUCUCGAUUUAAAAUGGAACAUGCUGAUGAAAUUGUUUUCUUCUUAAUAAAAUUGAAAUAAAUUGUGUUUGCAGUAGUUUGAAAUAUUUUAAAGAUUAUUAUUUUAUAAGGGAGUAAUAUGAAAUGAAAUUUACUUUUCAUGCGUGAAAUGUUGAAAAAGGACAAAGCAAGUGUCCCUGCUUUUAUUUUUAUUUUAAAGUGGAGUCAUCUCACAUACUUUAGCUCUAUCAUUACAAUUUUUCAGGUUACAUUUUUAUUAUUUAUUUAUUUUCUUUUUUACACAUGCAUGUGGGUUACUUUUCCGUAAGCUCCUCAAUAUAUAUUGAACCCAGCGAAGAAUGUUAUGGAAGAGCAAAUUAAUGAUAUUUCUGAUAGAGUCUAUUUGAUUAUGUAGCCUGAAUGGAUGUCUUGUUGAAAGAUAUCUCAGUGCAUUAGUUCAUCCUUGUCUGUCAAUGUGUUUUUAAUGGUUUUUCCAAUUGUUUAUUAUUAUAGAUUGAUUGUAAAUUGAUAUGAAAAUUUGAUAUGAAUUUAAUGUUGAAAUGUUUUCUCUUUAGUGGAAUGAAUUUAAAAGUGCAAAAGAUUAUUGCACACAGAGAAAUAAACAUAUAUGCUUUAUAACUUUAGCAAUCGAUUCUUUUACAGCUGGAAACAGAGAUGAUGAUUAUCAUAAGGAUGAAGAAAAGUAGUGCGUUAGACGAUUAGACUCUCUUAUUAAAGGCAAGUAUAAAGUAGUGAAGAAUCCAAUAUCUCUAUUGUCUAGUCUUUUGUUUAAUUCUUCUUUUAUUAUUUUUCAGAAUAAUUUUUGGUGAUUACAAUCGGGUUAUUAUUCAGAGUUAUUGUUAUCUUCUGGGGCAGUUUCUGUUCAUCGAAUUCAUUAAUUAAAAUUUUAGAACUCUUAUCAGAAGAAUAUUUUUCGGUUAUCUUUUUUAUGUUCUAAUUCCAAUUGUAAGAAGUAGCCAUUUUAGAAUUUGGGUCUUGAAUCGAAUUUCAAUGCAUGAAUUAAUAUUAAAAAAAAAAAAUUCACUACUCGCAGUUUAGGUUACAAAUUACUUUUUGGAAAGUUGACUUUGGAAUGUUUGCAAAGAAAGAGACUAACAUAUUUCCAAUUACACUAAAUCUCUAUUAUGAUAAUGUUAAGACUAAAUUAAUUUAAAUAAUUUUUAUUUGAAAAUUAUAUCAAACGCAGUCUAAUUUUAUUAAUUUUAAGAAAUAAUAAUUAUAAAAAUUAUUGUUCUGACUUAAUUAAUACAAGUGAUAUAAAAGUUAAGUGUGCACUAAAUCUGUUUUAAUUUUUUCCAGUAUAACUAACAGAGGUCAUUACUAGAAUUAUAUUACUAGUCUAUUAGAUAGAAAAAAUUACUUAUAUUGUUUUAUAUUUAUUAAAAAAUUUAAAGCCAAUUUUUUUAAUUACUAUUUAAAGAAUAUUAUAAUUUGAAAAAUUUUAAUAUCUUUAUUAAAAAUUUAGAAAUUUACAGUCCUCUAAAUAUUUAAGGCGUAACUGUCAUUUUCUCAAGAAGCUUUAUUUAAUAUUAUUGAUUUAAAUAAUAUCUUAUUAAAAAUGUACUGAGGAGAAAUUUUGGUGGGUAUUUUAGUCUUUUCAGCAAUCAUCAUGAUUAACCUUUGGUUGGCCUUGAAACGUCGGUCAGAAAAGUUUUAAAAUGCUUAAUUGUUUUUCACUGUUAACGUUAGUGGCCUUGAAAUUGCUUAUAUUUUAUUAAAAAUUAAUGCUAACAAGAAAAAACUAGAUCGUAUUCCACCCCCAAAGCAAAAGUGAUAAAACAACCGGCUGUAUUCUUUUAUUAAACUACAAAUUAAAAUGGAUUUCUUUAAUUAAAGUGGAUAUCAUUUAAUUAAUGUUUGAACAUUAAAGUUCUGAUAUAUAACCACUAUGCCGACCACCUAAUUGCUGCUAUUUAAUUUCGUUCCAGUUCUCUCUCUCUCUCUUUUUCUUUUUUUUUUGGGCCAAGCAAUAAAUAGUAAAAAUUCAAUAAAAGCAAUAUUAAUGCUGCAAGUGAGUCAUGUUAUUUAUUGUCAAUUAGGAAAUGUGAACCUAAUUUGAUUGCAUCCCUUUAAUCAUUUAAUAAUUAUGUAAGCACCAUCCCUUUAAUUAUUUAAUAACUAGAAAAUAGAACACUGCGUUUCACGCGGCUUUGAAAAAAGAAUUUAGUAUUAUCUUUUUUUCUUACUUUACACUUGAUGAAACUGAUAAAAAAUAUGAAUUGAUUUUUUUUAAAGAUGAGGCAGCCUUAUAAAAAAUAAAAAAAGCUAUUAGCCAGCAAUACAAAUAAAGAAGGAAUGCAAGAUAAAGAAUAAAAUGAGAGAAUAUAUUAUAGAGUGAUCUUAUUCAUUCUAAUUGUGUGUGUACAAAACAAAAAGAUGAGCUCUCCUUUUAUAACUACAUAAUUACUUCAUGAAAUUAAUGAAAAAUUAUGAAUCAUAAUUUCUUGUGAGAUAGUGGGAGUUAUUGGGAAGCUAAAAGUUGCUAAUGGGAGAUAGUGGGGAGACUAAGAGAUAUAUAUUAUGAACAUCUACAUUUAUUUUAAUAAAUUCAUAACACUCCCCCUUAAAUGUUCAUUACAAAGAAUAUGCCUCAUUAAAAUCUUUACAUAAUUGUUAUUGUGUAAUAACAAUCAAAUUAAUUAUAAGAAGAUGAAAAGCCAAAUCUAACAGAAAAUUUCUCUAUUUAUUAGAUAAUAGAGAAUAUAGCAAGAUGAGAAAUGGUAAUGCCACAUCAUCUCCUCACGUCCCAACUUUAUAUAUAUAUAUAUAGAUAAUAUAUAUUAUUCCUGUCCUACAUUCACAUAUUUAAUUGUCCUUUUGAAAAUAUUCAUGAGUUAGGCCAAGUAAAGUCAAAGAAAUUGGGAAAAAGGAACAAAAGGACAAACCUAAAUUAAUUGAACCUAAUUCAUGAAAAUGCACACUUUUGUGUUGCGGACGGCGGACCCUAAAGCUUCGUUGUUUGCAGCUGCAAUUAAUUCUUUUCCUUCAAAAGUUAGAGGCUCGUGUUUACAGUGGGUCCCGAAUCGGACGUACCUAAUAAAUCUUUUAAAAAAAUUUGCCGUAUAAAGGACAGAGGUCAUUACUGAAAUUUCUCUUCCACGGGCAAUUACAGCAGCUUCAGUUAAUCAAACUCAAAUCAAUUUUCUUUCUUAACAAAAUAUUCCAAAGAUGUGUAGCAUUUUUCAGAUCACAUGCGAUGGUGCUUUUUUCAAUCGUUGCUUGGAUUGCUUUCUUGGAAAAGCAGCAUACAUACGUAACCUCCAAGAUAAUCUUGUAGCCUUGGACACUGAAUUGGGAAAUCUGAUCGCUAAAAAGAACGAUGUGAUGAGGAGGGUUGUCGAUGCUGAACGGCAACAAAUGAGAAGGCUGGACGGAGUGCAAGUGUGGGUUUCGAGGCUCGAUGCUGUUAAAACUGAAGCCGAUGAACUUAUCACAGACGGCUCUCGAGAAAUUGAAAAAUUAUGUGUUGGAGGCUACUGUUCCAAGAACUGCAGGUCAAGCUACAAAUUCGGAAAACAAGUGGCAAGAAAGCUACGAGAUGUGGAGACUUUAAUCGCCGAGGGAGUUUUUGAGUCGGUGGCUGAGAGAGCUCCGGAACCUGUGGCAGAUAAAAGACCCACUGAGCCAACAAUAGUAGGCUUGCAAUCACAGCUUGAACAAGUUUGGAGAUGUCUUCUUGUAGAAGAAUCAGCGGGAAUCAUUGGCCUAUAUGGUAUGGGCGGUGUUGGUAAAACCACACUGUUGACCCAUAUCAACAAUAAAUUUCUUGAGAGUCCCACCAACUUUGAUUGUGUGAUUUGGGUCGUAGUUUCAAAAGACCUGCGACUUGAAAAAAUUCAAGAAGAUAUUGGGAAGAAGAUAGGUCUGUUUGAUGGUUCGUGGAAGAAUAAAAGUGUUGAGGAGAAAGCCGUAGACAUCUUGCGGAGAUUAGGAGAGAAGAGGUUUGUAUUGUUGUUAGAUGAUUUAUGGGAGCGGGUUGAUUUAACAGAAGUGGGCGUUCCACUUCCCAGCCCACAAAAAUACUACAUCAAAGUCGUAUUCACGACCCGUUUCAUUGAUGUGUGUGGUAGCAUGGAAAGUCACAGGAAGUUUAAAGUGGCAUGCUUAUCAGAAGAGGAUGCUUGGGAGCUGUUUCGAGGAAAAGUAAGGCAAGAAACUCUUGAGAGUCAUCAUGAUAUCGUUGAGCUAGCCCAAACUGUGGCCAGAGAGUGUGGCGGUUUGCCACUCGCGCUUAAAACUAUAGGUCGAUCUAUGGCCUACAGAAAGACAGCUAAGGAGUGGAGACAUGCAAUUGAAAUGUUAAGGAGAUCAGCUUCAGAGUUUGCAGGUUUGGGAGAAAAGGUGUAUCGUCUUUUAAAGUUUAGCUAUGAUAGUUUGCAGAAUGAUACGAUUAGAUCUUGUUUCUUAUAUUGUUGUUUGUAUCCUGAAGAUUAUGGCAUUCUUAAAUGGGAUUUGAUUGAUUGUUGGAUUGGUGAGGGAUUCUUAGAGGAAUCUGACAGGUUUAGUGCAGAAAACCAAGGAUACUACAUUGUGGGCACUCUUGUUCAUGCAUGUUUAUUAGAAGAGGUGGAAGAUGAUAAAGUAAAAAUGCAUGACGUUGUUCGUGAUAUGGCUAUAUGGAUAACCGGUGAAAUUGAGAAGGAGAAGCGAAACUUUUUGGUUUGUGCAGGUGCUGGAUUAAAAGAGGCACCGGAUGUUGAAGUAUGGGAAAAUGUGAGAAGAUUGUCAUUGAUGCAAAACCAAAUUGAAACUCUGUCAGAGGUUCCCACAUGCCCUCAUCUUCUCACUUUAUUUCUUGACUUUAAUAGGGAGUUGAAGACUAUUGCGGAUGGCUUCUUCCGAUGUAUGCCUUCUCUCAAAGUUUUGAAGAUGUCAAACUCUGGAAAGCCUUGGAAAGGUUUGGAAUUAAAUUUGGGGAUGCCAAAGUUGGGUUCACUACAGCUUCUUGAUAUUUCACACACCUGCAUACAAGAUUUACCGCAAGAAUUAAAGUUGUUGGUAAAUCUGAAAUGUUUGAAUUUGAGGCGGACAAUUUGGUUAAAUAAAAUUUCAUGGCAACUAAUAUCAAAUUUUUCAAGGUUACGUGUGUUGAGAAUGUUCGCUACUGGCUGGUUCAAUUUUCAUGAAGCACCAGAAGACAGCGUUUUAUUUGGUGGGGGUGAAGUUUUGAUACAGGAAUUGCUCGGUUUGAAAUAUUUAGAGGUAUUGGAGUUGACCUUGGGAAGUUAUCAUGCUCUCCAAAUUCUUUUCAGCUCAAAUAAGCUAAAAAGUUGUAUUCGAUCUCUUUACCUCCAGUUGACCGGAGAUACAGCGUUAAUUAUUGAUGCUACGGCUUUCGCAGAUCUAAAACACCUCAAUGAAUUACGCAUUGAGUCGGCUACAAAGCUGAAAGAAUUGACGGCUGAUUAUACAGAGAUAGUUCGAAAAAGGCGGGAACCUUUUGUUUUCCGCAGCCUUCACCAUGUUACUAUACAAAGCUGCCAGAAGUUGAAAGAUUCGACAUUCCUCGUUUUUGCUCCAAACCUCAAGUCUCUUUCGAUAGUCAAAUGCAAUGCUAUGGAAGAAAUAAUCAGCGUCGGAAAAUUUGCUGAGACUCCUGAGAUGAUGGGACAUAUAAGUCCUUUUGAAAAUCUCCAAAUGAUUGAUUUACUAGGUUUGCCACAUUUGAAGAGCAUCUUCUGGAAGCCAUUGCCUUUCACUCAUCUGAAAGAAAUAUCUGUGCGUUAUUGCCCUAAUCUUAAAAAGCUUCCACUCGAUUCCAACAGUGCAAAGGAGCGUAAAUUUGUUAUUCGUGGAGAAGAAGACUGGUGGAACCCACUUCAAUGGGAGGAUGAAGCCACUCAAAUUGCUUUUCGUUCCUGUUUCCAACCCUUGUUCCUGAACAGUGGUCGCAAAAUUUGAUUUCUGGUGAGUGCGUUUGUCUUUUAAAAAGAAUAAUUUAAAAGAAAUUUAUUCUUGUCGGUUUCUUCACUGUUUUUAUUUCAGUUUCUCUCUCUCUCUCUCUCUCUCUCUCUUUUUGUCUUCUGCAAAUCACAAUUACAUUUUUAUUCUUGUCGUUUUCUUCACUGUUUUUAUUUCAGUUUCUCUCUCUCUCUCUCUCUCUCUUUUUGUCUUCUGCAAAUCACAAUCAAAUGUUGAAUUAAUGGAAUUAAUGCUUCAUAAAUUUGCCGGCACUGCCAUUACUUUUUUUUGGGGGAUCGAAUUGAUACUUUAUUUAUAUCUUCUUAGCGAUUUAAUUUCCUGUCAAAAGACGAACGAGAAGAACAUAUGACUUAAACCAAUGCUCGCAUAAACUUGCUGUAAAAAGAUAUAAUCUCACUGAAAUGCACACGCCUAGAAUGAAUAGAAUUAAAACAGGGAAAAUAUUAAGUAUAUUAGCCCUCUUUACUGAAAAUCAAAUGACAGUAAAUUUUUUGAAGUUUUGAUUUUCUAUGGUCAAUUCCACCUUUUGCAAUUUCUUCUGUUCUAACAAAAACCAAUUUCUUUGUUCAAGUAUUUUCGUUUGGAUAUUAAUAAUUCUCCACCGAAAGAGUGAACUCUUGCUCAAAGGGAUCUCUAAUAAUACAUAACAUGAUUAUUUUCGUUUGAAUAAUUGAUUUCUUGAUUGAAUUGUCGUGUAAUUGAUUUAUGGGGGAUGACACAUCAACAUACUUGAAAAUACACUAAUCUCAGCAUCAUCGGUUAAUAACUUUUAGAUUUAUGGGUAAUCAAUAGUUAAGAUUAGUUGUCAUUAAUACUAAAUAAUUUUUACUUUUUUUGUCUCUUCUAGAGGAUCUUCUAGAAAAAUGCAUCCACAAUUAAAUUUAAUACUUUACAUAAUAAACAAAGCCUAAAUGUUAAAUUUAAGAAACUGCAUUGUAUUUCAGUUGAAGUUGACUUUAAUAUUUAGGGUAGAAAAACAAUUAAUUUUAUUUUUUGAAAUGUCCAUAUUCAGAGCACAUUUCAAAAAGACUCAAUAAUUUCUCAUAAAUUUCAAUUAAAAAUAUUCAAUUUGUUGUUUCAGUUCUUUUAUUUUUUAUUUUUUCCGACAUGAAAGCGACUUAAUGUUACUAAAUUGGGUGGUCUUUGGAUUUUCAUGACCCAAUAAUUGGAACAAAACAAUUUUCUCAAGCGCUCUCCCGCAACAUUUUAUAAUUGAAGCCGCUGCCCCGCCCGUGGUUUCAAACUUUUUUCUUUCUCCUUGUUUAAAUUAAUGGGAGCAGCCUCCGUCCUUGACUAGUUGACUGCUUGUCUUCUUUUUUUUAUUAAUUAAUUAAUUCAGCCGCCCCCCUUUCUUGUCCCAAUAUCUUCUACUUUCGGUUUCCUUUUAUUAUCUCUUUAUUUUUAAAAAAUGCUUAUAAUAAUAAUAAAAUAUAAAAUAUAAAAAUAAAAAUAUAAUUUAUCAGAAAAUUAAGAUAAAGAAAUAUUAUAAGCACAUCAAUCAACAAGUGAAAAAAAAACAAUUUUAAUUUACAUUAAAUAUAAACUUUCAGUGUUAAUCAACUUUUCUAAAUAACUAAAUUAAAAAAUUAAUUGAUUUAAUUGUGGUGUAAUUGAUUUGUAGGGGAUGAAUCAGCAGCAUCAUCGGUUAACGCUUUCAGAUUUAUAGUUAAUCAAUAGUUGAGAGUUGUUAUCACUAACGCCGUGUAUUUUUUAAUGUUUUUUCUCUCUCCUACAGCAUCUUCUAGGAAAGUGCAUCCGUUGCUAAAAUUUAGUAUCGUAAAUAAUAAACCAAGAAUAAAUAUUAAAUCUAAGAAACUGUAUUGCAUUUAAUAUUUAAGGGAGAAAAAUAAUUAUAGUGUCUUUAUUAAUCAGUAAAAAAAAAAAUUAGAAUCAUAAUAAAUUGUAUUGUUAUUGAUGUAUUUAUUUUAUUUUAUACUCAAAAUAAAUUAUUUUAAAUUAUUAAAAUAAUUUAAAAUUAGUAUUUUAUUUUAUACUCAAAAUAAAUAAUUUAAAAUUUUCAUUUCUUGUUUAUUUCGCAAGUUGUUAUUGCCUAAUGCUAUGUCAACUCGAACAUUAGCAUUUUUUUUUUUGGUCCUCUUUUAACGCAAAAUUAGUGUAGGUUAAGUAACAUAAUCAAUAUUAGGACAAUUUGAAAUCCCUAUGGGUGCGUUUGGUACACUGUAUUGUAUUAUACUGUAUUGCAUUAUUUUAAUGCUGAUGUAUUGUAUUAUGUUGUAUUGCAUUAGCACUGUAUUAUAACAAUGCUAUACAAUAUUUGGUGUUACAUUGUACUGUAUUAGAUUUUAAUUAUAUUAUAUUUAGUGUUACAAUUGUUGUAACAUAAACACGACCAAAAUAAAUUGUACUAAAUAAUCUAAGUAAGAGUUCUGUAGUAUAUGUAAUAAUACUAUUUAUAUUAUUAUUAUUAAUAAUUCUAAAUUAAUAUUAUUUAAUUUUAUUCAUAUUUAAAUAUGUAUUAUUAGUUUAUUAAAUUAUUUAAAAUAAUUAAUUUAUAUAUAUUAAUUAUUGUAACUUAAUUAAAUAAUGUAAUGCUAUAUUAUAUUUUUAUAUACUAUUUAAGUAUUUAUUAUUAAUUAUAUUUAAUUAUAAAUUUAUUAAUAAAUUAUAAUAUAAAAAUAAAAAAUAAAAAUUAAUAUUGUAUAAUAUUAUAUUAAAUUAAAGUUUUAUUUUUAUUACUAUUAUUAUAAAGUAAAAAAAAAAAAAAGGGAAGCUACUGACUUUUGAAACACAAAAGUCAGUAAUACAACCUAAUCACGAGGGGGGGCGCGGGUUUUGAUAAUGCGGCAAAAGCUGCAUUGUAAUGCUGCUCAAUGCAAUCCAUUUGAUCACCAAACACAGGUAUAUUUUAACUAAUGCUGGGCCCACAAAAUAAUACAAUGCAAUUCCGCAUGCCAAACAUACCCUAUGGGUGCGUUUGGUACACUGUAUUGUAUUAUACUGUAUUGUAUUAUUUUAAUGCUGGUGUAUUGUAUUAUGCUGUAUUGCGUUAGCAUUGUAUUAUAAUAAUGUUGUACAAUGUUUGGUGUUACACUGUACUGUAUUAAUUUUUAAUUAAACUAUAUUUGGUGUUAUAUUGUAUUGUAUUAAUUUUUAUAAUUAAUUAAAUUAAAUAAUUAAAAAAUAAUAUUUAUUAAUACUUAGAAAAAUAAUAAAUAUAGAAAUCUUAAUUGUAGAAAUUUAACAAAUUUUUUAGUAAAUAUUAAAAAUUAAUGAUUAAAUUUCUAAAAUUUGUAUUAUAAUUAUGAUAAAAUAAAUUUAUAAAAUUUAAUAUUAUAUGUAAAUAAUAAAUUUAGAUUAUAAUUAAUAUUAUAAUUGUUAAUAUAAAUUAAUAAAUUAUUAUUCAAUAAUAUUCAAUUAUAUUUUAAUUUACAAUAUAUUAUUAUUUUUACAUUUUAAUAUAUUAAUAAAUUUAUAAUUUAACAUAAAUAAUUAUAAAUUUAAAUAAUAUUAAUUUUAAAAUUAAUAUUAAUGUAAAUAAUAUUAUAAUAUUAAUAUAUUAUUUUUAUAUGAAUCAUUAAUAAAUAAAAUAAUAUUAUCAUAUAAUUUAUUUUUAUAUUUUAUUCAUUAUAUUAAUAUUUAAUAAUAAAAUAAUUUAUUUUUAUAAUAUUUUAAUAAAAUAAAUUUGCCUCAAUUGAGGCAUUAACUGUUGCCUCAAUUGAGGCAAAAAGCUUCCGCAUCCCUCGGGUUUGCGUAAUGCGGCCCCAUGCCUCAUUAUGCUGCAUUAUAAUGCAGCAUAAUGAGGUGUCAAAUUUUGCCAAACAUGUUCUUGGUAAUAAACUAAUGUGAAUAGUAGUAUAAUACCACAUAAUCUCAUGCACCAAACACGCCCUAUGUGUAUUAUUCACGGUAUCUAUGAGGGCUUAUCCUUUUGCUAGAACAAACUCUAGCAAAUUGUCAAAUGUGCUUAUCCUUUCCCUUGACGACUCAUUUUAAAAUUGUCACUCAUUUUAAAAUUGUCUUUCAAUGCACAAACACAGACAUAACCGCCGACAUCGAGCACCAAGUUUGGAAUUUAAUUGAUAAGCAUACAUUUGAUAAAUUAAUGAAAAGUUUGGAGAGUAGUUUUGAUCACCCUUGAUUAGGACGGUAUUACAAAAAAGAUCAAAAAGAAAACAUCGUCUCUCUUCACAAAAAUAAAUAUUUUCCGUUAGAAUUUAAUACAAUAAUAUUUUUUUUGAUUAAAAUUUAAUUAAAUACACAAAUAAAUUAUAUAUUUUUUAAAAAAAUUUACACCCAGUCACAAGGCUGGCUAUUAAACUUAAAGGGUGGAAGCUUCGGAGACUAAAGUUGGUAACUUCUCCAAGUGGUCUUAAGUUGACCGGAACUACCCAGACUUUAUGUUUGGUAGCCUAGACCUGAUCGGACCUAGGCCCAAGUUUGGUCUUAAAGUCCACAAUUAAAUUAAAAAAAAAUUAUUUGAUUUGUAAUUGAUUUAUGGGGAAUGAAUCCGCAGCCCUAAAAUUACACCAAUCUUGACAUAAUGACAUCAUCGGUUAAAAACGUUCAGAUUUAUGGUUAAUCAAUGGUUUGAGAUUUGUUAUCAUUAAUGCUAGAUAUUUUUUAACAUUUUUUUCUAUCUCUCUUCUCCUGAAGGAUUUUCUAGGAAAAUGCAUCCACAACAAAAAUUUUAAAUUGUAAACAAUAAACAGAGUAUAAACGUUAAAUCUAAGGAACAUCGCUGCAUUUCAGCUGAAGCGAACUUUAAUAUUUUACGGAGAAAAAUAAUUAAGUCUUUAAUGUGAUUUAUUGAUUAAUAUAUAUGACUAAUUUUUUAAAAGAAGAUGAAGGAUGAAGCUUAAAAAUAUAAAUUAUAGAAUUAAUUUAUCUCUUCAAUAAAUCUAAAGUUUAUUUUUUUUAUUACAUGCUUCUAUUUUAUUUUUAUUCCAUGUUAAUGAAUGGAGAUUUAAAUCCAUUUUGGAUUUAUAAAGAUGUUUAGAUAUUUAAAUCCACGUGUGAUUCCAAACUUGAACCUUUUUUUUUUUUUUUUCUAAUUAAUGCAAACAGCCGCCUCUUUGACUGCUUUUCUUCUUUGUUUAUUAAUUAAUUAAUUCAGCUGCCCACCUUUCUUUUCCUAAUGUUUUCUACUCCCAAAUUUUUUUAAGGACAAGGCUACGUUGCAGACGCUGUACCUAACAGCUGCACCUUCGCCAGCUUAAAAAAGGGUGCAUUUGGUAAGCAACUUUUCUUUCGUGUGCAUAUGUGUCCUGCCACCAUUGGGUGUGUACGUAACAGAUAAUGUACCGUAACAAGCUCCUAUUUUUAAAUUUGUUUAUAAUGAUAAAAUAUAAAAAUUAAGAUUAAAAUGUAAUGUAAUGUAAAAUUAAAGGUGGAAGAGUAUUAAAAUAAGGCUAAACCUAUGUUACGUUUAACGUAACAUACAUUUAAAUAUAUAAAAUAUCAAUGGAAACCCUCAAAUUUUAUGGAAACUAUAUUAAUAAAAUUAAAAGAAAUAUUUUUAAAUCUGAAAGAAGAAAUAAAAGAUAUAAAGCAAGAGAUAGGAAAACUAAAAAUAGAAAUAUCUGUAAAAGAAAAAGGAAAAGAAAAAUUAGAAAUAAAAGAAACAACUCCAACUGAAUCGAAUUCAGACUAAUGGAAGAUGUAUUAGAAACUUUAACUGAAAAAUUCAGUGACAUAAAUCUUAGUGAUUUAGAAGACUUUGAAAAAGAAUAUUAGAUAAAAAUGAAUACUGCUGGAGGACCAGAAAUGAAACCUAAUGUAGCAUAACCAAGUCAUAGAUAUGGUAUAAAUAAAAUGAAAAAUAAACCUUUUUACGAGUAUAUACCUCCUAUUAAAAAUACUCCUUGGAAAAAAGAAUACAAACCAAAUCAAGAUACAUUAACCCCAAUAAAUAAUGCUGGAACAUUUUUAAAUCUAGAUUGUAAGAUAGACAUUCGAAAGGCGUUAGCAGAAUGGGUGUUACAAAUGAAAUUAUUUUUUAUAUUUAACGGGUCAAAGGAUGACUAGAAUGUAGAGACUGAAGAAGAAAAAAUAGAUAUAUUUGUUGAAAUCUUAAUAGCCAGUUUUUCAGGAAAUGUGUUUAAUUGGUGGAGAGGAUUAAGCGAUGAUACACAAAACUUAAUAAAAGAUUCAACCAAAUAGCAUUUAGAAAAAAUAAAGCCUUAGGAAUGGAAAGGAUAACUGAAUACAUAGCUAGUGAAUUUUUAGGAGAAGAUUGGCUAGAAAAAUCGGGCAUAUAUGAAAAUUUAAAAAUUUAUGAUAAAAAGAUCUUAGUGUUUUUAUUAAAAAAUUAAAAUUUACAUGACUAUUUCUUUAAAUAUUUAGGGCAUAUAUGAACCACGGAGGAGAAAAGCUUUAUUUAAUAUUUUAGAAUAGUUUUUGAUCAGUACAAUUGGGUCCUUAUUCAGAAUUAUUGUUCUCUUCCGCAACAGUUUUUGUUUAUCAAAGUCGUCAAUUAAAAUUUUAGAAUUCUUAUCAGAAGAAGUAGUCGUUUUAGAAGUUGGGUCUUGGAUCAAAUUUCUACGAGUGCAUGAAUUAACAAUAAAAAAAUUUCAUUACACACGGUUUAAGCUACAAACUACUAUUUGCACAGUUGACUAUAAAACUUACCUCCAAUUACACUAAACCUCUCUAUUUGGUAACGUUGAGACUAAAUUAAUUUUAUUAGCAUGAAAAGAUGAUAGAAAUAUAAUUAUAAAUAUUAUUGUUGUUAAUCAAUUAGUACAUGUGAUAUAAAGGUUAAAUGUGCACUAUAUUUAAUAAUUAAUUAGUGGAGCAUGUUAAACAAAAUGUUAAUGUAUAUUUAUAUAGUGUUAGGAAUAUGCAAAGUCAAGUCCUCAAUUUGCAUUAUCCUGUAUAGAAUAUUACUCUAAAAAUGUUUUACUAUAAUUGGCUUAGAACAUUUGUAAAGAAAAAUAAUAAUAAAAUAAUAAAUAACAUACACCGUCACAUAGCACCUAGACAAUGAUAGAAAAUUAUUAAAGAGAGUGCAAACAAUUAAUUAGAGAUUUUUAUGAUGACUUUUAAUAUUCAUGAUAAUAACAAAUAAAUACAUGUAUCACUUUUUUAAAAUAUUAAAUUUGACUGCUCCAUUAAUAAAUUAUUAUUGUAAUUCAGACUCUAUCUAUAUAUCCUUGCACUAAGAAUAAUUAAGGUAACGUUUGUUUUUUAACUUAAUGACUUAAAGUGACUUAACUUAAUUAAUUAAGUUAAUUAGAGGUGUUUGUUUUAUAACUUAAUGAGACUUUUUAGAUAAUUUUGACUUAAUAAAAUAAGCUAAUUUUUUUUGGCUUUUUACUUAAUGGAGAAAUCUGAAUUAAGUCAAUUACUUGCUAAUGUCAAAAAUAUCCUUGUUUUAUAAUUUAUUUUUCAUGUCUAUCCCAAAACUCGCCCGUAGAUAUUUACCCCACAUAAAAAUAUCCCUGUUUUUUUCUUUCUUAUAUUAUAUACGAUAAAAUUUGAAAUUUAUAGUAUUUUAUAUAUUAAAAUUCUAAAAUAAUUAUGUAUUCACUUGAAUAUAGUUUUACUUAUAAAUGUUAAAAUAUGAUGGUAUUUAAUAUAUUAUUUAUUUGACAUUCAAAUUUAAUAAGGAUACAAAUGUAAAAGUACAUAUUUUCAGCUUUUUAAAUUGAAAAAAAAUAACUUAAUAUUUAUUUUCUGAGAUUCAGACGAAAAAAUAAACAUAUUAUUCAGAUUCAUACAUUCAGAUCUAUUCAGAAUUCAAACUAAUUCAAGUCUAUUCAAAUUUUAGACAAAAAAAUAAACGCCACCUAAGUCAUAAUAAAAAUUUUCGUAACUACAUCUCGUUUCUUCCUCAUAAUAAUAAUUAGAUUGGUUCGAAUAUUAUAACUAUAUAGAUUUAGUGUAUAGCCACAUCCAAUUUAAAUAUUGACCCAAUUGGGAUGGUCCCCAAAAAAAAAGAUUCGUUAAAGGAUAAUUCUAAUUAUUUUUACUUCUCAAACGUUAGUGGGACGUUUCUAUUAGCGCACUCGUAAGCCAAGUUGUCAAAUAUUUAUACUAAACUACAAUUGCUAACAAGAAAAAUCAAGAUCGUGUUAAGCAAGUGGGUCCCGAAUAGGACGUGCAAAUCUCUCGUAAGUCAAGUUGUCAAAUGUUUAUAUAAAACUAACAAUUACUGACAAGAAAAAUCAAGAUCGUAUUAAAAAUGGGUCCCGAAUAGGAUUAUCUUUUUAAGAAUAUUAUUAUUUUAUUAUUAAAAUUUUAUUAAUAUAACAGUAUUAAAAUUUAUUAAAAAAUAUAUUUUAUUAUUAAAAUUUUAUACCGUUAUCAAUUUAUUAUUAUUUUAUUAAAAAAAUUAAUAUUUAACAAAAAUUGAGAUAAAAAUUAAUUUUUGUUCUCUGUCUUUAUUUAUUUAUUUAUUUUUUUGGGUCUUCUGCAAAUCACAAUCAAAUGUUGAAUUAUAAAUUUGCCGGCAUUGCUUUUUUUUUUUUUUUUGGGCCGGGGGGUGGUGUUGAAUUGAUGCUCUGGGUUUUUGACUUUUGUUGUCAAAUUUUACUCUGUUUUUCCCAAAUUGAUGCUANNNNNNNNNNNNNNNNNNNNNNNNNNNNNNNNNNNNNNNNNNNNNNNNNNNNNNNNNNNNNNNNNNNNNNNNNNNNNNNNNNNNNNNNNNNNNNNNNNNNNNNNNNNNNNNNNNNNNNNNNNNNNNNNNNNNNNNNNNNNNNNNNNNNNNNNNNNNNNNNNNNNNNNNNNNNNNNNNNNNNNNNNNNNNNNNNNNNNNNNNNNNNNNNNNNNNNNNNNNNNNNNNNNNNNNNNNNNNNNNNNNNNNNNNNNNNNNNNNNNNNNNNNNNNNNNNNNNNNNNNNNNNNNNNNNNNNNNNNNNNNNNNNNNNNNNNNNNNNNNNNNNNNNNNNNNNNNNNNNNNNNNNNNNNNNNNNNNNNNNNNNNNNNNNNNNNNNNNNNNNNNNNNNNNNNNNNNNNNNNNNNNNNNNNNNNNNNNNNNNNNNNNNNNNNNNNNNNNNNNNNNNNNNNNNNNNNNNNNNNNNNNNNNNNNNNNNNNNNNNNNNNNNNNNNNNNNNNNNNNNNNNNNNNNNNNNNNNNNNNNNNNNNNNNNNNNNNNNNNNNNNNNNNNNNNNNNNNNNNNNNNNNNNNNNNNNNNNNNNNNNNNNNNNNNNNNNNNNNNNNNNNNNNNNNNNNNNNNNNNNNNNNNNNNNNNNNNNNNNNNNNNNNNNNNNNNNNNNNNNNNNNNNNNNNNNNNNNNNNNNNNNNNNNNNNNNNNNNNNNNNNNNNNNNNNNNNNNNNNNNNNNNNNNNNNNNNNNNNNNNNNNNNNNNNNNNNNNNNNNNNNNNNNNNNNNNNNNNNNNNNNNNNNNNNNNNNNNNNNNNNNNNNNNNNNNNNNNNNNNNNNNNNNNNNNNNNNNNNNNNNNNNNNNNNNNNNNNNNNNNNNNNNNNNNNNNNNNNNNNNNNNNNNNNNNNNNNNNNNNNNNNNNNNNNNNNNNNNNNNNNNNNNNNNNNNNNNNNNNNNNNNNNNNNNNNNNNNNNNNNNNNNNNNNNNNNNNNNNNNNNNNNNNNNNNNNNNNNNNNNNNNNNNNNNNNNNNNNNNNNNNNNNNNNNNNNNNNNNNNNNNNNNNNNNNNNNNNNNNNNNNNNNNNNNNNNNNNNNNNNNNNNNNNNNNNNNNNNNNNNNNNNNNNNNNNNNNNNNNNNNNNNNNNNNNNNNNNNNNNNNNNNNNNNNNNNNNNNNNNNNNNNNNNNNNNNNNNNNNNNNNNNNNNNNNNNNNNNNNNNNNNNNNNNNNNNNNNNNNNNNNNNNNNNNNNNNNNNNNNNNNNNNNNNNNNNNNNNNNNNNNNNNNNNNNNNNNNNNNNNNNNNNNNNNGAAGGGUCUCUAAUCAAUAGCUGGAAGCAAUUGAGAAGGCGGUUGCUACAGUGAAUUCAAAUGUAAAAUGUUUGCUAUUCUUCGAUUUGGUUAAUGAUUUCGUAUGAAUAUUGUUGUUCCGUUGAGUUGCAUGCGAAUUCAAAUGCAAAAUAUUCUUCGAUUUUCAAUUUUGAAAUCAAAUUUUUUUUUCCUUCUCAAGCAUGUUAUGCAGAAACGAUUGUCAUGUUAUGCAGAAACGAUUUUUACUAAAUCAUUUUUAACAAACUAUUGAAAUUAAACCACUGGAAUAAGAAUUGUAAGGAUUUAUCGUAAGCUUACUAAUACGAUAAUUCUGAAACUAUCACCUUUUUUUUUUUAUUUGUUGCAGGGAAACCCAAAUUUUGUAUUUUGUCAAUUUCAUCUGAUAUGGAAUUUAUUUCCUCCCUAAAGAUUUAUCAAACUGCUUCUCUUCCCUGCUUCAAUAUCUUUAUGCAAUUACGAUCUCAUAGGAAAAGAGAGUUUGGGUUGUAUAUCUUAUAGUAUUUAUUUAUUUUUUGUUAAAAGAAAUUUAUUUUAAAAUAGUUUAUAGCAACAGUUUUUAUUUAACAAUAAUGAGGAAGGAUUAUUAUAGGUUCAAAUAGUUGUUAGAACAUUAUAAAAAAGUCCAUUUACUAUCAAAUGUUUUAAAUUGGUGCAACGUGAUAAUUGUCUCAUAUAAUUUUUUAAGGGUAAAAACUCGUUUCAUUCCCAUAUUUUAAGAUUAUUACUCAUUUAGUCUUUAUAUUUUUAAAAAUGUUUCAAAACAUUCAUACCCUUAAAUUAUUAACAUCUCUGCUGUUACUUUUUAUUUUUUUUUGACUUGUUUUUACAAUAUUGCCCUCUUACAAUAAUGUUUCUUUUUAUAAAAUUAAUAAAAAGAAAAAAAAUUAAAUUAUCAAUUUAACCCCAAAAAUAAAAUAAAAAUAAAAAGAAUAAAUAUUAAUUUUUGUGAAAGUUUACAUGUGUCCAAAAUAAAUUUUAUUGUAAAAAUAAUUAAAUUGCCUUUUUUUUGGACAUUAGUAAUAAAAAAAUUAAUAUAUUAAUUCCUCAGCAGUGUGUUACAAAAAAGUAAAAUAUAUUAAUUUUGUUUUUAUUUUAGACAAUGAGAUAGAGAAAAGUACAAGAUAAAGGAAAGGACUUCAAAACUCACUGUUCAUCAUAAUGCCCUUUGCCUUUAAAAAAAAAUCAUUCUAAUAUUUUAUAACACAUAAAAUAUAAUCCUAAGAUAAAUAUAAUAAUACAUAUUUUAAACUAAUCUCGAUAUUUAAAAUAUGUUUUAAUAUUUUAUAAUCUAUCAGACAUAUUUUAUUAUAUUAAUGUAAAAUUUAUAAUAAAUACAAACAUAUUAUUAAAAUAAAUAUAUAAAAAAUAUUUAUUUUUUAUAUGUUUACACUGAGGACUCUCUUUAAUUCAUUUAUUUUCUCUCUCUCCAAACAGGUACUGUCUUCAGUUAGCAAUGCUAUGAUAGUAAUCCAAUUCUCUUCUCCCCCACCUGAGCGAGAUUUGAAUUUGAAUCCCUUGUUUUUCACCCACUCUGUUUUUUUUCACGCAAGAUUUGACAAUUUGAGUUAAAAAAUAUGGUCCAAAACUUGAACACGUAUCUUUUAAUUGUAAUAAAAGUUCUUUAAGCUUUGGAGAUGGCAUAUAUAUGGCUGGAAGUGUCCUUUUCUUUGACCUAGAGGCAGCACCAAGCUAUCCAGCAUCAUCAUUUUUCAAGUGGGUCUUAAAUGCCUAGAAACGUUGGUGUUUCUUGAUUUAAAGAUGACACAUGCUAUAAGUGUGAAUGGUUUGGCUAAGCCUAAAUUUAAAGUCUACUCAAGUCGCAUUCAGGAUCAUGGAAAUUGGAAAGGGAGAGAUGAUAGCAAGAUUUAUAAUAAACAAUUAACUUGGGUCCUCAGUGUACAAAGCAAAUGCCACGCAAGCGAUAGCCGGCCCAGCCCAGAAAACCCAGUGGCGAUCCCAGAGAUGGCCUCCUCUAACGAGUGCUGGGCCCAAAAAUCUUUGCGGGUUGAGCCCAGCUCCGGCAUAGCCCUUUUGAGCAGUAACAGUUGUCGAGACAAAAACCAGAAGACCCAACACUGUUCCAAUGACAAUGCAUACGGUAAACUCUGCCAAGAGCCUUGGCUUGUCUGGAGUCAAAAGCCAUCCACACAGAAGCAAAAAGGAACACAAACGAGCAAAUUAUCUCAAGCCAAAGGGCCUGCCUAGUCCCCAAGCCGAUCUCAACAGGCCCAUCUGGCCCAGGUACGACAACAUUCAGGGUGCAGCCUCCAAGUUGUCAAAUAUUUAUAUUAAACUACAAUUGCUGACUAGAAAAAUCAAGAUCGUAUUACAAGUGGGUCCCGAAUUGGACGUGCCUAAAUCUUUUUAUAAUUUUCCCAGUGUAGCGGACAGAGGUCAUUACUAAAUUUCUCUUCCACACGCCACAGCAGCUUCGGUUAAUCAAACUCAAUCAAUUUUCUUGGCUUCUCCGCUUAUCAAUAUUACAAGGUAUGGGUAGCAUUUUUCAAAUCACAUGCGAUGGUACUAUUUUCAAUCGUUGCUUAGAUUGCUUUCUUGGAAAAGCAGCAUACAUAAGUAACCUCCAAGAUAAUCUUGUUGCCUUGGAGACUGAACUAAGGAAACUAAUCGCAGCAAAGAACGAUGUGAUGACGGCGGUUGUCAAUGCUGAACGGCAACAAAUGAGAAGGCUGGACCAAGUGCAAGUGUGGGUUUCGAGGGCGGAUGCUGUUAAAAAUGAAGCUGAUGAACUUAUCAGAGGCGGCUCUCAAGAAAUUGAAAAAUUAUGUCUUAGAGGGUUCUGUUCCAGGAACUGCACGUCAAGCUACAAGUUCGGAAAACAAGUGGCUAAAAAGCUACGAGCUGUGGAGACUUUAAUCGCCGAAGGAGUUUUUGAGGCGGUGGCUGCCGAGGUGGUGCCUGAGAGAGCUCCAGAGCCUGUAGCAGAUGAAAGACCUACCGAGCGAACAGUAGUAGGCUUGCAAUCACAACUUGAACAAGUCUGGAGAUGUCUUGCAGAAGAAUCAGCGGGAAUCAUUGGCCUAUAUGGUAUGGGCGGUGUUGGUAAAACUACACUAUUGACCUAUAUCAACAAUAAAUUUCUCGAGAGUCCAACCAACUUUGAUUGUGUGAUUUGGGUAGUAGUUUCAAAAGACCUGCGACUUGAAAAACUUCAAGAAAAUAUUGGGAAAAAGAUAGGUUUGGUUGAUGAUUCAUGGAAGAGUAAAAGUGUAGAGGAGAAAGCUCUCGACAUCUUCCGGAGUUUAAGAGAGAAGAGAAUUGUAUUGCUGUUAGAUGAUAUAUGGGAGCGGGUUGAUUUAACAAAAGUGGGCGUUCCACUUCCAGGACCACAAAAUACUACCUCAAAAGUCGUAUUCACAACCCGUUUGAUCGAUGUUUGUGGUAGCAUGGAAGCUGACAGGAAGUUCAAAGUAGCAUGCUUAUCAGAAAAGGAUGCUUGGGAACUGUUUCGAAAAAAAGUUGGGGAAGAAACUCUUGGAAGUCAUCAUGAUAUCGUUGAGCUAGCCCAAACUGUGGCCAAAGAGUGUGGUGGUUUGCCACUCGCACUUAUUACUAUCGGUCGAGCUAUGGCCUACAAAAAGACAGCCGAAGAGUGGAGACACGCAGUUGAAGUUCUAAGAAGAUCAGCUUCGGAAUUUGCAGGUUUGGGAAAAGAGGUGUAUCCUCUUUUAAAGUUUAGCUAUGAUAGUUUGCAGAAUAAGACGAUUAGAUCUUGUUUCUUAUAUUGUUGUUUAUAUCCUGAAGAUUAUGGCAUUCUUAAAUGGGACUUGAUUGACUGUUGGAUUGGUGAGGGAUUCUUAGAGGAAUCUGACAGGUUUGGUGCAGAAAACCAAGGAUACUACAUUGUGGGCACUCUUGUUCAUGCGUGUUUACUAGAAGAGAUAGAAGAUGAUAAAGUAAAAAUGCAUGACGUUGUUCGUGAUAUGGCUCUAUGGAUAGCUUGUGAAAUUGAGAAGGAGAAGAGAAACUUUUUGGUUUGUGCAGGUGCGGGACUAAAGGAGGCACCUGAUGUUAAAAGAUGGGAAAAUGUGAGAAGAUUGUCAUUGAUGCAAAACCAAAUUGAAACUUUGUCAGAGGUUCCUGCAUGCCCUCAUCUCCAUACUCUAUUUCUUGCCUCUAAUAAUAGUUUGCAGAGGAUCACCGAUGGCUUCUUCCAAUUUAUGCCUUCUCUCAAAGUUUUCAAGAUGUCAAACUGCGGGAAUUUAAUUUUGGAAUUACCUUUUGGGAUGUCAAAGUUGGGUUCAUUGGAACUUCUCGAUAUUUCACAUACCUACAUACAAGAGUUACCACAAGAGUUAAAGUUGUUGGUAAAUCUGAAAUGUUUGAAUUUGAGGUGGACAAGCGAGUUAAAUAAAAUUCCACGGCAGCUAAUAUCAAAUUCUUCAAGGUUACGUGUGUUGAGAAUGUUGGGUACUGGCUGGUUCAAUUUUCAUGAAGCAUCAGAAGACAGCGUUUUAUUUGGCGGGGGUGAAGUUUUAGUACGGGAAUUGCUCGGUUUGAAAUAUUUAGAGGUAUUGGAGUUGACCUUGCGAAGUUAUCAUGCUCUCCAAAUUGUUUUGAGCUCAAAUAAGUUAAAAAGUUGUAUUCGAUCUCUUUACCUCCAGUUGACCGGAGAUAGAAAGUCGAUUAUUGAUGCUACGGCUUUCGCAGAUCUAAACCACCUCAAUGAAUGAUUGAUUUUUAAAGGUUUUGAGUUGGAAGAAUUGAAGAUUGAUUAUACAGAGAUAGUACGAAAAAGGCGGGAACCUUUUGUUUUCCGCAGCCUUCACCGUGUUACCAUAGAUUCGUGCCUUAAAUUGAAAGAUUUGACAUUCCUCGUUUUUGCUCCAAACCUCAAGUCUCUUUCGCUAUUCAAUUGCCGUGCUAUGGAAGAAAUAAUCAGCGUUGGAAAAUUUGCUGAGGUUCCUGAGAUGAUGGGACAUAUAAGCCCUUUUGAAAAUCUCCGAAGUCUUCGUUUGUCACAUUUGCCAAAUUUGAAGAGCAUCUACUGGAAGCCAUUGCCUUUCACUCAUCUGAAAGAAAUGGUGGUACAUGGGUGUGAUCAGCUUAAAAAGCUUCCACUCGAUUCCAACAGUGCAAAAGAGCGUAAAUUUGUUAUUCGUGGACAAGCAGACUGGUGGGACCGACUUCAAUGGGAGGAUGAAGCCACUCAAAUUGCUUUUAGUUCCUGUUUCCAACCUUAACUUGAUUUCUGGUUAGUGCUGUUUCCUUAACUUUUACAUAUAUUCUCGUCGUUUGCUUCGUGCAAAAUACUAGGUCUUUUGUUCUCUGUUUUUAUUUCGCCCAUUUUUUUUUUUUUUUUUUGUCUUCUGCAAAUGACAGACAAAUGUUGAACUAAAAGGAAUUAAUGCUUUAUAACUUUGCCGGCAUUGCUUUUUUCUUUUUCUUUUUUGAUUUUUUGGGGCGAGGGGGGAUCGAAUAGAUGCUCUGGUUUUUGACUUUUUGUUGUCAAAUUUUACUCUGUUUUUUUCAAAUUGAUGCUUGAAUAUUUGAAUCAAAUUAAUGCUCACGUAAAUUUGUUCAGUUGCCGUAAAAGGAUAUAAUUACACUGAAAUACACAAACUCUAGAAUGAAUAGAAUUAAACAGAGAAAAUCUUGAGUAUAUUAGCCGUCUUCACAUAAAAUCAUAUGAAAAUUAAAUUUUGAAGUUUUUAUUUUCUAUUUUUAAUCAUACCCUUUAUAAUUUCUUCUGUUCUAACUACAAUAAAAUUUUUGGUUCAAGGAUUUUUAUGAGGGGUAUUAAUAAUAGUCCACCAAAAGAGUGAACAGUUGGAUGCUGCCCUAAGGGUCUCUAAUCAAUAGCUGGAAGCAAUUGAGAAGGCGGUCGUUACUGUGUACAAAGCCAUGCAGUAUUUGCUAUUCAUCUUAGUAAUUAUGAAGCUUUGGUAAAAUUUUCAAACAAAGUUGACAUGUUAUUUUGAGAUUUGGUUCAUGAUUUUGUAUGAAUAUCGUUGUUCCAUUGAGUUGUAUAUGAAUUCAAAUGUAAAAUAUUCUUUGGUUUUCAAUUUUGAAUUCAAUUUCUUUUCUUAAGCAUGUUGUGCAGAAAUGAUUUCUACUAAAUCAUUUUUGAUAAACUACUUAAAUUAAACAACUGCAAUAAGAACUGUUAAGGAUUUAUCGUAAGCAGACUAAUAUGAUAAUUCUGAAACUAUCAUUUUUUUUUUCAAUUUGUUGCAGGGAAAGCCAAAUUUUGUAUUUUUCAGUUUUAUCUGAUAUGGAAUUUAUUUCCUCUACACUAGCUACCUAAAGAUUUAUCAAAUUGCUUCUCUUCCCUGCUUCAAAUUAAUAUCUUUAUGCAACUACAAUCUCAUAGGAAAAGACAGUUUGGGUUGUAUUUAUUAUAGUUUUUUUUUUCGUUAAGAGCAAUUUAUUUUAAAAUCGUUUAGUAGUAACAGUUUUUAUUGAAUAAUAAUGGGGUAGGAUUAUUAUAGGUUCAACUAGUUGUUAGAACAUUAUAAAAAGUCCAUUUACUAUCAAAUGCUUUAAAUUGGUGCAACAUGAUAAUUGUCCCACAUAAUUUUUAAUAAUAUAUAUGGCCCAUAAAUUUAAUAUGAAUAAAUGAGUUUCGAUAGUUAAAUUUGAUACGAUUAUUAAAUAAGUUAUAUCCAUGUCAAUUCGACUUAAAAUCUGGUAAAUUUAGAUUUAGAGUUUAUAACAUGAUAACUUGUUUUAUGACAUGAUUUACUAAUCAAUUAAUAUUAAAUUAUAUUUUAGCCAAUCAGAUAUGUGGUACAUUUGUCAAAUUUUAAAAAUUAUUUAUUUAUAUAUGAAAUAAAUUUGACUAGACUGUGUGUAGGUAAUAGUGCAUAAUUUCUAAAAAAAUGUAAUAAUAACACGUUAAAAUGUUAUUUUUAUGAAGAAAAAUUGAAAUUUUAUUAAAUAGGCGACACAAUAAUAAAUGGGUUGAGAUUAUUUACAUUUUAAGAAUUACUCUGAACAUUAUUUUAUUUUAUAAAUUUUAUAUUACAAAAACACCCAUAGUUUAAUUUACCAUUAAGAACAAUUUUGUGCGAUUAAAUAAAAUACAUUACUCUUUACCCUUUCACUACAUCGACAUAAAUCCUAAUUGUUAUGUUUCUAAUUUCUUUGAUAUGCUUAUUGAAGUCCACAUUAUAAUCAAUUUUAAACUAUUAUACCACUUAAAUACAUUUUAGAAUGAGAAGUUUGGUUUUCUUCAUGGGCUGCCUUGCUGAUGCUGUUAUUGAAACUAUCGAACUUAAUAAUUUUAUGGCCAAAAUGAUAUAUGUUGAACCAGCUUUUACAUCGAAUUCUACCACCAUAAAAAAUCGUACUUGUAACAUCUCAAGGUUCCAAUUUAUCAAAAGUUAAUCAUUCAUAUUUGUUAGUUCCUAACAGUCACAAGAGCGUACAAGCCAAUUUUUGUAGCUCCUUUUUCUGCAGUAGAUUCAAGUAUAUUAUUAUCAAGCAUUUUUGUUACACCCUUAAUUCCUUAUCAUCAUCCCUUCAUUCAGAGCAACUAAACAGAGGUCAAUGUCAUUAUGUUAGAGUUACGAGGAAGAGUACUGCCAAAAAAGUUCUUUGUAUGGGAUUUAAUUUUCUGGGUUUGUAGUGAUGAACAAAUUGAGGGUUGUUUUGGUAUUUUCAAGAGUGUAUUGAGUGAAAAUUAUUUUUAAAAAAUUUAACAAAUGAGUGUAAUGAGUAAAAAAGUGUUUAAAGUAUUUUUUAGAGUACAAAUAGCUCCACCUUAAUAAAUGAGUUCUUGUAAAAAUUGAGAUUAUUGAUAUAAUUAUUAAAUAGGUUGGAUUGAAGUUAGUUUAAUUUUGACAAGAUAAUAAGACGACGCGACACAAAUACAACCAACCAGUCAACCCAAAUUGCAACCUUUUACUAAUAAAAGAUACCUGUUUGAAAAGUAAUUAUAAGCUAUCUUCUUUGUGUUAUUUCUCUAAAAAUUUGCGGCACAAAUAUUAUUUCCAUGGAGAAAAGUACGAAAUACCCGCUUUCACUUCAGCAGAAGCAAAGCAAAGCUAUGAGCCAUCUCUGUAUAAUUGAAACGCCAUUGCUAAACGGUUCUUGAUGAUGGGUGCCACCGUGCCAGCGUUGUCGCUGAUUUGCAUGAUUUAUUAGUUGUUCAGAUGGCGGAUUUUGUACUGUCACUUUCAUUUCAUUCUUGAGAGCCACGUACAAUACUAGGUGGCAUUGAAGUUGCCCCAGUGGUUAGUUUUCUGAUUUUUUUUAAUUCAAAUUUUUAUGUUUUAGAAAAAUGUAAGAAAUAUGUAGAAAUGUUGACAGCUACAAUUUUGAAACUUUGCCUAAAAUUAUUAUCGUUGCUUAUUGUUUCUUAGCUAAAGAGAAAUCCUAGAAACAUGAAAUUAUUAUUCUAUGCUUGUUUUAAUAUUAUACAUUAGCAGGUUAAUUAAAAAUUAGACGUGAAUACAACAAGAGAUAAGUGGAGAGAAUUUGGUAGUCGACCGCAUUUAGAAUUUAAUUUUUCUUUUAGCUGCCGAUCAUUAAAUUUUAUAUUUCAGAAAAUUAUACCUAGAAUAUUUCAAGGAUAUACUACGAAGAUUAUGAAGGUUUGAUUACAUGUCACUAUCAAUUGCCUCAAUCAUUUGUAGUAAAUUAAUUAAUCAUUUUGCUGCAAAUGAUUUCCUAUUAAAAAAUUCAAGUCAGAGCUGAAUUGCACAGUAGUUAGUCGUGCUUGCAAUUCAAAUCAAGUAUUGUAUUUUCUGCCUGAUUUGGUUGAUUCAACUAUGUGCAUUUGCAUAAUGGAGAUGCUUAUGAACGUUGUAGUAUAGAAAUCGAAACGUCUUGUCUUUUGCUAAGCCCAGAAGCAAAGUUCUUUGUAUUAUACUCAUCAGUUUUCUUCGUUCUCUUCGUUGAAAUUUUAUCCAAACAGCGGUUUCUUCGAAUUUUUGCCCUCUCUUACAUUUUUAAAUCUAUCAAAGAACGGUUACCUGAGAAGAUUGCCAUCAGGUAUUUCGAAAUUGAUUUCACUACAAUACCUUAAUCUAUCAGAUUUUAAUCUAUCAGAUGCUCCCGUCACUCAGUUGCCAAAAGUGACAAAAGCCUUAGUAAAUUUUUAGAGUAAAAACUCAUUUAUUCCUUAUAUUUUAAGAUUAGUAUCUAUUUAGUCCUUAUAUUUUGAAAAAUACCUUGAAACAUCACUGCCAUUAAAGUAUUGAUACCCUUACCGUUACUUUUUAUUUAUUUUGGCUUAUUUUUACAAUAUUACCCUUUAAUAAUAAUUUUUUUGUUUAGACAUUAAUAAAAAUAAAAUAAUUAAAUUACCAAUUUAAUCCUAAAAAAUAAAAAUAAAAAUUUAUAUUAAUUUUUAAUUGUAAAAAAUUGUAUGCAAACUACCAAAUGUGCAAACGGUGCUUGCAAAAAAAUUAAUAUAAAUUUUUUAUUUUUAGGGUUAAAUUAGUAAUUUAAUUAUUUUAUUUUUAUUAAUGUCCAAAAAAUUAGUAAUUUAAUUAUUUUCUUUUUAUUAAUGUCCAAAAAUUAUUAUAAAAGGGUAAUAUUAUAAAAGUAAGCUAAAAGAAAUGAAAAGUAACGGUAGGGGUAUCAAUACUUUAACGGUAGGGAUGUUUCGAGGUAUUUUUAAAAAUAUAAAGAGUAAAUGGACACUAAUAUUAAAAUACAGGGACUAAAUAAGUUUUUAUCCUAAAUCUUUAAGUGUUUGAAUUGGAGUACAUAAAUUAUCUCUCUACAAUUCAAAAACAACAGAUUUGUUACUUUUCAACGCUACAGGUUCCGCGAAUAUUCAGUUGUGGUUAUCUUGUUGAAACACCAGAAAAUAGCGUUCUAUUUGGUGGUAAUGAAUUCUUGGUUGGGGAGUUACUUAGUUUAAAACAUUUAAAUGUAUUAAGCAUCGCCUUAAAAGGUUUUUCUACCGUCCAAAAAUUUAUGAGCUCCCAAAAGUUUCAAAGUUGUACAAAAUGUUUGGAGCUUAUAGACAGUGAUGAUUCAAAGUCGUUUGCCAUGGCAGAGUUGAAGCAUCUUGAAAAACUAGGUAUUUCAAAUUGUGGAAAUUUGGAAGAGUUUAAGUUCUGCUGUGUCGAAGUUGGAAAAACUUGAGAAGAUUUUUGUUUGAACAGCCUUCACCAAGUUAAGAGAAAGGCUUGUCAUAAAUUGAGGGAAGUGACAUGGCUUGUGUUUGUACCAAAUCUUAAGGUUAUUCAGAUAGAAAAAUGUAUGGAGAUGGAGGUUGUUGGGAAAGAGACUACCACAAGCAGCUAAAAAUUAAGCGAAUACAAAAUUCUUUCUCUCUUUGUGUGAUUAAAAUAGGAUGUGCACCACAAACAAAUAAGCAGAAAAAUAAACCAAUAAAUGCAAAGCAAAAACCAACCACAAGAGACACCGAUUUUUAAGUAGAAAAUUUAAAUUGGGAAAAAUCACAGGAUAGUAGUCUGAUAUAAACUUCUACUAUAUUAAUGAGAUUACAACACAAAUUCUUCUCCAGAUAAUACUAGAUGCUAACAAUAUUAAAAUUCUCAACAAUCUUAGUUUAUAAUAAUAGAUCUAAAAUCUAUUUCUUCAAUAAGUGAGUAUCUCAAAUAAUAGCUACUGAGAGAAUAAAAUACAGAUCAACACCAGUAGAAAUAUAGAGGGCAAUGUCAGGAACUUACCCUCCAAAUUUAGGACUAAUCAGAGCUAAAAUAACCUUUUGAUUGUUGAAUCAAAGAUUGAAAACCAAAAAAAAAAAAAAUAUCUCUUUCUCUCGCAGUGUCUUCUCACUUUCGCAAAAUGUCUACAGCUCUCGCGAUUCUUUACUUAUUUCCUUAGUUAAUUUCAUCCAAGUCCAAAAUUUUACAAUAAUUACACAUCAAGCAAAUUAUUUUGGACUUUGAACUUUUUGGUCCACUGAAGUGAAAUGGACCUUACAAAUCUCCCCCUCCAUCUCAUCUAAGGGGCACCACCAAGCCCGCUCUCUACUUACAGCUUUCCAGCUUCUCCUUGGGUAAUGACUUUAUCAUCAUAUCUGAUGCAUUCUUCGUUGUGUGAAUUUCUCCAAGCUGCAACUGUUUCUACUCAAGCACGUCUUGUAUCCAAUGAUACUUCAUAUCAAUAUGCUUCGAUUUCAAAUGAUAUGUUGAAUUCUUUGCCAAGUGGAUGACACUUUAACUGUCACAGUACACAACAUAACUAUCUUGAUUAACACCUAGUUCUUGUAGAAAAUUCUUCAUCCACAAGGUUUCUUUGUAACUUUCAGUGAUUGUAAUAUACUCUACUUCUGUAGUAGACAAAGCAACACACUACUAAAGUCUAGACUGCCAUGAAACUGCUCCUCCUACAUAGGUGAGCAAAUAUCUUGAUAGAGACUUUCUAGAAUCAACAUCUCCUGCCAUAUAUGCAUCCGUAUCUACUUGUAAUAUAGGUUUGUCACCACCAAAACAUAAACAUGCCUUGGAAGUGCCUCUGAGAUAUAUGACAAUCUACUUUACUGCUGUCCAGUGUUUUUUACCCAGAUUAGAGGAAAACCAGUUGACUACCAACUGUUGAAGCGUACCUCAAACUACCAACUGUUGAAGCAUAAAAAACUCUUUUUAUCUCUUGCUUCUCUUUCUCACUUAUGGGACAAUGCUUGAAACUAAGCUUGAAAUGACCUGCAAGUGGAAAAUAAACAUAUUUUGCUUUGUCCAUAUUAUAUCUUUUAAGAACUUUUUCAACAUAUGCUUCCUGAGAUAACCAUAAAUUCCCAGUUUUUCUGUCACGAGAAAUCUUCAUGCCAAGAAUUUGUUUCGCCGAUCCCAAGUCCUUCAUUACAAAAGACUUGCUAAGCUCUCUCUUCAAAUUGUCAAUCUUACUAGUAUCCUUGCCAACAAUCAACAUGUCAUCCACAAAAAGUAAAAGAAUAAUAAAAUCAUUAUCACUAAACUUUUUCACAAACAUACAAUGAUCACACAUUGUCUUGCAAAAGCCAUGAUUCUCCAUAAAAGAAUCAAACUUCUUAUACCACUGUCUUGGUGCAUGUUUCAGCCCAUAUAAAGUUUUUUUCAAUUUGUACACAAGUUCUUCUUUACCUUUGACACUGAACUCUUCAGGUUGUUAUAUGUAUAUUUCCUCCUUUAAGUCAUCGUGUAAGAAAGCAGUCUUUACAUUGAAUUGUUCAAUUUCCAAAUCCAAGCUAGCUACUAAUCCCAGAGGUGCUUGCUCAAUUGGUUCUGCUGGACCAUUAUUAUUAUCCUCUCCAGCUCCCCUAUGAUCAUCAUGAACAACAUGUGGAGAAACCGAAGUUGGAAUAAUAAGAAUCUCUGGAGAUGGCUGAGACUUAUCAUUUUUUUUUCAUCACCAACUAUCUAAUUUUUAAGAAACACAACAUCUCUAAUUCUGAUUACUUUUCUUGUCACUGGAUCCCAUAAUCUGUACCCAAAUUCUUCAUGUCCAUAGCUUAAGAAAAUACAUUUCUUGGCUUUAUCAUCAAGUUUUGAUCUCUCAUCUUUAGGGAUAUGAACAUACACUCUGCACUUAAACACCCUCAAGUGUUUAUAAGAAACAUCUUUCCCAAUCCAAACUCUUUUAGGUACAUCGUCAUCUAAUGGAGCUUAAGGAGAAAGAUUAAUCAAAUCAACUACAGUACGCAUAGCCUCCGCUCAGAAGGAUUUAUAAAGCUUGGCAUCAGAAAACAUACAUCUGACUAUCUUUUCAAUUGUUCUGUUCAUUAUUUCUGCAACACCACUCUGCUGAGGGGAUUUUGGUACAGUUUUCUUAAGUUUGAUUCCAUGAGAUCUGCAAUACUGCUCAAAUGGUCCUCUGUACCCACCAUCAUUUUCUGCCCUGACACAUUUCAAUUUUUUUCUUGUCCCUCUCUCAACAUAAGCACGAAAGAAUUUAAACAUAGUAAGCACGAAAGAAUUUAAACAUAUCAAGCACUUAAUCUUUAGAUUUUAAAGCAAAAGUCCAUACUUUUCUAGAACAAUCAUUAAUAAAAGUCAUAAAAUAAAGUGCACCUCCUAUUGAUCUAUUUUGCAUCAUGCAAAUAUCAAUGUGAAUCAAAUCAAGGAUUUGUGACUUUCUAGAUGGAGAAAAGCUUUUAAAAGUUACUUUAUGUGCCUUUCCAGCUAAACACUAAACACAAGUCUUGAGGGACGUACCUACAAAGCUUGGUAGAAAUCCUUUUUUGGCAAGAGUUCCUAACCCUUUCUCACCAAUGUGACCAAGCCUUUUAUGCCAUGUCUCAAUGUCAGAAUUGUUUACAGCCAUAUUCAUAUAUUCUUUCUUGAUUUUGGCUUCUAUUACGUAGAGGGUGUUCAUUUUCUUUCCUUUAGCCAACACUAGAGAGCCUUUGGUGAGCUUUCAUUUUCCUUCACCAAAUUAGUUAGUAUAACUAUCAUCAUCAAUUUUUCUUGUGGAGAUCAAAUUAAGACGAAUAUCUAGUACAUGCAAGCUUUUUUGUGGAGAUCAAAUUAAGGCGAAUAUCUAGUACAUGUCUGACAUCUUUAAGGAGUAGCUUAUAGCCAACACUGGUUUGAAGCAAAUAUCUCCUAUGCCCACAAUCUUGGAUGCCCCCUCAUUUCCCAUCCGAACAUGGUCAUAAUUACCAUUAACAUAGGAUGUGAAGUAAUCAUGAUGUGCAGUUGUUGUGCAAAUUUUAAUGUACUCGCAAGCGCACGAAUCUAUUGUAGUAUAGAUCAAUGGUGACGAGUGUCGAUCCCACGAGGAGGUGGAUUUUAAUUGUGUAUAGAAUUAAUUUUGCAAAUGGUUGAUUGGAUUUGUGGUGGAAAUGAUUUGGAAUAUGCUAAAACUUAAAUUAAAAUGGCGAGAAUAAAUUCUAAAAUUGGAAUUGAAAUUGCGAGAAUAAAGUUGAAGAGAAUUCUAUUGAAAUGACGUACUUGGGUAUCUGGAUCCGUAUCAACAUGCAUCAUGGGCUAAAUAAUGCGUAUUAAUGCCAAUUAAAUCAUGAGGGGGGAAUCCACACCUCAUGAACCACGCUCUAAUCAAUAUGGUGCUAAGGGCUUAUCGUGCCAAAUAAUAAUAACCUUGUACUAGAGAGCCGGUGUAACCAAGGCGGUACUAGACAAGAUUAGUAUUAUUUGUCGACGAGAAGUCAAAACAUCCACAAAAACUAGAGGGGAAGAGAAAAUAAAUUUACCAAAUAAAGCCCAUGACACAUGUUGAGACUUCACCUUCAACCCAAGCUUAAAAGAAAAUUAGCUACUCAUAAUUGAACUAAGGGCAAAAUGGGAAUUUAUUAAAAUACGAAGAAAAUACAAGAUAGAGAGGGAAUUACAGAAAAUGGAUCCCAAAAAUGGAUUCAGAGAUAUCAAAUUAGGGGGGGAGGCCCCCUUUUUAUAGAUACAUGGAGUAAAUCAUGGCAAUCGGAUUAAAAACAGUUUGGACGCUCAGGAUUGCGCCACGUCAUCAGUCAACAGUCCACGGUUUGACCACGCGGAUGAACAGUAAUACGGUUUGACCCAUAUGAACAGUACGCGGUUUGACCCGGAUGAACAGUAACGCGGUUUGGUUGAAAAUAAUCCUGUGUGAUGCAUGCACCGUACGCGAGAUUUUUUGUCCACUGAUAUGCUGCCACGUCACCAUCAACAGUACAUAAGAAUUUUAGUCCAACAGGAUCGUGACACCUCAUCAGUCAAUGCCACAUCAUCGAUCCGUCUAUGUGAGCAGUGCCGUGAACAGUAACAUAUACAGUACCGUAUACGUGAAUAGUACCGUACAUGUGAAUAGUGCUAUUUUUCCUUUUAUGCUCCUCCUAAGGUUUUCGACCGUCCUGAGUUCAAAAGUGAUGUCCGUUUUACCGUCUGAUCUCUCCUUUAUUGUGAAAUCACUAUAAUACCACUAAAAUACAUAAAAUACUUAAUUAAAAUAAAACACAUGUAAUUAAAUCACAAGAAGGUUAAAUACAUAAAAGUAAGGGUUGUUAGUAAGACUUGAAAUGUAAAAUGAUGGUUUUCUCCUUUAUAAAUAUGCAUUUUCUAACACUCAACAGCAGUAACCACGAUGUGCAGUAACAUCAAACGAAGCACCCGAAUCAAUCACCCAAUUACUGGUAUGGCAAGUAAGAUUUAUAGAGCUAUCAUUAUAAGCAAUGCCCAUAUCACCAUUAAUUACGGCUGUAACAUUCUCUUUGUCAUUUUUCUGACCAUCGCCUUUUUCUUUCGCAUGUUCUCUUUUCCACAAUUUACACUACCUUUUUACAUGGCCCAUUUUCUGACAAUGAAAGCACUUAGCUUCUCCUAUGGGACUUAGAUCUUCCUCCAGGGUUAUCAUUAUUCUGAUGACGGAAAUUUCUGCUUCGACUUCUCCCCCGUCUUUUUUGGUUUUCUGAAACAAGUGUAGCUGACUCAGAGGGAACUACUUCAGCAUUCUUUCUUCGAGAUUCUUCAUUCCGCAGUCUAUCUGUAACCAUAUCCAAGUUUAAUUUACCAUUCGGUGCCGAAUUAUUCACUGACACCACUAAUGUCUCCCAACUAUCAGGUAAAGAACUAAGCAACAACAAUGCUUGUAACUCGUCAUCUAGAAUAAUCUUCAUAGUAGUCAACUGAUCAACCAAACCCUGAAACUCACUAGUGUGUUCAGUAAUACUGUGGCCUUUUUUAUAUUUCAAGUUAACAAGCCUUUUCAUUAGAUUGACUUUAUUUUGUGCUGUUGGCUGCUCAUAAAUUAUUUCUAAUUUUCUCCAAAGAACAUCAGCCUUGGAUUCCUUCGCGACAUGAUGGUACACACUCUGAUCAAUCCAUGACCUAAUAGUGCCCACGGCUUUCUGGUUCAAUUGAGCCCAUUUCUUAUCAUCUAUAUCAACAAGUUUAACUUCAUCACCUUCAAUAGGUUCAUGUAAGUCUUUCAUGUAGAGCAAAUCUUUCAUUCUAGACUUCCAAAUAUCAUAAUUCCACGACUCAAUUUAAUCAUGAACGCCAAAGACUCCUCUAUUUCAACCACAUAAGUAAUAAAAACACACAACCUGGCUCUGAUACCACUCUAUUGGGAAAACGACUACCACAAACAGCUACAAAUUAAGCGAAAAUAAAAUUCUUUUCCUCUUUGUGUGAUUAAAAUAGGAUGUGCACCAUAAACAAAUAAGCAGAAAAAUUAAUCAAUAAAUUCAAAGCAAAAAUCAACCACAAGAGACACCGAUUUUAACGUGGAAAAUUCAAAUCGGGAAAAACCAUGGGACAAUAGUCCGAUAUAAAUUUCCACUAUAUUAAUGGGAUUACAGUACAAAUUCUUCUCCAGAUAACACUAGAGGUUAACAACAUCAAGAUUUUCAACAAUCUUGGCUUACAAUAAUAGAUCUAAAAUCUAUUUCUUCAAUAAGUGAGUAUCUCCAAUAACAGCUAAUGAGAGAAUAAAAUAUAGAUCAACACGAGUAGAAAUGUAAAGGGCGAUGUCAGGAACUUAUCCUCCAAAUUUGGGAGAAAUCAAAGCUAAAAUUAUUUUUCGAUCGUUGAAUCAAAGAUUGAAAACCCAAAGAAAAAAAAUAUCUUUUUCUCUCGCAACGUCUUCUCACUUGCGCGAAAUGGCUACAUCUCUCGCGAUUAUUCACUUAUUUCCUUUAUAUUUUUUUUGGUUAAUUUCAUCCAAGUCUAAAAUUUUACAAUAAUUACACAUCAAGCAAAUUAUUUUGGACUUUGGGCUUUUGGUCCACUGAAGUGAGAUGGACCCUACAGAAGCAAUAAUCAGUGCAAGAAAAUUAAGUGAAGUUCCAGAGAUGAUGGCAGAUCUAAACCCUUUUGUAAAACUCCAAUAUCUUGGCCUCCGAAUUCUACCAAAAUUAAAAAAGCGUCUAUUGGAAUGUGUUGCCCUCUCCACAUGUCAGGGAAAUUUUUGUAUCUGAAUGCCCAAUUCUCAUUAGAGGAGAGGAACACUGGUGGAAUAAGUUGCAAUGGGAGGAUGAAGCAACCUAUAAUGCUUUUCUUCCUUGUUUUGGAUCCAUUUGAUGGGCAUCAACAUGGAUUAAUAUUUUGCAGCGAACCAAUUUGAAUAAAACUUACGGUAAGUGCUUUUCCAUUUAUUGCAUAUUUAUAUCUAAUUUUUGUUUUCCUUUAUGGUUAAAUUUUGCCCUGUAUAUGUUGUUGUACGGUGACAUUCUUGAAUCAAUUAUUAAUUUUUUUAAUUCUCGUCUCACAACCACCCUUUUGAUCAUGAGGAUAUGCCGAUAUCAAAGAGUCAUAAUUUGGGAUACAAAUGUAAGAAUUAGGCAGAUGACAUGUUGUUUCAAAGCUUUCGAAGAAGGACUAAAUAUGUCAUUGAAAGCCUCCAAUUUUGCGACUGAUUUUUUUUUAAUUUGUUAUUUUUAUAGGUGGCAAAAAUACCCGUCUGAUUUGGACUCGGCUGAUUUGGGCCGGGUACGGAGUAUGAAGCCGGGUUGGUCCUGGGCAUCACUUGAAACUCGGAACCUGGAUUUUAUUAAAAAAUAUUAUAAAUAUAUAUUAUUUUAAAUAUCUAUAUUUAUUAGACUCAUCUAUUACAUAUAUCUAAUUUCAUUGAAAUAAAUUUAAAAAUUAUAAAAUUACCAAUAUAUAUAUAUAUAUAUAAUAUUAAAAAAGUAUAAAAUCUGAGUCCUCAGAUUAAAACCCAGUUCAAGUGUCUAAAAAAUACAUGUGGACCGAGUUUGAACAUUGCGAUACCCAGACCCAAACUUGGGUUUUGCCAACCCUAGUCUUUUAAAUUGCUUGAUUGUAAUGUUUUAGUAUAGAAAAAUGAUAGCCAAGACAACAAUAAGAGGGCACAUUGUGCAUGCACAAUAGUGGAUAAUUUCGGCAUUCCAAAUCCAAUUAGGGUGGAUAACCUUUUAUUAGUAUUAACCUUCUCUCGUAUUCAAGUAAUGUAAAAUAUGCUUAGAAGCUGUGGAUCCCCCUUUAUAAGUGUUGGGCUUAUGCCAAACUCGAUUGAUGUGGGAUGCCUUUAUAGGCAUCAAGUUUUCUCCCAUACACUUUAUGUUAAAAAUAAUAAUGAUAAAAUAAAUCCAUUUUAAAAUAGACUUCUUUUUCUUUUCUAUAUAAACAAACUCAUUCUUCAAAUCAGUUGUGGGUGGAAGGAGUGAGUAGAGAAGAACUGGGCCCCUUUCGUUCCUCUAAAAACCUCACCAAACCUCUCUUGUAAGCUUCUCAGUGUCCCUCUCAAUAUUUCUUAUGAUCUCGUUUUUUAUUGAAUCACUUCUUUUGUGUGCUGCAUUUUUGUGUGUCGUAUUUGGGUUUAUCUUAUCUGGAAUCCUGUUAUGAUUGAUGGAACAAGUAAUCGAUUUUUGGUUUAUUUGGAAUGGAAUUAUGGUUUAUUUGGAAUGGAAUUAUCUGGGUGUAACGGAUUAAAUUAUGACAUUGGGGAGAAGGCACUAAGGGGUUUGCUUGACACAUUUGGUUCUGUGUUUACUCUGAAAGAAAUAGCUUUUGCUUAUCGUAAUGCAAGGCGAAAUCCCGAUUUGGGUGGUGAAUUUCUCUAUCCCAAUUGGGCUGGUGAAUUUCUCUGUGACAAAUAGGCAAACAGCUCAACCUCUUUUAUCUAUCUUCUACUAGUGAGGCAAGGGAUAAAAAGUCUUCAAAAUCAUCAAAUAGUAACAUCUUCGAGAAUUCAUUUUAUGCAAAUGGAAAAUCUAGACCUUCUAAGACAAAAUGGCGUCCAGUAUCAAGAGGUACCGUUUCAAGUUUUCUUGGUAAAAAUUAUGUAAACUUGCACAGCCAGCUAAUGGCACUUUUCUAGUUUUCUGGCAUCAAAGCCAUUGAAGUCGUAUCCAAAGGAGUUUCCCAUGUCUGCACUUUGUGGAGAAGGAACUAAACAAAAACAAUCAAAGGAUGACCAUUUGCAGAAGGAUGUGGAAGAUUUUCUGUUUAAAUUGCUAGGAGAAGUGUUCCAGCUGAAUAGGGAUGUGAUUCGGGAAGUUCCAGUAAUGUCUUAAAUAUGUUGAUGCCAAUUUAAUAUAUAUUGUCAUUUUCAAUGUUCUUUCUUUCUUUCUUUAUCUUCUUUUCUUCUACUUCUUCUUCUUUUUCUUUUCGUGUGCAUGUGAUCACUAAUUUGUUAUUAUACUUAACUUGCAGGUAGUUGUGGAUAUGAUAUGCAAAAGGUAAGGACUAUAUCUUCCUGAUAGAGGCCUCUGCUUUUUCCCUUUUAUGUAAUUUAGUAAAUCUCAUCUCCCUUUGUGAUUGUUAUAUCAUAUCAAAGUCAAGUCUUAAAUACUGCUGUCAUAUGUUAAGGUUCAACUUGCAUUUUGACUAACAUCCAUUUGUUGUCGCUUCCAAAAGUGAGAAUGAGAUACUUCGGUUAAUUUCAGUAGUUGAACCCAAUCGAGUACUUUAUCUAGAUCUUCAUGGUUCAAAGGCCUGAAACUUGCCCGUGAUUGUAAAAUGAUAUUAUGUGCUUUUAAUGCAAUAGGGGGAACAAGGUGUCAAAGGAAUUAGCAGAUUCUAUGGCAGAUUCUAUGCCUGUACAACUGUAACAAUUAUCCUUAUGAUUGUAAAUCUUAUAUGUUUUCCUUAUUUAGGAUAUACUAGCUGUAGGCUAUUUUAGAUAGUUAUGUAUAUGAUAGUUUAGCUAUGUUUAGGGCUAAACAUAAGCUUGUAUUCAUAGUAUAUAAAGGGAAUUCUCUUCUAAGAGAAAGCAUAACUUUUGCUCAAAAUUCUCUGAGUUUAUCAUGGUAUCAGAGCCUCAGUUCUGAAUUCUCUUCUUCCUAGUUCAUUCCCUUGUUCUUAGUUAUUCUUUUUUUUAUCAAGUUAUCUCAGCCUCAUGUCUUCAGACAAGUAUGAUGCUUUUUUGAUCCGUUUUAAUGGCACAAACUACUCAGCCUGGGCAUUUCAUUUCGAGAUAUUUGUCAAAGGCAAAGAUCUAUGGGGACAAGUUGAUGGCAGGAAACCUGCCCCUGAUAAAGAGAUAGACCAGGAUGGGUACGCCAAGUGGGAAGUCAAGGAUGCUCAAAUCAUGGCAUGGAUUCUAGGAUCUGUGGAAUCCAACUUCAUCUUGAAUCUUCGACCCUUCAAGACUGCAGCAGGAAUGUGGAAUCAUCUAAAGAAACUCUACAGUCACACCAACACUGCUCGUUGAUUUCAGCUUGAACAUGAGCUAGCCAAUCUCCAACAAGGCAGUCUCUCUAUUUCUGAUUUUUAUUCUAUCUUUAUGAUUAUUUGGGCUGAAUAUACUGAUAUAAUCUAUGCUACCUUACCUCCGAAGGUCUUAGUUUUGUUCAAUCUGUACAUGAAACUACUAAGAGAGAUCAAUUUAUGAUAAAACUGAUAUAUGAAUUUGAAAGCACUAGGUCCAAUCUUAUGAAUUGAGAAUCUGUCCCUUCCUUGGAUACAUGCCUCAAUGACUUAUUUCAUGAGGAGCAACGACUUCUUACUCAAAAUACCAUGAAACAAAAAAAAUCUACUUCUGUUCCUAUGGCUUAUGCAGCUCAAGGCAAGCCAAAAGGUAAGGACAUCAGUAUAGUUCAAUGUUUUUGUUGCAAAGGAUUUGGACAUUACGCUUCAAAUUGUUCAAAAAAAUUAUGCAACUAUUGCAAAAAAGAUGGACAUAUCAUUAAGGAAUGCCUUACUCGACCCCCCAAGAAAUCUGAAACAACAUAUGCUACCUCAGUUGGUUCUUCUAGUGAUGGUAGUUCUGUGGAUACAGCACAUUUGACCCAAAGUGCUCCUGUUCCUGUUCAAUCUGUGACCCCAUAAAUGAUUCAACAAAUGAUCAUUAUUGUAUUCUCCUCAUUAGGACUCUCAGGUAAAUCACCCACUAGAUCUCCUUGGUACUUUGAUUCUGGGGCUUCCCAUCACAUGACAAACAAUGCUAAAUUCUUCACCAAUGUAAGUAAAUACCUUAGAAAUCUAAAAAUUCAUACAGCUGAUGGCAACUCUUUACCUAUCACAGCCACUAGUGAUGUUUCUUUUUCUAUAACCAAUGUCUUUGUCUCUCCUGGUCUUCCUACUAAUCUUGUUUCAAUCGGUCAGUUAGUUGACAAUAAUUGUAAAGUAGAAUUCUCUAAAUCUAGUUGUGUUGUGCAGGAUCAGCAGUCAGGGAAGAUGAUUGCCAGGGGGCCUAAAAUAUGACGUCUUUUCCCUCUCCAAUUUGCUAAGUCUCCAUGUUUCUCUUUGCCUAUCAUCACUUGCAAUUUUACUAAGGUUAAUUAUCGAGCAUGGCAUAAACGUCUAGGACACCUAAACUCUAAUGUAUUUUAUGCUUUGCUAAAUUCUGGUUUACUUGGGAAUAAAAGAUCACCAUCCCUUAGUGUUGUUCAAUUUGAUUGCAAUUCUUGCAAGCUUGGAAAAAGUAAAAUUCUGCCAUUUCCCACUCACACACCGAAUGUUGUCCAGCCUUUUGAUUUGAUACAUAGUGAUGUGUGGGGUAUGGCGCCUGUUACAUCUCAUGCUAAUUACAAGUACUUUGUCACUUUUAUUGAUGACUAUAGUCGCUUCACAUGGAUUUAUUUUCUACAUUCUAAAGAUGAAGUGUUCUCUGUUUUCAAGCUUUUUCAUGCAUAUAUUCAGACCCAAUUUUCUACUAAUAUCAAAAUUCUUUGCUUUGAUAAUGGGGGUGAGUAUAUGUCUCAUUUAUUUUAAGAAUUUUUGCACACCAAUGGUAUAAUUUCUCAAAGAUCUUGUCCUUCAACCCCUCAACAAAAUGGGGUGGCUGAAAGAAAGAACUAUCACCUUCUCGAUGUUGUCUUCAUUUGUACCCUCUCGUUUUUGGUGUGAAGCUUUCUCCACUGUUGUCUAUCUCAUCAACAGAUUGUCCUCUCAUUCCUUGAACCAUGUCUCCCAUUUCUUUCAGUUAUUUGGCCAUACACUAAGUUACUCUCAUCUCCAUACCUUCAGUUGUGUGUGCUAUGUUCAUCUUCCUCCAUAUGAGCGUACAAAACUCACAGCCCAAGCUGUGAAAUGUGCUUUUCUAGGAUAUUUUAUGCACUAAAAAUGUUUUCUUUGUUAUGAUCCAAAUUUGCAUCAUAUAAGGGUUUCUCGAAAUGUGAUUUUCUUUGAAAAUCAGUAUUUCUUUUCCGCAUACCACGACGAUUCUUCGCCUUCAUUUUCUGUUUUGCCAAAGUUUACUAACCCUUCUGCAGAUUCUGCACCUUCUAAACCUAUCAUAGUCUAUCAGCGACGCAAGAAUUUAGUACCUCUCGGGCCCCCUCCAGCAACUUCCCUGAAUGUUGAUCCAGUUCCAGCAACUGCACCUGAACCUUUCAGACAUAGUACUCGGGUUCGUAGACCACCAGAUAGGUAUGGUUUCACCUCUCCAUUAUUUUUGACAGCCACUUUGUCUUCUAUUCUUAUUCCUUCAUCAUAUAAACAGGCAAUAGAGCAUGAAUUUUGGUGAAAAUCUAUUGAAUCAGAACUUCUUGCACUUGAAGAAAACCAAACUUGGGAUAUUGUUUCAUGUCCUCCAUCCGUGAAACCCCUUAGUAGUAAGCUAGUGUUUUCUAUCAAGCUGCGUUUUAAUGAAUCCAUAGAUCGUUACAAGGCUCGGUUGGUGGUUCUUGGCAACAAGCAAGAAUAUGGCCUAGACUACGAUGAGACCUUCGCGCCGGUAGCCAAAAUGACCACUGUUCGAACAAUAUUAGCCCUUGCUGCAUCACAAUCAUGUUCUUUACAUUAAAUGGAUGUAAAGAACGCUUUCCUACAUAGUGAUCUCAAGGAGGAAAUUUACAUGAAACUUCCCCACGGUAUGACUACUUCCUCUCCUAAUGAUGUUUGCAAACUAAAAUGUUCGUUGUAUGGGUUGAAGCAAGCACCGCGAGUAUGGUUUGAGAAGUUUCGAUCAACUCUUUUCAGUUUUUCAUUCACUCAAAGUCAGUAUGACUCCUCCUUUUUUUUUUCCAACAGACAUCUAAGGGCAUCAUUGUUCUCCUUAUUUAUGUGGAUGACAUCGUUAUCACUGGUUCUGAUAUGGAGGCAAUUUCUAAACUUCAGAAUUUGUUGCACUCUAUUUUUCACAUGAAAGACCUCGGUCAACUCACCUAUUUUUUGGGGUUAGAGGUGCAUUAUCUGCCUCAAGGUAUCUUCUUGAAUCAACACAAGUAUAUUCAGGAUUUAAUUUAAUUAGCUGGACUUAUGGACAAAAAUUCUGUUGACACCCCAGUGGAACUUAAUGUGAAAUAUCGACAAGACGAAAGGGAACUACUUCAAGAUCCUACUUAUCUAUCUAACUAUCACCCGCCCAGACAUCUCUUAUGCUGUCCACACCGUUAGCAAGUUCAUGCAAGCCCUUCGACAUCUCCACGUAUCCACAGUCCGCCGCAUCAUUAGAUAUAUUCUUGGCACUCUUAACUGCAGUUUAUUCUUCCCUACUGGUUCUUCACUCCAACUACAAGCCUACAAUGACGCAGAUUGGGCUAGCUGCCCGGACACGAGAAAAUCUACUUUGGGAUGGUGCAUGUUUCUUGGUGAUGCCCUUAGCUCUUGGAAAUGCAAAAAGCAAGACUCAGUCUCCAAAUAAUCCACUGAGGCAGAAUACCGCGCCAUGUCUGUAGCCUGCUCCAAGAUCAUUUGGUCGCGUGGUCUCUUAACAGAGCUUGGUUUCUCACAACAUCAACCUACUCCCCUACAUGCUGACAACACAAGUGCCAUCCAAAUUGUAGCCAACCCUGUCUACCAUGAGCGCAUGAAACACAUAGAGGUUGACUGCCACUCUAUUCGAGAGGCCUAUGACCACCAAGUUAUCACCCUCCUGCAUAUCUCCACUACUCUACUGAUUACGAAUAUCUUCACCAAAUCCAUGACAUGUCAGCGACAUAACGUUCUUGUUAGCAAAUUGAUGCUUGUAGAUUUACCAGCAUCAAUUUGAGGGGGGAUGUCAAAGGAAUUAGUAGAUCUUAUGGCAAAUUCUAUGCCUGUACAGCUGUAACAAUUAUCUUUAUGGUUGUAAAUCUUAUAUUUUUUCCUUAUUUAAGAUAUACUAGCUGUAGGCUAUUUUAGAUAGUUAUGUAUAUGGUAGUUUAGCCAUGUUUAUGGCUAAACAUAAGCUCGUAUUCAUAGUAUAUAAAGGGAAUUCUCCUCCAAGAGAAAGCAUAUGAAAGAAACUUAGUUCUAUAUUGUUUGGUAGGCUAGAAAAUGAAAGAAAAUAAAAGAAAAGCUUUGCAAAGAAAACUGUUAGAUCCUUUUAUUAUACCAAACUUACAGUUUAAUGACUAAAAAUUGAUAUUUAUAUUGAGCUACAAACUCUUCACACACACACACGAGAUUGUUGCAACACAUAACCAAUUGCUGUAUAACUAACUUGACACAUCAGCUCAACCAGCUAACUAACUUUGACAGGUCAGCUUAAUGAUUUGAUCUGAUACAACCAGCUACACAGCAACAUCAUGCUCUGCUCCAGCUUCAUCUAAUUCACUAACAACUUUUGCUCAAAAUUCUCUUAGUUUAUCACAGGGAAGUAUAGCUUUGGAAAAGGCCGGAUCAAUAACUAUGGAGAGAUUUAUAAGUGAUAAAAAUUCCCGUAACCCGCUGUCAAGAAAAUUUCACAUAGUUAAAGACGCCAUUUUGUUUCAGCCAAAAAUGUUUGUUUAAUCUGCCAAAAAUGUUUGUUUCGAUUAAAGACUUGAACCGUUUUCAUUUAACCUGAUUGUGAUGCUUUAUGUUAUGUAUGUUCCUCUCAAUCAAGAAAAGUUGAGGUUCAUGAUUUUAUAUUUCUAUCUUGUAACUUGCAAUAAUAACUGGUCUUCUUGUUUUUGUAGCUUGAUAACAUGAAUUUUCCUUCUCAAGUUAAUUUGAUCAAUAAAGUAAUUCUUCAAAGAAAAUAUGCCCAUUCUAUAAUCAUUUUCUUAGCUAAUAUGUUUUUUUUUUGUUUACUCUUCAGAGUGUGUCGAAACUAAUUGAUUGCUCGGCAGAGACUUUGGGUGACAAGUCAAAAUUUCAUGGUAAAUCCUCUGAAAAGGUAUGCAUAAUUCCUGAAUAUUAAAUAACCAAUGGUCAUAGUUUUUGUACACGACUCUUUUUGUGGAGAUCGUUAAAAGUGGUUGAUGAUCCAUUUGUAAUUUCAUAGAGGGAUCAUCAAUUCCUUUUCUUUUCUGUGGCUAGGCAUCACUUUCGUGCCAAAGUAAGGAAAUCUAUUUUAGGUAAUGUAAAAAACAAUGGUAGGAUGUAAUAGCUUAUUAUGCACUGACAAUAACUUUUUGUAUAAUUGUCAGUUUAAGGAAUACAAGAGGAACUCUGUUGACAAAUUCAUCCAAGAUAGAUGCUAAAAUUAUUUAUGCAUGCCAGUUGCCUUAACUAAUUUUUCUUAACACUUGUAUUGAACAGGAAAUGAGUAUGCAAUUUGUGUACGUGCCAUUGUGGAGAAUUUGGAUAUUCUUAUUUAAGUAAGAAGAAGAGUAUUUGCCUCAUCUUUAAACAAUGAAUCUUUGAGAAAUGAGGAGUGGGUGAUUGGAAGUGUCUUCAUGUAAAUGUUCAUUUACUUGUAUUUUGAACUAUUAUGAGAAUCUUUUAUAUGCCAAAUUAGUAAUACAAAUGUUCAGAUGAUUUUUCCUGUUGAUCACGCGUUUGUGUCUGCAGACAACCAUUGUAUAUCACUUUAUUCUGAUGUGCAAUUAUGUAUAGAUUAGAAGAAAAGAAAUAAUAGUCUUAUAUUAUUGUUUGGUUCAUGAUUAUUAAACGAUUAUGGCUUCAAAAAAUCUACAAAUUCCUUCUGUUCAUAUAUGAAUGUGCCAAGUUUGCUAUAUCUUAGAUUGCCUUCUUCCAAGAUAACAAGUUCAUAUGUUUUUUAAUCCUCUUCAAUCACAGUUGAAUUUUAAGUGUUAAGAUUUGUUAUUAAUACCUGGUUCCCUGUUAUUAUGAUUUUUAUUAUGAUUUCAUAAACAGUGUACGGACAUGUGCUCUACUUUUAAAGGGCCUCCACGUGAAAGAAAAUUGCAACAAUUGAAUUCUUCCGGAGGGUAUGGCAUUUAAUUUAUUUUCUCAACUUCUUGUAAGACUAAUAUAUUUCCUUCAGUAGGCAGGGCAUGUUGGGAAGGGCUUUUAUUGAAAGAAUUCUGAUAUUUCUUAGACUUUGUUUUGGAAGGGAGGUGGAGGGAUUUCUCAUCCAUAUAUGGUUACUUGAUUAGCUUUUGACUGUAUUGCCUCAG